GGCGCGCUUAUGCGCUCGCUUAGGCGCGCCUUUUUUAACUAUGAUUGCUUUGCUCUUGUAUCACUGUAUUUACUCAUACAAACUUAUUUUUAAAUUGAAGGAUCCAAUCGAAACUCCAAUGGCACAGCGGGUAUGUUCACGCAUGUUUGUUUAACAGGUCUGCUUGAGCUUCCACUAAAAGGCAGAGGAUUCACCUGGUCCAACAUGCAGGAUAUCCCACUUCUGAGCAACUGGACUAGUUUUUUACUUCUGCUAGCUGGAUAAAUCAUUAUCCCAUGACACAAGUGGCUCCUCUUGCGAGAACAGCGUCUGAUCAUGUUCCUUGUGUUAUCUCUAUCAGCACCUCAAUUCCUAAAGCUCAUAUUUUCAGGUUUGAAAACUAUUGGGUGCAUCAGCCUGGUUUCAUGGAUUGUGUGAGGGAGGUCUGGAACAAGCCUUCGCAUAAACUCCACAUCUCUGCAGUUAUUAUGGACAAAUUGAAAUCAUUGAGGUUUGCUUUAAAGAAAUGGCAGAAGGGGCUUUCACACAUUAAAUCUUUAAUUGAAAAGUGAAAUUGGGUAAUCUUAUGGCUGGAUGAUUUAGAGCAUUGGAGGACUCUGUCCAUACCAGAGAUAAACUUCAGGAAGUUAUGUAAGUUGCAUCAUGAGCACCUUUUACAUUUGCAGUUUUUAUACUGGAGAAAAAGGUGUACUAUCAGAUAUAUCAAGGUGGGAGAAGAGAAUUCAAAAUUCUUCCAGGCCAUGGCAACAGAGAGAUAUAGAAAAAAUUCUAUUGCUAUCCUGAAUUUGUCUGAUGGGACAGUCUCUUCAGAUCAUGGGGAUAUUGCUAAGGAAUUUUUGGUAACUUUCAAAGGAAGAAAUGGAACCCUUAAACCAAUUGUUUUGGGGAAUGACAUCCUAUCUUUAAUUCCAAGAAUUCAAGGUCUUGAGGUGCUCACAAAACCUUUUCAUUUGAAUGAGAUUGAAAAGGUCAUAAAAGAAAUGCCAAUUGAUAAAGCACCUGGACCAGAUGGUUUUAAUGGUCUAUUUAUGAAGAGAUGCUGGCCAAUUAUUUCAUCUGACUUUAUUCAGUUGGUCAAUGAGUUUCAUGCUGGAACGGUAAUUUUGGAAAAUCUCAAUGAAGCUUAUAUAACUUUAGUCCCAAAAAAGCAAUCACCUGAGGGUGUGGGAGAUUUUAGACCAAUCUCUCUGACAAGUAUAGGACUAAAGUUUCUGACAAAACUGGCUGUCAAUAGGUUUCAGGAGGAAAUCACCAAAUGUGUGCAUAAGAAUCAGUAUGGCUUCAUUAAAUUAAGGACAAUUUAGGAUUGUAUUGCAUGGACUUUUGAGUAUAUUCAUCAAUGCAAUCAGUCCAGGAAGCCAAUUCUUUUGCUUCAGCUUGAUUUUGAAAAAAGCUUUUGACUCAAUUCAACAUGAGGCAAUCUUGAGAAUUCUUGUGGCCAAGGGGUUUGAUAGCAAAUGGAUCACAUGGAUUGAACAACUGUUAACUUCUGCAACAUCCUCAAUUCUGUUAAAUGGUGUGCCUGGAAGUCAUUUCAAGUGCAAAUGUGGUGUUAAGUAAGGAGAUCCUAUCUCUCCUUUGCUUUUUGUUAUUGCAGCUGAUCUUCUACAAACCAUGAUCAAUGAUCUUCUGCUUAGGGGGCAGCUGGAUUUGCCUUUGCCAACACAUGAUCCUUUUUAUCCUGUGGUUCAGUAUGUUGAUGACACCUUGCUGUUUGUAAAUGCUGACCUAGCUUAGUUGGAGGCUCUUAAAGCAGUGCUCAAUUCCUUUUCACUGGCAACUGGGUUACAAAUUAACUUUCAUAAGUCUUCAAUGUACCCCAUCAAUGUUGAAGCCUCAGUUGCUUCUGCACUUGCUGCUUCUUUUGGCUGUUAGUUAGGCUCUAUGCCUUUCACUUAUUUGGGACUGCUUAUUGGAACCACUAGACCAAAAAUUGUUGACUUGCUCCCUUUGGUGGAUUGCAUGGAAAGGAGGCUAACUGCUAGUUCCUGGUUUUUGCCUCAAGGUAGUAGACUGCAGUUGGUAAAUUCAGUGAUAUCUUCUUUGCCCAUAUUCUUUCUUUGCAUCCUAUCAUUACCAAAGGGCAUUCUAAAGCAGUUAGAAAGGAUUCAAAGGCAGUGCCUAUGGAGGAAAUAUGGUCAAGAAAAGGGUCAUUCUUUGGCUGCUUGGCCCCUUGUCUGCAGACCCAAGAAGAAGGGUGGAAUUCUGAAUUUGGGAUUGCAAAAUGAUGCUCUGUUGCUUAAGUCCCUGAAUAAAUUCUAUAACAAAGCUGAUGUGCCAUGGGUCAGCCUGGUGUGGGAUUCCUACUAUAAUCAAAGAGUUCCACAUGACACUACUUUAUGUGGCUCUUUUUGGUGGAGGGACAUCUGUAAGUUAGUGGACAAAUAUCGAGUUGUAACAUCUGUUUCUGUUGGCAAAGGAGAUUAUGUGCUUUUUUGGUCUGAUCAUUGGGAGAUUGGACAUUCAUGUAUCCCUCUGCAGGAAAGAUUCCCACGACUUCAUUCUUUUUGCCUUCAGAAGAACCUUUCUGUUAAGGAAGUGCUACAAGCAGGAAAUUUGCAACAAAUGUUCUCUUUGCCUUUGUCUGAACUAGCUUUUAGGGAGUUCAAUCAGCUUGCUACUAUGUUGUCUGGUAGACACUUGGACGAUGCUUGUGAUGAUAGGUGGACUUGGAGACAUGGGAAAAAGGGCGAGUAUUCUGCAAAGAAGUACUAUGAGUUUGUACACCAGCCUGUCAUUGCCAAUCCAAUACUGAGCUGGGUUUGGAAAAGCUGUUGUAAUGACAGUUAAAAUGUUUGCAUGGUUGGUUAUUAUGGAUAGAGUAAACACCAAAGAUAUGAUUCAGCAAAGACAUUGGAAAAUUAAUGAUGGACCUAGUUGUGUCCUCUGCCCAACUGGAGUACUGGAAGAUAGGAAUCAUCUAUUCUUCCAGUGCAAUUUCAGUAUGAGGAUCUGGAACUUUCUGCAAGUACCCUUGUUGAAUAGCAAUGAUAUGGUCCAAAUUGUCUUACAUGCAAGGAAGGAAUUUGAUAAACCAUUUUUUGCAGAGGUGGUUUUUCUUGCUUGGUGGAAUAUCUGGAAAGUGCGAAAUGACAAGGCUUUCAGACAUGUCCAUCCAACUUUUAGGCACUGGAGAAAUGGGUUCAUUCAUGAUAUCACUCUACUAUCACACAGGAUCAAGGCCAGAUACAAGGAUGAUCUACUCAAAUGGAUUGAUUUUCUGCCUCCUUGAAGAUCCACACCCGUUGUAACAUCUUUUCUUUCUUAGUUUGUAGCUCUGUUUCUUUCUUAGAGUUCUGUACAGUCUUUUCUCUUUCUCUUUCUUUGGUUUUUGUUCCCCCUCUUGAGGAACUUUGUUAUUUCUUCCUGUUCUUUAUUAGUAAAAUGCUGUGGGGUGUAAGCCCUGUAGUCUUCAUGGUCAAAAAAAUAGCUCUGUUGAUUUCAAUUUCAAUUGUGUAUACAGUUGACUUUCAUAUCAUGCACAUUACUAGCAUCACAACAGAGCCAAUAGUGUUGUUGUACAUGUAGACCCGUGGUACCCAUCUGAAAUCUUGUUGUGCCGUGUAGUUUCCCACGCUUUGUAUUCUUUCACUGCUGCUUUGUCUUGAACUGAUAUGAUUUGAACCGUGUCUCUAUUUUGAUUUGGCAAGACAAUGCAGUGACUAUAGGACAUAGAUAUAUGUUUGUUUGAUGCUUUUAUUAUGUACUAGUACUUGGCAAUAGAAGACUUGGUAGUUUAAUCCUGUCCACCUUACUACUGAACUGGUUCACCGAAAUGAGUUUCAUAUACUAGUACAUGCUAAACUUAUUAUGUGUCUGCUUGUUUCUUAUUUUAGAAUGCUGACAGAAUAUUGGGGAAGAGUGCCUUAUUAAGCAAUGGUAAAGGAAGUAAUGCAGGGAUAGUGACACAUCCUUGUUGUCUCCAACAAAGCCGAUAAAAUAGCUAAGGAAGACUAUCUUGAAGACAGCGAGACAACCCCAAAGUCCUGUCUUGGUUUAGUGUUCGAGUUACUGGCCACUACCGCUUGCACAAGCUAUUCAAACUCACUGUCUGAAUCAGUUCGGUUUCUUGAGUCUCAACUACAAGCUGAAAGACAUCGAUCAGCUGUGCUACGAUAAGAAGCGGAGGGACUGCGAAAGUCCCUGGAGCAUUCAGAUGCAUACUUUCUGGUGCAACAGAAAGCGUUGGAGGAUUUUAGCGCCAAACAGGACAAAGCUAAUCAGCUUGCUAAGCUUAUUGCCAGCAUGGUGGAUACCCAGGAUAAUGUUUCUUGAGCUCUUCUGAAGUUGUUUCAGUUAUGCUCUUGUUCUAUUGCCGCGUUUAUUUGCACUGCUGGCCAAUUUUGACGGCCAGUGUAUGUAAUGUGCUGCUUUGUUCCCUAUAUUUGCACUGGUGGCAAACUUUGAUGCCUAGUGGAUGUAAUAUGUGUAAUAGGGGUAAUAGGCUAGCGUUAAUUGCUUGCUUAUUUAUUUCCUUAUUGUCUUGUUUAGUUGUUUCCUUGUAGUCACUGUAAUUCUUUUUCUGUUUUUUUCUAGUGGCCACAAUAGCCUAUUUUUGGUAACUAGGCCAAAAUAAUCAUGGCAACACAUGGACUGUUGUAACCAUGGGCCUCCUGCAGGCCGUAUGAUCCAUGGGCCUUCGUCCGGCCGUAGGAUCCAUUGGCCUUCUAUACGGGCUGUAGGAUUCAUCGGCCUUCUAUACGGGCCUUAGGGUCCAUGGGCCUUCUACGGGCCAUAGGGUCCAUGGGCCUUCUACGGGCCGUAGGGUCCAUGGGCCUUCUACGGGUCGUAUGAUCCAUGGGCCUUCUACGGGUCGUACUAUCCAUGGGCCUCAUACGGACCGUAGGAUCCAUGGGCCUUCUACGGGGCGUAUCAUCAUUUCGCCAAUCAUGGGCCGUACUAUUUGUGGACCAUAACGGGUCAUUAAUAGGUCGUAUUUGAUAACUCUAUGAAAACAACCCAACGGGUUUUUCCGCAAACGGGGAGACUGUAACGACGGGCUGAAUUUGGCCCACGAGCAGAAAAUGACAGUAACGGGCCGUAUGUAACUGAAUGCUGCAAAUGAGCCCAGGAAUCAAUGGGCCCUGAGAAGGCCGAAAGAUAACUUGGGCUGUAAAUGGCCCAAUGGAAUAACGGACCGUUAAUGGGUAUAAAGUGAUACACUAUUCAUUACGGGCCAGUUUCACCACGGGUCAUUAAUGGGCCAAGAGUUACAAAGGUCCUCAUAUGGGCCGAAAGAAGUCAUGGGCCACACAUGGGCCGGAAGUUAAAACGGGUUGAAUCAUAUUGGACGGCCCAGAUGACGCUACUGGGCCUAAUUCGGAUACAGCGUAAUGGGCCCUGGGUUAGCAGGCUGUAAAUGGGCUAUAUGCAAAUAGGCCGUUAACAUGCUUUCCGUGGGCCGGCUCGCCACCUUUUGACCAAGUCAAACGGGCCGACCUUUUCACAGGAAUGGGCCUCUGCUGGGCCAUGCCACAUGUCGCCAUAUCAUAGGCGCCUUCGGUCCAAUGAGCAGAUGACAUCUGUCCCAAUGGUGAGCCGACACGUGUUUCCUCCAGCCAAUGAUGAUUUUACACGUGGAAAAUCCCCAUUGGUCGGGGCUGUUAACGGGUUAUCGGAUCCAAAACCCGACCCGAUAGCUUAACGAUGUUCCGUUACGGUGGAUGCCACGUGUCGGUCACCCUUGACGAAAGCACUUCUGUGAUGCGCGAUUUAUCGUCAUGGAAGUGGACACUUCCGUGAUGAUAAUUUUGGUAAUGUCAUGGAACACUUCUACGACAGCACAGGUAUGAAUAUCUUGAUUCUGUCAUAAAAUCAUCAUGGAUGUACAUGCAUGACAAAAAACGCGACCUACUGUGACAAACACGUAUCAUCACGGAAGUGUAUUUUUUUGUAGUGUCAAUCACUAUCUUAUCUGGAAGAUUAACUCUUGAUUCAAGCGAUUGUAGUAUCCAGACAUUCUGAGUACAUGCUCACUGCUUGAGCUAUUCUCCUCCAUCUUUUAGCUAUAGAACUUGUUGGAGACUUCAUAUCUCUCAACUCGGGUAUUUACUUGAAAUAUUAACUUCAACUCCUGGAACAUCUCAUAUGUUCCAUGACGUUCAAAACGUCUUUGAAGUCCCGAUUCUAAGCCGUAAAGCAUGGUGCACUAAACUAUCAAGUAGUCAUCAUAUUGAGCUUAGCCAAACGUUCAUAACGUCUGCAUCUGCUCCUGCAAUAGGUCUGUCACCUAGCGGUGCAUCAAGGACAUAAUUCUUCUGUGCAACAAUGAGGAUAAACCUCGGAUCAUGGACCCAGUCCGCAUCAUUGCUACUAUCAUCUUUCAACUUAGUUUUCUCUAGGAACACAUAUAAAAACAUAGGGAAGCAACAACGUGAGCUAUUGAUCUACAACAUAAUUUGCAAAAUACUAUCAAUUCUAAGUUCAUGAUAAAUUAAAGUUCAAUUAAUCAUAUUACUUAAGAACUCCCACUUAGAUAGACAUCUCUCUAAUCAUCUAAGUGAUCACGUGAUCCAAAUCAACUAAACCAUAACCGAUCAUCACGAGAAAUGGAGUAGCUUUCAAUGGUGAACAUCACUAUGUUGAUCAUAUCUACUAUAUGAUUCAUGCUCGACCUUUCGGUCUCCAAUGUUCCGAGGCCAUAUCUGCAUAUGCUAGGCUCGUCAAGUUUAACCCGAGUAUUCUAUGUGUGCAAAACUGGCUUGCACCCAUUUUAGAUGAACGUAGAGCUUAUCACACCCGAUCAUCACGUGGUGUGUCGGCACGACGAACUUUGGCAAUGGUGCAUACUCAGGGAGAACACUUGUACCUUGAAAUUUAAAUGAGAGAUCAUCUUAUAAUGCUACCGUCAAUCAAAGCAAAAUAAGAUGCAUAAAGGAUAAACAUCACAUGCAAUCAAUAUAAGUGAUAUGAUAUGGCCAUCAUCAUCUUGUGCUUGUGAUCUCCAUCUCCGAAGCACCAUCAUGAUCACCAUCGUCACCGGCGCGACACCUUGAUCUCCAUCGUAGCAUCGUUGUCAUCUCGCCAACUAUUGCUUCUACGACUAUUGCUACCGCUUAGUGAUAAAGUAAAGCAAUUACAGGGCGAUUGCAUUGCAUACAAUAAAGCGACAACCAUAUGGCUCCUGCCAGUUGCCGAUAACUCGGUUACAAAACAUGAUCAUCUCAUACAAUAAAAUAUAGCAUCACGUCUUGACCAUAUCACAUCACAACAUGCCCUGCAAAAACAAGUUAGACGUCCUCUACUUUGUUGUUGCAAAUUUUACGUGGCUACUAUGGGCUGAGCAAGAACCGUUCUUACCUACGCAUCAAAACCACAACGAUAGUUCGUCAAGUUAGUGUUUUUUUAACCUUCUCAAGGAUCGGGCGUAGCCACACUCGGUUCAACUAAAGUUGGAGAAACUGACACCCGCCAGCCACCUAUGUGCAAAGCACGUCGGUAGAACCAGUCUCACGUAAGCGUACGCGUAAUGUCGGCCGGGACGCUUCAUCCAACAAUAUUGCCGAACCAAAGUAUGACAUGCCGGUAAGCAGUAUGACUUGUAUCGCCCACAACUCACUAGUGUUCUACUCGUGCAUAUAACAUCUACGCAUAAAACCUGGCUCGGAUGCCACUGUUGGGGAACGUAGUAAUUUCAAAAAAAUUCCUACGCACACACAGGAUCAUGGUGAUGCAUAGCAAUGAGAGGGGAGAGUGUGUCCACGUACCCUCGUAGACCGAAAGCGGAAGCGUUAGCACAACAUGGUGGAUGUAGUCGUACGUCUUCACGAUCCGACCGAUCCAAGUACCGAACGUACGGCACCUCCGAGUUCAGCACACAUUCAGCUUGAUGACGUCCCACGAACUCCGAUCCAGCAGAGCUUUGCGGGAGAGUUCCGUCAGCACGACGGCGUGAUGACGGUGUUGAUGAUGCUACCGAUGUUGGGCUUCGCCUAAGCACCAGUACAAUAUUACCAAGGUGGAAUAUGGUGAAGGGGGGCACCGCACACGGCUAAGAGAUCAAUGAUCAAUUGUUGUGUCUAGAGGUGCCCCCCUGCUCCCGUAUAUAAAGGAGCAAGAGGGGGAGGCCGGCCGGCCCUGUAGGGCGCGCCAGGAGGAGGAGUCCUCCUCCUAGUGGGAGUAGGACUCCCCUCUUCCUAGUCCCACUAGGAGGGGGAAGGAAGGAGAGGGGGAGGAGAAGGAAAGAGGGGGCGCAGCCCCUCCCCUAGUCCAAUUCGGACUAGGCCCAUGGGGGGGGCGCGGCCAGCCCUCGUGGCUUCUCCUCUUUUUCCCCUAAAGCCCACUAAGGCCCAUAUGUACUCCCGUAUUCCCGUAACUCCACCGGUACUCCAAAAAAUACCCGAAUCACUCGAAACCUUUCCGAUGUCCGAAUAUAGUCAUCCAAUAUAUCGAUCUUUACGUAUCGACCAUUUCGAGACUCCUCGUCAUGUCCCCGAUCUCAUCCGGGACUCUGAAUUACCUUCGGUACAUCAAAACACAUAAACUCAUAAUAUAAAUCGUCACUGAAUGUUAAGCGUGCGGAUCCUACGGGUUCGAGAACUAUGUAGACAUGACCGAGACACGUCUCCGGUCAAUAACCAAUAGUGGAACCUGGAUGCUCAUAUUGGCUCCCACAUAUUCUACGAAGAUCUUUAUCGGUCAAACUGCAUAACAACAUACGUUUGUUCCCUUUGUCAUCGGUAUGUUACUUGCCCGAGAUUCGAUCGUCGGUAUCUCAAUACCUAGUUCAAUCUCGUUACUGGCAAGUCUCUUUACUCGUUAUGUAAUGCAUCAUCCGGCAACUAACUUAUUAGCUACAUUGCUUGCAAGGCUUAUAGUGAUGUGCAUUACCGAGAGGGCCCAGAGAUACCUCUUUGACAAUCGGAGUGACAAAUCCUAAUCUCGAAAUACGCCAACUCAACAUGUACCUUCGGAGACACCUAUAGAGCUCCUUUAUAAUCACCCAGUUACGUUGUGACGUUUGGUAGCACACAAAGUGUUCCUUCGGUAAAUGGGAGUUGCAUAAUCUCAUAGUUAUAGGAACAUGUAUAAGUCAUGAAGAAAGCAAUAACAACAUACUAAACGAUCAAGUGCUAAGCUAACGGAAUGGGUCAAGUCAAUCACAUCAUUCUCUAAUGAUGUGAUCCCGUUAAUCAAAUGACACCUCAUGUCUAUGGCUAGGACUUAACCAUCUUUGAUUCAACGAGCUAGUCAAGUAGAGGCAUACUAGUGACAUUAUGUUUGUCUAUGUAUUCACACGUGUACUAAGUUUCAGGUUAAUACAAUUCUAGCAUGAAUAAUAAACAUUUAUCACGAAAUAAGGAAAUAAAUAGUAACUUUAGUAUUGCCUCUAGGGCAUAUUUCCUUCACUCAAUGCACACGAUUAGUCUGCAAAAGCAUUAUCAUCAAUCACCAAAACCACUUAGGGUGAAAUAUGCCCUUACAAUCUCCCCCUUUUUGGUGGAUUGAUGACAAUACAGGAUUUGCUCAUAAGAGUACACAAAUGAAUAUAAGCGAUCCCAACUUCUACAAAAUAUAGAUAGGCUCCCCCUAGAUGUGUGCACUCUAUAUGAAUGCUUUGGACUGCACGGCACACAUGCUAGGAUCAACACUCCCCCUAUAUUUUAUAGAUGAGGCAUUCCUUGCAACAAUGUAAAGAACACUAAGCAUAAAAGACAAUAAGGUAAGCUUGAGUGCAUAUAUCUUACACCAUAUGAUAGGAUAGCAGGCCUCAAAAGCGCAAACCAAACCAAAGCAACACAAAUGAAGUUCCAACGAAAUGAAGGCAAAGACACGAAAGAAAGCAAAUCCUACACUCUCUCCCCCUUUGGCAUCGAGACACCAAAAGGGCAAAGAGGACACCUACGACAUAGGUGGUAGCACCCUCUGCAAGGAUCACUCAGCACGUUCCUCAUCGGACUCGGCAGCUGGGAUGGUCUCCUCCUCUGACUCGGUCCACUGAUAGCCCUGCUUGGCAAUCCAGUCAGCCUCUAGAGUGAUGUUUACCUCUGAUCCGCUCUCCACAAUCUCUCCAAAAGUCCUCAAGAUCCUCUUGUCGCGCUGGCGACUCUCCUUGGAAGCAAUGUGGAUCCUGUACUGCCCCUUGGCUUGCAUACAGAACAGGGUCUUCAUCUUGGCCUUCAGCUUCUUAGCCCAAGAGGGCUUAGUAGAUGGAGGAGCAUACCCAGCAGAAUUGUCCUCAGCCUCCUCCGGAAACAUCUUGUCCCAAGUAUUCGAGAUCAGAUGGUGCAGAUAAGGACCAUAGAUGGGAACUUUGCUAUUGUAGACCGCAAACCUGAGCUCACUCCACAUGAUAUGAAAGAUAUCCAGAGGCUGGGCAGCAUGCUGACGCGCCUCCUCACACAGAAGCAUCAUAUCCACGAGAUAAGCAUGCACCUUAUCUUUGUCACCGACGUGAGGAAAGAGGGUGUUGCGGAAGAUUCGGCGCAUGACAUCAAGGAAGGGGUUGAGCACCCAAGACUGAGAGCCAUUGGGGAGCUUCUUCUCCACCAUAAAUGGUAUAAGCUUGUCCUUGUUGGCUGACUCGGGGUUGCCGUGAGGGCGGGUGCCAAGGGGCACAUCAGGCCCCUCAUCAUGGACAUUGAGCAGCGUCAUGAAUUCCUUCCAAGUGGCAGACAACUUCUUCCCAUUGGUCAUCCAAGACAUGGUCCGCUCCCCAUCUGUGUGGAAGUGAAAAGAGGCAAAGAACUAUGCCACAAGCUCCGGGUCAAAGUCCAUAUGGAAUGUGAUGAAGUCUUCAAUGCCAAACUGCUCCACCAAGUCCAGUGCCUCACCAAAGUAGUCCUGGUUCUUCCUCAGAUGAGUCAUAUCAAUCCACUGCAUUGGGACAUAGAGGUUGUGCUUGGACUUGAUCACAUCGAUGUAUAUGAGAUUCUGUUGCUUGGUCCAGAACAACUCAUUCCCUAUGACAUUCUCAUGAGGGUUCACAUAGGGGUUGAUUCUCCUUCGAAUGAUGAACUCAGACACAGGCAUCUCAUCCAUGCCAAGAACUGGCUCCUUGUACUCAUUGGCGGUCUUCUUGACAUUGCGGUGUUGGGUAUUGGAGCCCUUCGGUGCUUCUUGAUUGCGCAGACGCUUCGAGCUCGUGUCACGGCUUGAGUUCGAGCGACGGACAUUGGAGCCACCACAUAUGACACAGAACACAAGAACACAUGAGAGAAACGAGAAGGAUUAAUGCAAAGACCACAGCCAAACCAAACGAGACACGUAGACAUACGAUUGGGAAGUUGCAACAAGGUAGCUUCAAAGUCAACAGGAGUACCUCACCACUAAGCGGAAGUAAAAAUUUACUUCUGCUCCAGCCGCGGUAGUACCACGCCGGGAUGGCACGGUAGUACCGCGCUCAGAGCAGAAGUAAAAUUUUACUUCCGUGCCCCGAGCGGUAGUACCGCCCUAGAGUAGUGGUAGUACUGCGCGAGGCGAAUGCGGCCAGAGCGGUAGUACCGCACGGGAGGUGCGGUAGUACCGCUCGGAAUCCAAUCCGACACAAGACGGAUCUAGGCACAUCCGCAACAUUGGAUCGGUAAUACGAUUGAUCAAGAAUACUGUGGCAACAAUCCAAAUAGUAUAUCUACUGCACUUCUACUCUCCUACAUCAUUCUCUUGCAAAGAUUUGGCCGAAAAUCUCAAGAACAACAUGCAUCUGCCCGAAAACCUAGAAGCAAAACUACGAGGCAAAGAGAGAGGGUUUCAGGGAGAAACCUUGUUCCAUGGCAAGAGGGCGAGGUGGGGAUCGAUCCCACCAGUCGGAAUGUGAGGAGAGCGGCCGGAGACGGAGAUCUGGCGAGGUCCUUCAGUGUCGUUCUUGGGCAGGAGAGAGAGAUACGGAGUGGGGAAACUGGGUUGAAUGGGUAUGGGGGAGUUGAAACUCCCCCUGCCCACACUUGACCCCCACCAGCUCGCGAUGGCGCGGUAGUACCGCGGGUCAUCGCAGUAGUACCGCUCGAGCGGAAGUAACGCACACAGGGCGGUAGUACCGCUCUUCCAACGACAGUAAAAAUUAUUGCUGCGAUGGAAGCGGUAGUACCAUGCUCUUCUCAUGUGGUAGUAUCGUGGCUUGCCGCGGUAGUACCGUAGACCCAAGAAAGUGCUCAUUUCGACAAAACAGAGAAACACGGUCUUUGCACAAAGACCUUCAAGCGACCGGACACGCAACUGCACACACACACGAGGCAACGCAGACACAAACACGGCACACCAAGAAGGCAAAAGACAACACGGAACAAGCACAACCAAAACCUCUCUAGAGGAGAGGGUGGUGGCCGAAGCCACCUAUGUUUGAGUCAAUUGGUAUGGCACCGCGAAGAAUUAUCCUUGUUGGGCCCAUGACCAAAACUCAUCUUUGAAGCACAUGUACCAUCAAGAAUGGCUAAUGUGAAAGAGUUGAUCAAUUUAUGCAUAAUGGGGGGAGGGAGAGUUCAUUGAGAGAACAACACUCCCCUAAGUCCAUACCUACAUCUAGACAAGAUAUCAAGUUGAGUAUGGUGGGGUGUGCAAGGGUUCAAGCUACAUUACUCGAAUCAAUGAUAUUUAGCUCAUGCCUUAACUCACGAAAUCUUGCUUCAUCCAAGGGUUUCGUGAAAAUAUCUGCAAGGUUAUCAUGAGUGUUGACAUACUUGAGCUUGAUCUCCCCUCGCCUAAUGUGAUCCCAGUUGAAGUGAUACCGAAUCUCAAUAUGCUUCGUCUUAAAGUGUUGCACCGGGUUGAGAGAGAUCUUGAUGGCACUUUCAUUAUCACACCAAAGAGGCACUUCGUCACAAAUGACACCGUAAUCCUUCAAAAUUUGCCUCAUCCAUAAAAGUUGUGCACAACAACUACCGGCAGCCACAUACUACGCUUCGAUGGACGAGAGAGACACACAACUUUGCUUCUUAGAAGACCAACUCACCAAAGAGCAACCAAGAAAUUGGCACCCUCCGGAGGUGGACUUCCUAUCCACUCUGUCUCCCGCCCAAUCUGAGUCUGAAUAGCCCAAAAGGUUGAAGUUGGCUCCUCUUGGGUACCAUAAGCCAAAGUUUGGGGUAUGAGCCAAAUAUUGAAAGAUUCGCUUAACUGCCACAUAGUGGCUUUCCUUAGGCGCGGCUUGAAACCGUGCACAAAUUCCCACACUCAACAUGAUAUCUAGUCUAGAUGCACAAAGGUAAAGCAAGGAGCCAAUCAUGGAGCGAUAUACCUUUUGAUCCACCGCUUUACCAUUGGGAUCUAUGUCAACUUGGCAUUUGAUGGGCAUUGGAAUGGAGGCUGGCUUGACAUCACUUAGCUUGAAUCUCUUGAGCAUGUCUUGAGUGUAUUUGGCUUGGUUGAUGAAAGUGCCUUCUCUUUGUUGCUUGAUUUCGAAACCAAGAAAGAACUUCAACUCUCCCAUCAUGGACAUCUUGAACUUUGAGGUCAUGAGAGCAGCAAAUUCCUCAUUGAAAGCUUUGUUAGGGGAACCAAAGAUAAUAUCAUCAACAUAUAGUUGGCAUACAAACAACUCCCCUUUGACCUUCUUAGUAGAAAGAGUGGGGUCGAUUUUCCCAAUUUCAAACCCACGAUCUUGCAACAACUCGGUAAGAUGCUCAUACCACACAUGUGUGGCUUGUUUAAGGCAUAGAGUGCCUUGUCGAGUUGGUACACAUGAUCGGGGAAAUAGGGAUCCUCAAACCCCGGGGGUUGUUUGACAUACACCAACUCAUUAAUAGGACCAUUAAUAAAAGCACUCUUCACAUCCAUUUGUUGCAACUCGAAGUUAUGAUGAGAAGCAUAAGCAAUCAACAAACGAAUAGAUUCAAGGCGAGCAACGGGAGCAAAGGUUUCGCCGUAGUCGAUACCCUUGACUUGGGAGUAGGAUUGUGCUACCAAACGAGCCUUGUUGCAAAAAAUAAUCCCGUGAGCAUCUUGCUUGUUCUUGAAUAUCCACUUGGUUCCAAUGACAUUAUGGUUCCCCGUUGGCCUUGGCACCAAUCUCCACGCUUUGUUGUGCUCGAAGUUGUUGAGUUCUUCAUGCAUGGCAUUGAGCCAAUCCGGAUUCUCGAGCGCCUCAUAGAUCUUUUGGGGUUCAACAUAAGAAACAAAUGUGUGAUGUUUAUAAUAGUUUGCUAAUUGUCUACGAGUGCUUACCCCCUUUCUUAAGCUUCCAAGCACAUUAGUUAUGAUAUGAUCUUUGUUUGUGAGCUUGGAUGCAAUCUUAGUGGCACGACGCUCCAAUUCCUCCUCAGGUGUGAGAUGAGGAGUGGAAACUUGAUCAUCUUGAGCGUCGUUUUGAGCUUGUUCUUGAUCUUGAACUUGCUCGGAAGGGAGAACUUGACCUUGGGCAUCACUUGGUGGCUCACCACCAUCUUGAAGUUGAUCUUUUCCUUGAUCUUGUUCACUUGGUUGGGGCCUUCACUUUGUUCUUCAGAAGCGUGCGGGUCUUGGGUUGGUGAUGGCUCCACUUGAGUGGAGCAUUGUCCUUCUCCUUCGGCCACAAGGGGUUCCUCAAUGGGUAGGAUAUGACCAGAACCCAUUCUUCUUAUGGCUUGGGGAGGAAUUUCAUCACCUACAUCACAAGUACCACUUUGCUCCACUUGGGAGCCGUUAUUCUUGUCAAACUCCACGUUACACGUCUCCUCAAUGAGUCUCGUGGACUUGCUGAGGACACAGUAAGCAUGAGAGUCUGUAGCAUAGCCAACCAAUAUGCCCUCGUAAGCUCUAGCCUCAAAUUUAGACAAACGAACACCUUUCUUGAGAAUGAAACACUUAUAACCGAACACCCGGAAGUACUUGAGGUUGGGCUUGUUACCGAUAAAUAUCUCAUAUGGAGUCUUGUUCAAGCCCUUGCAAAGAUAGAGCCGAUUGGAUGCAUGGCAAGCGGUGUUCAUGACUUCGGCCAAAAAGUUGUAGGGAGACUUGAACUCCGCCAUCAUGGUCCUUGCCGCGUCCAUCAACAUGCGGUUCUUCCUCUCUGCUACACCAUUUUGUUGAGGGGUGUAAGGUGCGGAAUAUUGAUGCUUGAUCCCCUCAUCACUAUGAAACUCAUCCAAGGUGUAGUUCUUGAACUCGGUGCCGCUGUCACUUCUUAUUGUCAAGAUCUUUGCAUUGUGUUGACAUUGAGCUUCAUUUGCAAACUCGAUGACGGUUUGUUGAGUUUCACUCUUCCUCUUGAAGAAAUAUACCCAGUGUAUCUUGAAUAAUCAUUGACAAUCACCAAGCAAUAAUUUCUACCACCAAGACUAUCAAAGGCUGGAGGCCCAAAGAGAUCCAUGUGAAGGAGCUCCAAGGGUCUCUUCGAGUAGAUGAUAGUCAUGGGAGGGUGAGCCUUCUCAUGUAACUUUCCUUCAAUACAAGCACUGCAAGCACGAUCUUUGGCAAAACUAACAUUUGUUAGUCCACAGACAUGGUCCCCCUUGAGAAGACUUUGCAAAGAUCUCAUAUUGACAUGGGCUAAACGAUGAUGCCAAAGCCAUCACACACCAACUUUAGCCAUUAGGCAUGUCGCGGUCUUAGUGGGUUGCUCCGAAAAGUUAAUCACAUAAAGAACGUUCUCAACAUGCCCAACAAGGCUACUUUAAGAGACUUGCUCCACAAGAGGGCCACAAUAUCAAUAUCAAAGAAUGUGGAAAAGCCAUGAGUGCAAGUUGACGAACGGAAAGUAAAUUGUAUGCAAGGGACUCAACAAGCAUGACUUUCUCGAUCGUGAGAUCAUGAGAAAUGACAACCUUGCCAAGACCCAAUACCUUGGAAGACGAGGCAUCACCCACUCGACAUUGGUGGGCAUAGAUGGAAUCUUGUGCACGUCCACCACCAGGUCCUUGCUUCCGGUCAUAUGAUUUGUGGCUCCACUAUCGAGCAACCAUGAUCCCCCACCGGAAGCAAACACCUACAAGAGAUCAAUGCUUGGUUUUAGGUACCCAUCUCGUAAUGGGUCCUUUGAUGUUAGUAACAAGGGUCUUAGGAACCCAAAUGGACAAUUCAAUGUACUCAUAAGGAGAACCAACAAAUUUAGCAUAAACAUGCCCAUCACUAGCACGACAUAACACAUAAGAAGGGUUAAAGUCGCAGGCUUUGUUGGAAGGGGUGGCAUUGUCCUUCUUGACACCACCACCCUUCACAUUGUUCUUCUUAUCCUUAGGAGCACCAUCUCCCUCCUUCAAACAAGUUUUCUUGAGAGGAGGAGGUCUUUUGGCCUUGUCAUUCUUCUUCUUGUUCUUGGACUUGGGUGUGAACCCAACUCCCUCCUUGGCCACAACUUCCUUUUGAUUGCUCAAAAGGUCGUUGAGGUUCUUCUCACCUUGUAUGCAAGACACAAGGCCUUUCUCAAGUUGCUCCUUCAACUUGGCAUUCUCCUCCACAUGAUGCACACGCUCACAACACGAGUUAGUAGCAUUUGCAUUAUCAAUUAAGACCAUAUGAGGAAAAGUGGCUUUCUCCUUGGUUAGCUUCACUUGGAGUUGAUCAUGAGACUCCUUGAGGCUAGCAUGAGCACCCUUCAAAGCCUUGUGAGCCUUGUCAAGUAUAUCAAACUCCUCCUUGAGUCUAGCAUGGUCAACCCCAAGUUUAGCCUUCUCAGAAUUGAGCACACGAGAUACAACAAGAGCAUGAUCAAGAUCUUUCUUUAAUUUAGCAUGGUCAUCGUUGUGUGACUCCUCAAGAGCCAAAUGAUGAACACGCUAUUCCUCAAGUGUAUUAGAGAGAUCCAAUAUCUCACCGGCAUAGUCAUGACUAUGACCUUCCAUCUUAGAGAUGGUUUCUUCAUGAGCAUCGACCAUGUCAUUGGCUUCACCAAGUUGUUCCAAGAGAGCAAUGAAGUGCCUCUUGUAUUUACCCUUGAGCUUACUCAUAAAAGACUCAAUUACAUUUACUUCCUCAUUAGACCCCUCACUUUCAUUAGUGCAAUCCAUCAAGGAAGAAUUGGUAAUGAUGGUAGUUUUGAUGUUGGGGGUUACCUUGUUAGUGGCUUUGGCCAUGAGGCACUUGGCGGUGAUGUUCUCAUUGGGUGAAUCAAAGAGGGACACCCGUGGAUUGUGGCAAUGGCAACAGAGGCCAUGGCCAUGGCUUCACCAUCUUCAUCAUCAUCAUCAUCAUUGUACUCUUCUUGUGCCACCAACCCUUUGGUCGGAGUCUUCUUGGUGAAGUUGUUCUUGUUGGGGAAGGACUUGGCUUUGUCUUUUCGGAUGAGCUUGCCACCAUUGUCUUCCCGCUUCUCGUAAGGUCACUCUGCAACAAAGUGGAUCACAUUGCCACAAUUGUAACAUGUCCUCACACGUUGCUUGCCCUUGAUGCCACUAGAGUUGUUCUUGUUGAAAUUGGGCCUUGAAUUCUUCUUGCUCCAAAAUUUCCUUGAAGCGAGAGCCAUGUGCUCAUGAUAAUCAUAUUUCAUGUCUUCGGGGUUCCUCUCCCCAUCUUCCUCUUCAUCUUCUUCUUCCACACUAGCCUUGGCCUUCAAGACAAGGUUGGGCUUCUUUGCUCUUUGAGAAUGCAACACCACAUUGUCGGUGGUCUUGUCCAAGAUCCUCAUCGCCACAAACUCAUCCAACACUUCACUUGAGGUCAAGGUGUGGAAGUCCGGCCUUUGACGGAUGAGGGAGGACAUUGCCUUGUGGUAAGGCAUCAUGGCCUUGAGGAACUUGCGCUUGAUCCAAUUGUCAUAUGUAUCCUUGCUCCCAUGAUCUCGGAGUGAAACCGCGAGGGUGGUUAAUCUCCGGUAAAGCUCGCGGGGUUCUUCAUCUUCAUUCAUUGCAAACUCAUCGGCUUCAUCUUGCACCACUUCAUAGUUGGAUCGUUGAAUGCUUGUGCUUCCCUUGUAAAUGGAAACAACAUGGUGCCAUGCUUCCUUGGCCACGGUGAAAGGUCGGAGAUGCGCAAUAUCUUCGGAUGGAAUUGCAUCUUGGAUGAUGAAGAGAGCAUUCUCGUUGAAUUGAUGGUCCGCAGCUUCUCUAGGGGUGAACUUGCUUGGGUCAUGCGAAUAGAAACCUUACUCAAUGAUUCUCCAAAGAUUAGUAUUAACAUGAUUUAAAUGACAUUUAAAGCGAUAGACCCAAGAGUCAAAAUCCUCAUUUUUCACAAUCUUAGGAGGAGGACCAACAUGAUUCAAAUGAGUGGAGGGAACCGGUCCUCCAUAAGUAGGUGGAGGUUCAACAUGGGCAAAGAUGCCGCUACCAUUUCUACCACUAGAUAAAGGAACUUUAUCACAAGAAGCUUCCCCCUUAUCGGAGUUAGCAUCCACCACCUUAUUAGUGGGAGCAACCACUUCCAACGGUGCAGUGGAUAACUUAAGACCAUCAAGAAACUCCUUGAACAUGACGAUGUAGGUUUUCAAUGUGUCCAAAGCCACAUUGAAUUCCUCACACCGGGGAUCCCCCAUCGGCCGUAGACGAAGAAGGAUUCACAUCGGGGUGCUCCUCCUCACUGUCUAUGGUGUCAACCAUACUCUUUGGACGGUAAAGUCCUUAAUAAAGAGAUGAAGCUUUGAUACCAAUUGAAAGGAUCGAUAUAGUUGAGUAGAGGGGGGGGGGUGAAUAGGCAACUAACAAUUUUUACCUUUUCUUUACCAAAUUAAACUUUGCAUCAAAGUGGGUUAUCUAGAUAUGCAACUAGGUGAGCAACCUAUAUGAUGCAACAACAACAAGCACACAAGCAAGCAAAGGAUAUAACACAAUAUAGCUUGCACAAGUAAAGGUGAGAGAUAACCAAAAGGGGAACCGAUGGAGACGAGGAUGUGUUACCGAAGUUCCUUCCCUUUGAGGGGAAGUACGUCUCCGUUGGAGCGGUGUGGAGGCACAAUGCUCCACAAGAAGCCACUAGGGCCACCGUAUUCUCCUCACGCCCUCACACAAUGCGAGAUGUCGUGAUUCCACUAUUGGUGCCCUUGGAGGCGGCGACCGAACCUUUACAAACAAUGUUAGGGCAAUCUCCACAACUUAAUUGGAGGCUCCCAAUGACACCAUGAAGCUUCACCACAAUGGACUAUGGCUCCGCGGUGACCUCAACCGUCUAGGGUGCUCAAACACCCAAGAGUAACAAGAUCUGCAAGGGAUUAGUGGGGGGAAUCAAAUUUCUCUUGGUGGAAGUGUAGAUCGAGGCCUUCUCAACCAAUCCCUAGAGAAUCAACAAGUUUGAUUGGCUAGGGAGAGAGAUUGGGCGAAAAUGGAGUUUGGAGCAUCAAUGGAGCUUGGGGAUGGAAGAGGUAGUCAACUGGGCGAAGAAGACUCCCCUUUUAUAGUGAAGGGACAAAUCCAACCGUUAUCCACUUAACCAGCCCGCGACAUGCGGUACUACCGCACCAGACAUGCGGUACUACCGCAAGGCGUUGUCGUACUACCACUAGGAGGUGCGGUACUACUGAACCCAUGGCAUAUACCAAAAGAAGCCUGUUUGCGUUGAUGUUACGAGUGGUAGAACCGCCGGAGCGGUACUACCGUGCGCCCUUGCGGUACUACCACAAGGCAGGGUUCGACUGGGCUGGGAAGGCACGGAUGAAUAAAAUUACAUCCAUGACUACUUCUGCUGAGUUUAGAUCGGUGCAAAAAUCCGACACGGUACUACCGCAUCCAGGGAGCGGUACUACCGCAUAAGGCGCAGAUGUAAAAAAUUACAUCCGCCCCUACUUCUGCGCGAGUAGCAGUGCUGGACCAAAAGUCAAAGUACUACCGCGUCCUAGGAGCGGUACUACCGCAAGGUGGUGCAGUACUACCGCAUCCUUGGACGGUACUACCAUGAGCCUCUACGGUACUACUGCUCCCUUGAGCAGUACUACCGCACGCCACAGCACACUACUACUUGGAGUCGUUCAUUUUGCAAAGAGACAGAUAACUGAUCGGUGCUCCAAAGAGGCAAGGGAAAGGUGGUGUAAAGAAACAGACGUGUAUGUAAUGAUUCCACCCUAACCUUUCCGAAGCGGACCCCCUCUUAAUAGUAUGACUUUCCUACGACUCAAAUCCACCAAAAGGAAAUAUAGAGAAACGCCGUCUUCACUAGGCUCCGAGGGGCAUCGAAUCGUCUUGUGCCAAAACAUGAGAUAUCUGAAAUGCUCAAUGCACACGAUUAGUCCACAAAAGCAUUGUCAUCAAUCACCAAAACCACUUAGGGUGAAAUAUGCCCUUACAAUGUCAAUUUGGUAUUCGUUUGAUACUGGUGGUGUUGUGUGAACGUCGACUACAUGACACUUCACCAUGAUUUGGGCCUAGGGGAAGGCAUUGGGAAGUAAUAAGUAGAUGAUGGGUUGCUAGAGUGACAGAAGCUUAAACCCUAGUUUAUGUGUUGCUUCAUAAGGGGCUGAUUUGGAUCCAUAUGUUUCAUGCUAUGGUUAGGUUUAUCUUAAUUCUUCUUUCAUAGUUGCGGAUGCUUGUGAGAGGGGUUAAUCAUAAGUGGGAGGCUUGCCCAAGGAAGGGCAACACCGAAGCACCGGUCCACUCACAUAUCAAAUUAUCAAAGUAACGAACGCGAAUCAUAUGAGCAUGAUGAAAACUAACUUGACAAUAAUUCCCAUGUGUCUUCGGGAGCGCUUUACUUUAUAUAAGAGUUCGUCCAGGCUUGUCCUUUGCUACAAAAAGGAUCGGGCCACCUUGUUGCACCUUGUUUACUUUUGUUACUUGUUACCCUUUACGAAUUAUCUUAUCACACAACUAUCUGUUACCAAUAAUUUCAGUGCUUGCAGAGAAUACCUUGCUGAAAACCGCUUGUCAUUUCCUUCUGCUCCUCGUUGGGUUCGACGCUCUUACUUACCGAAAGGACUAUGAUAGAUCCCCUAUACUUGUGGGUCAUCAAGUACCAUGAACCGACAAUUCUUCUAUUACAAAGCAUGCUUGCACAAAAAUAUUUCUAAAAGCAGGAGUAUGGCCAUCCGUGCUCGUACCACGCACCAAAAUACUCUCACGUUACUCAGAAGUGCAAAAUACUCAAUUACUUCUCAUGAAUAUUCAUAUCAUAAGUCCACAAUUCAUCGGAUCCCAACAAACAAACUGCAAAAGAAGAUUACAUCGGAUAGAACUCUAAGAACACCUAGGAGAACAUUAAAUUGAAGAUCAAAUAGAGAGAAGAAGCUAUCUAGCUACUAGCUAUGGACCCGUAGGUUUGUGGUAAACUACCCAUGCAUCAUCGGAAGGCAGUAAGGAUGAUGUAGAAGCCCUCUGUGAUUGAUUCCCCCUCCAAAAGAGUACCGGAAAGGCCUCCAGAUGGGAUCACAGAAGAACAGAAGCUUGCGGCAGUGGUAAAAGUGUUUCAGAUGGCUCUCUGUUGGUUUGGGAAUAUCUAUGAAUUUAUAGGCUUGGAAUUAGGCAAAUGGAGUUGUGUGGGUCCCACAAGCUCAGGGGGCACGCCUACCCCCUGGGGCGCCCCCUCAAGCUUGUGGCUUUCCCGUAUCUCAUCUAGUCUCCUUCUGAAGCUUCUAGGGUCCCUUUUGGUCCAAAAAAAAUUAAUCCAAAGAUUUUUAUUGUUUGGACUUCAUUUGAUAUUGAUUUUCUGAGAAGCAAAAAACAGGAAAUGGCACUAGGUUAAUAGGUUAGUCCCAAAAAUGAUAUAAAAUAUUAUAUAAUUUCAUAGAAAACAUCCAAGAUUGAUAAUAUAAUAACAUGGAAUAAUAAGAAAUUAUAGAUACGUUGGAGACGUAUCAGGCUACGCAUGGGCGAUGCAUUUGCUCAUCAGCAUAGUGGCGAUUUAGUUUAGCAUGAUUCCUCAAACGAUUGACAUCCUGAAGCAUAUAGGAAGUAUGUUUCUUCUGCCACUUGAUGAACUUGGCCAUCAUUUGCUUCAUCUCGACCAUGAUUUCUCUAUCAGUCAGAGGACUUGGAGGAACAUGAUGCAACUGAUGGAUCAAUGCCUUCGGUGUAAUAAGCAUAAUAACCUCGGGCACUAUCCAUGGGAUCAUAAAAUUGUCCAACAGUCAAAGGAGGAACAAUGCCCAGGCUUGGAUCAGUUGAAACAUUCUUCCCUAUAUCAUUGGAAGUCAUCAAAGGAGGAUGAGUUCGUGAUUCAAUAUUAGGAACAUGUGCAAGAUGCUCAGACUAGGAAGAUAACCCCGUUGAGUAUGCUUGAUGAUUAAAGGCAUGAUCUAGGGAGCAUAAGGCUUCAACACCGGAGUAACACGAGAAGCAUCAUCGCUGUCCUCAGAAAGAAGUUUCGACAUCAACGCACAAAAAGUAGAAAAUUUGCCCUAACAGAUUCCUCAUAACAUCUUGAUCAAUAGCUUCAUGCGAUCCUUUCUUAGGAGCACUAUCUAAGAUAUCGACCGGUAUUUCGAUAAAUCGGCCGAUUUAUCACUUACCUGUGUCUGACCGAUAAGAUAAAUUGACCGAUAUGCCAAUAAACCUGCCGAUUUACGCCUUAUCUUGGGUCGGCCGAUAAGUUCCCCACAAGCGAUUUCCCCAACAUUGCUUAGGAGCAAGUGUUUUUACCAUCAUGCGAUACAAGGUCUUGGCAACAAAUUCAUAUAUUGAUACGAAGAAUUUUAGCACUCUCCUCUUGGGCAUUGAUAGGCCUCGGAUUGUGGAGCAUAUUUAGAAGCUCAGUCUUCACUAGGUCUAGAAUAUGCAGUCUCUGUUCUUCAGUGCUUGGAACCCGAAUAUGACAUAGAGUACUGAAUGCAAUGCUAAAUUCAUCUGCAAUAGCUGCGCACUAAGUAUGUUGUGUCAUCUAGUGAAGCUUACAGGUGCUAGUAUCCUCCAGACACAAAGAGAGUAGCAUAGAAUUGAAUAAACAAUUCUUCAUUCAAGCUUUCCAUGCCUUCAUAGGCGGACAAUCAACUCCCAACAGGAUAUACAAUCAUAUUUUUUUAACAAUCCAUGCUUUGUGGGAUGAAUUUUGAGAUGUUGGCAACAACAACAACAACAAAAACACUGCAACAACCUCGUGCAUAUCAUGUGGAACGCGUGGAAUGAGUCACAUCUUUAGGCUCCUUCAAUUCAAAGGAACUUUAUAGGAUCCAGAGAAAUUGAACCCCGAGAAUUUUUUGCUAGGGUGGUCGUCUGAUUAGUAGGAUUGGAGAUUUUUUCAAUAGGACUCAUUUGUACUUCACUUUAAACGAAAGUUUCCAUCAGCUCAAAUCUCUUGAUAGUCACUUUAUUUUUCUCUGCUAUCAAACACACUUUCAUCUGAAUCCUUGUAGUUUUGCAAUUCUAUUGGAUAUACGAGCACACGGCACUCAUCCUCCUUCAUUUUUCCUAUUCCUAUGUUUAAAAAACCAUGCAAAUAAAAAAUGCCCAUAAUGGGAAAGAUGAAUGUGAGAUGAAUUGAAGUGCUCAUUAAUGGUAGUGAUGGAGUAAUUUGUGAAGCCCAAAUGGAACACACAUGUCAAAGUUAAACCCGACAAGAUACUAAGCUAACAUAUUAAAGAGCCAUUCACCACGUGGCAGGCGGAGUGGUGAGCAAUCUCAAAAUCAUGCAAAUGAUAUGUUUAACUAAAAAAUUAGGGUUCCUCCGCCUCCCGCUGGCGCCGCCGCCGAUCCGCCUCAUCUCCGGUGGCCUUAGGGCCAUGGGGACACGAUGUAUCCCUGCCUUUGCCGAUGGGAGGGCUCCAUUUUUAGAUGUGUUUUCGAGUUUUGUUAGGGUUUGUGUCCUGCUCAAGAAGGCGAAGCGGUGGCGGCUCUCUGAAUGUGGAAUAAGAUCCUCCCCGCCUAGCCCCUGUUCCGGUGCUGCAUCUAGCAUCGUCGGUGGGCCUGUGGAGGCAUGUCUUCGGUGGACCUGCUUUUGGUGGAUUUGCUCGGAUCUGUUCGUAGUUCGUCUAUGUUUUUGUGUCUUCGCUAUAACCUUCCGAUCUAUGCUACUCUUCAUCGGCGACGGUCGCUAUUCUGGUGUGCUGGUUCUAUAGGGCCUUAGCACGACGACUUCCUGGUUGUUUACUACAACAAGUUUUGCCCAGCUCCCAUGAUGGAGAGGCCUUGUCGGCGGUGCACCUUCAGCUCGCUUCAGUGCUUGUAGUCGUCGCUAGGUGGUCUACAAAUCUAGAUGUAAUUUUUAUUAUUUAUUGUGUUCAUUGUACUACCAUGAUUGACCUCAGAUGUUUUUUUUAAAAAACCAUCAAGCGAAUACAUAAAAAAUGCUAAAAAUGCAAAACUACUCCUACAAAACUACCGCUGACAAAUUCACCUCGCCCAACCCCUGGGAUAUGCCCCCUCGGAUAUGCUAUAAAUUACAGCCACAUGUCUUCCGCCAUCGCCUUCAACCCCUACUUCCAUCGGCGGCACAGUAGCAGCACACCGACUAGAAAAGGCGCCCGAGAGGAGGGGCGAGCGAGUGAGCGACCCACCGAAUUUCCCUAAAAAAAUUAAGGAAAAGCCAAGCCGAACAACCGAAUGAUUCUGCUGUGCGUAUCCUCCUCCCCUUCCACACCCGCUAUAAUAGCGCCACGCCUUCGUCGCCUUCGUCACCGCACCACCACUCCCUCCCUACCUCACUCCUGAUCUCCCCACCGUCUCCUCCUCGCCUCCUCCUCGACCCCCCGCCCCCUCGCGCGUGCCCACCGGCCCGGCGCCGUGGCCACGACAGCGGAGAUGGUGUUCUCCGUCACGAAGAAGGAGACCAAGCCCUACGAGGGCCAGAAGUCCGGCACCUCCAGCCUCCGCAAGAAGGUCCGCCCCCCUCCCCUUCCCUCCCCUCCCCCCAGCUCCCCAUUCCCGCGGCCCCGAUCCGGAUGCCGUGGGAGUGAAGUGUGUGAACAUGAUUUGGUAAAGCUAGCGGUGAGAGGCCAUGUAGGAGUACAUGGUGGGUUGUCUCACUGGAACCGUCCUUAAGCAUUGAGUUCUAUGUAUGUUGUCCAAUGACUCGAUACUACCACACAUUGGGAUCCUUAAUUGACUCUCUAGACUUAUUAACCGACUUGAUCUCUGUCCAGGAGUCGCAACUAGUUUCUGGUGUUUGUAGGUAGUGCUAUUUUUCUACCGAGUGGCACCCGGUAGGGUGGGCUUGGGUCAGACUAGGCACAGGUGGCACGGUGUACCAAGUGGCACCCGGAUGCUGGGCCUGGGAACCCUGCUCACAUCGUUUGGGGCCGUGAGCGACACCCCGGCCGGAUCUCCUUGCGGAUGGAACCCGAAUAAGCGAUAAACCUGGACUAGAGUCUUGUGUGGUUAGUCAGGUCGUGGCCGACACCCACGCCAGGAUUCCGCUUGAAGGUUGCCGAGAUACAUGACGUGUACAUGGCGGUAAGUGGCGAGAGCGUGUGUGAAGAAGUACACCCCUGCAGGGUUAACAUGAUCUACUCGAAUAGCCGGGUCCGCGGUUAUGGACUUCUUGGAUGCUUAUGUGGUACAUAGACAACUUGAAGUGGAUACUCUAAAAUGCUCAAGACAAGUGUGAGUGCUAUGGAUGGCCUUCUCGUAGGGAGACGGGGAUGAAUCCAUAGUGGUGUAUUGUGUGGUGGUUAGUGGACUCGUGUAUGUUGUCUCACCUCAAAGAAGUUUCUCGUAGUAGUAGAACAGGAUAGCCACUGAGUCAAAGCUGGCCUGCUGCAACUAAACCCCACAUUACCCUCUUGAUACAAAUGCAUGUAUGAUAGGAUCUGAUGUAAGUCUUGCUGAGUACCUUUGUACUCAUGUUGCUUUAUUUAUGUUUUUGCAGCGGAGACUUCGGUCUUACUAGUGUUCUCGUGGACUUCGACAAGUAGCUUGUACCUCAGCUACGAUCUUGAUAGGAUGUUGUAGAUACUCAGGCUCUUUAGCCUUUUUCAUUUGUAGAUGUCCAUACUCAGACAUGUAAUGCUUCCGCUUGUUGCUUGUAUGCUCUGUAUGAUGGGUCCUGUGACCCCUGUUUGCAAUAAAUGCUAUGAUGACUCUUUAAGCCUUAUCUAUAUGAGUUGUUGAGUUAUGCUGUGAUGCCUUGUUGUACAACACAUACUUGCAUGUUAUGCGUAUGUGUAAUGUGUAUUGCUAUGUGUGGGAUCUGACUAUCUAGUUGUUUAUCCUUGGUAGCCUCUCUUACCGGGAAAUGUCUUCUAGUGUUUCCAUUGAGCCCUGAUAGCUUGCUACUGCUCCGGAACACUUAGGCUGGCCGGCAUGUGUCCUUCUUCAUUCCUGUGUCUGUCCCUUCGGGGAAAUGUCACGCGGUGUCUACCGGAGUCCUGUUAGCCUACUACAGCCCGGACCCUCCGGAGUCCUGCUAGCCCAGUUGCUACAGCCCGGAUUCACUCGCUGAUGACCAACACAUUCGAUGCUGGGUCAUGUAUGCCUGUCCCUGUAAGUUAGUGCCACUUCGGGUUCACGACUAGCCAUGUCAGCCCGGGUUCUUUGCCAUAUGGAUGCUAGCGACGCUGUCAUAUACGUGUGCCAAAAGGCGCAAACGGUCCCGGGCAUGGUAAGGCGACACCCGUGGGAAUACCGUGCGUGAGGCCGCAAAGUGAUAUGAGGUGUUACAUGCUAGAUCAGUGUGACUUAGGAUCGGGGUCCUGACAGACUCCCUCAUCCGCGUUCUAGUAACGCUUCCGCUUAGCGAUCUUCAAAGGUAUGAAGAUGCUCAUCCUCUCCCUCUCUUAUUGCUAGAAUCUCCUAGAUUGAUCUUGGUGAUACAUAGGAAUUUUUUUAAUUAUUGCUACAUUCCCCAACAAACACAAGUCAAGCAAUCAACCUACACAUGCAAUUCUAAGAGUAUAGCAGCGGAAUGUAAAUCAUUGCAUAUGAAGGUAAAAGGGAGGAGUUUGUAGGGAGCAAACGCAAUAUAGACACGGAGAUUUUCGGCGUGGUUCCGAUAGGUGGUGCUAUCGUACAUCCACGUUGGAGACUUCAACCCAGGAAGGGUAACGGUUGCGCGAGUCCGCGGAGGGUCCACGAAGAAGCAAUCUUGUAUAUCCCACCAUGGCCAUCGCCCACGAAGAACUUGCCUCACUUGGGUAGAUCUUCACGAAGUAGGCGAUCUCCUUGCCCUCACAAACUCCUUGGUUCAACUCCACAAUCUUGACAGAGGCUCCCGAGUGACACCUAACCAAUCUAGGAGACACCACUCUCCAAAAGGCAAUAGAUGGUGUGUUGAUGAUGAACUCCUUGCUCUUGUGCUUCAAAUGAUAGUCUCCUCAACACUCAACUCUCUCUCACAGAUUUGGAUAUGGUGGGAAGAUGAUUUGAGUGCAAAGCAACUUGGGGAAGGCUAGAGAUCAAGAUUCUUGUGCUAAGAUUGGAAUGUCUUGGUCUCAACACAUGAGUAGGUGGUUCUCUCUCAGAAAAUGAGUAGUGGAAGUGUAGGCACGUUCUGAUGGCUCUCUCUCUAAUGGAGAAGGGGGUGGAGGGGUAUAUAUAGCCUCCACACAAAAUCUAACAAUUACACACAAUUUACCAAACUCGGUGAGACCGAAUAGUGAAACUCGGUGAGACCAAUCUGGUUCAAAAUGUGAAUGUUAGGAUUUUCGGUGGGACCGACAAUAUCAACUCUGUGAGACCGAUGCGCUAGGGUUAGGGCAAAACCUCAUAUCGGUGAGACCGAUCACAUGAACUCGGUGAGACCGACUUCAGUGAUAAGCAAACAGAGACUUGGUCAGGCAAACUCGGUGGGAUCGAUCGCUCAUUUCGGUGAGACCAAAAUGUUAUGAAAAGGAAACAGAGAGUUUGCAUUGCGAACUUGGUGUGACUGAUCGCUCAUCUCGGUAAGACGGAAACAUUACGAAGGGAAACCCAGAGUUUGCAAUCCCAUCUCGGUGAGACCGAGAUCUCUAUCAGUGAGACCGAGAUCUCUAUCAGUGAGACCGAACUGAUUUGGGUUUCUGGCUAUGGCUAUGACAAGUGAACUCGGUGGCGCCAGAUAGAUCAAAUCAGUGGGGCCGAGUUUGACUUUAGGUUUAGGACAUAUGUGGAAAUGAGAAAGUGGUUGAGGGCUUUUGGAGCAUAUUACUAAGCAUUUUGAGCAAGCAAGCCAUUAAGCAACACCUCAUCCUCUUUUAAUAGUAUUGGCUUUUCCUAUGGACUCAAUGUGAUCUUGGAUCACUAAAAUGAGAAUGAAGAGUUUUGAGCUUUUGCUAAUAUGUGUCCUUAGCAUUUUGAGGGUCCACAUCUCUAGUCCAUGCCAUGCCAAUCAUUGAACUUUCUGAAACAUUAAUCUUGAAUGGAUAUUAGGUCAAUGAGCUAUAUGUUGUUAUGAAUUACCAAACCCACCCGGGGAUUAGCUGCACUUUUAGUAUCUCAUCUAGUCACCUCCCGAAGCUUUUGGGGUCCAUUUUGGUCUAGAAAAAAUUAAUCCAAAGAUUUUUAUUGUUUGGACUUCGUUUGAUAUUGAUUUUCUGAGAAGCCAAAAACAGGAAAUGGCACUAGGUUAAUAGGUUAGUCCCCAAAAAAGAUAUAAAAUAUUAUAUAAUUCCAUAGAAAACAUCCAAGAUUGAUAAUAUAAUAACAUGGAAUAAUAAAAAAUUAUAGAUACGUUGGAGACGUAUCAGGCUACGCAUGGGCGAUGCAUUUGCUCAUCAACAUAGUGGCGAUUUAGUCUAGCAUGAUUCCUUAAACGAUUGGCGUCCUGAAGCAUAUAGGAAGUAUGUUUCUUCUGCUACUUGAUGAACUUGGCCAUCACUUACUUCAUCUCGACCAUGAUUUCUCUAUCAGUUAGAGGCCUUGGAGGAACAUGACGCAACUGAUGGAUGGAUCAAUGCCUUCAGUGUAAUAAGCAUAAUAACCUCAGGCACUAUCCAUGGGAUCAUAAAAUUGUCCAACGGUCAAAGGAGGAAUGAUGCCCAGGCUUGGAUCAGUUGAAACAAUUCUUCCCUAUAUCAUUGGAAGUCAUCAAAGGAGGAUGAGUUGGUGCUUCAAUAUCAGGUACAUGUGCAAUAUGCUCAGAUUAGGAAGAUACCCCCGUUAAGUAUGCUUGAUGAUUAAAGGCAUGAUCUAGGGAGCAUAAGGCUUCAACACCAGAGUAACACGAGAAGCAUCAUCACUGUCCUCAGAAAGAAGUUUCGACAUCAAAGCACAAAAAGUAGAAAAUUUGCCCUAACAGAUUCCUCAUAACACCUUGAUCAAGGCUUCAUGCUAUCCUUUCUUAGGAGCACUAUUUAAGAUAUCGACCGAUAUUUCGAUAAAUUGGCCGAUUUAUCGCUUACCUGUGUCUGACCGAUAAGAUAAAUUGGCCGAUAUGCCGAUAAACCUACCGAUUUACGCCUUAUCUUGGGUCGGCCGAUAAGUUCCCGAUAAGCGAUUUCCCCAACAUUGCUUAGGAGCAAGUGUCUUUACCAUGAUGCGAUACAAGGUCUUGGCAAGGAAAUUCAUAUAUUGAUACGAAGAAUUUUAGCACUCUCCUCUUGUGCAUUGAUAGGCCUCGGCUUGCGGAGCAUAUUUAGAAGCUCAGUCUUCACUAGAUCUAGAAUAUGCAGUCUCUGUUAUUCAGUGAUUGGAACCCGAAUAUGACAUAGAGUACUGAAUGCAAUGCUGAAUUCAUCUGCAAUAGCUUCGCACUAAGUAUGUUGUGUCAUCUAGUGAAGCUUACAGGUGCUAGUAUCCUCCAGACACAAAGAGAGUAGCAUAGAACUAAAUAAUCAAUUCUUCAUUCAAGCUUUCCAUGCCUUCGUAGGCGGACAAUCAACUCCCAACAGGAUAUACAAUCACUUUUUUUAACAAUCCAUGCUUUGUGGGAUGAAUUUUGAGAUGUUGGCAACAACAACAACAAAAACAAAAACAUUGCAACAACCUCAUGUAUAUCAUGUGGAACCCCUGGAAUGACUCACAUCUUUAGGCUCCUUCAAUUCAAAGGAACUUUAUAGGAUCCAGAGAAAUUGAACCCCGAGAAUUUUUUUCCUAGGGUGGUCAUCUGAUUCGUAGGAUUGGAGAUUUUUUGAAUAGGACUCAUUUGUACUUCACUUUAAAUGGAAGUUUCCAUCAGCUCAAAUCUCUUGAUAGAGUCACUUUAUUUUUCCUCUGCUAUCAAACACACUUUCAUCUGAAUCCUUGUAGUUUUGCAAUUCUAUUGGCUACAAGAGCACACGACACUCCAUCCUCCUUCAUUUUUCCUAUUCCUAUGUUUAAAAAACCAUGCAAAUAAAAAAUGCCCAUAAUGGGAAAGAUGAAUGCGAGAUGAAUUGAAAUGCUCAUUAGUGGUAGUGAUGGAGUAAUUUGUGAAGCCCAAAUGAAACACGCGUGUCAAAGUUAAAACCGACAAGAUACUCAGCUAACAUAUUAAAGAGCCACUCACAGCGCGCAACAAGCGGCAUGGUGAGCAAUGUUCAAAUCAUUCGAAUGGUAUGAUUAACUAAAAAAAUUAGGGUUCCCCCAUCUCCCGCCGGCGCCGCCGCCGAUCCGCCUCGUCUCCGGUGGCCUUAGGGCCAGGGGGACGCGAUGGAUCCCUACCUUUGUCGGUGGGAGGGCUCCCUUUUUAGAUGCGUUUUCGAGUUUUCUUAAGGUUUGUGUCCUGCUCAGGAAGGCGAGGCGGCGAUUCUCCCCGUCUAGCCCUGUUUCCGGUGGUGCAUCUAGCAUCGUCGGUUAUCCUGUGGAGGUGUGUCUCCGGUGGACCUGAUUUUGGUAGAUUUGCUCGGAUCUUGUCUUGAGGUUGUAUCCUUCCGAUCUACGCUACUCUUCAUCGGCGACGGUUGCUAUUCUGGUGUGCUGGUCCUAUAGGGCCUUAGCACGACGACUUCCCGACUAUUUACUACAACAAGUUUUGCCCGGCUCCCGUGAGGGAGAUGCCUUGACGGCGGCGCGCCUUCGGCUCGCUUCAGUGUUUGUAAUCGUCGUCAGGUGGUCUAUAAAUCUAGAUAUAAUUUUUAUUAUUUCUUGUGUUCAUCGUACUACCAUGAUUGACCUCAUAUUUUUUAUUUAAAAAAAAGCCAUUCAGUGAAUACAUAAAUAAAAGCUAAAAAUGAAAAACCACUCCUACAAAACUACCGCUGACAGUUUCACAUCGCCCAACCCCUGGGAUACGCCCCCACGGAUAUGCUAUAAAUUACAGCCACAUGUCUUCCGCCAUCGCCUUCCAUCGGCGGCACAGCAGCAGCACACCGACUAGAAAAGGCGCCCAGCCCCAGAGCAGGAGCGAGCGAGCGAGCGACCCACCGAAUUUCCCUAAAAAAAAUAAGGAGAAAAAGGGAGAAGCCAAGCCGAGCCACCGAAUGAUUCCGCUGUGCGCAUCCUCCUCCCCCUCCACGCCCGCUAUAAUAGCGCCACGCCCUCGUCGCCUUCGUCACCGCACCACCACUCCCUCCCUACCUCACUCCCGAUCUCCCCACCGCCUCCACCUCCUCGCCUCCUCCUCGACCCCCCGCCCCCUCGCGCGCGCCCACCGGCCCGGCUCCGUGGUCACCGCAGCGGAGAUGGUGUUCUCCGUCACGAAGAAGGAGACCAAGCCCUACGAGGGCCAGAAGCCCGGCACCUCCGGCCUCCGCAAGAAGGUCCGCCCCCCUCCCCUCCCCUCCCCCGCCUCCCCAUUCCCGCGGCCCCGAUCCGGAUGGAUCUCAUUGUGCCGUGCCGUGCCAGCGCCGUUAGGUUCGUCGGGUGUCCCGAUCCGCGAUGGCCGCUCCCCUCUGUAUUUUUUUUAACCCCGGGUGUCGGGCCCCGCGAUCUCGCCCGCCCCAUGCACGUGCGCGGGAGGGAUUUCGGCCUCUCCAGCUCUGGGAAAUCGGGCUGAUCUCCAAUGGUUCGGUUCAGCGCGUUUCGGUGGGAUCCGCUGUUCCGUUGGCAACGUUGGGUCGAGGCAGGAGGGCGAGUGUGAUUCUAAUUGUGUCGUCUGAUCCGGGAGGUUCGCGCUGGCGCAGAUCAUCAGUUUCGUUAAGGAUCACUGGAUCUCGCUGAGUGCGGUUAAAUUGCCUGCAAACUGCCUGCCAAUGGUGCCACGCAUGGCGAUGAUCUGUUACCAUGGCUGACAGCCAUACUGGAAUGUCCUGUUCCGUUUGGGAUCUGGCAUGUAGCGGUGCCAUGGGUUGUCUGAUCGUUUUUGGACUCUGCCUCGCAUUUUUUUUGUUCUUCUGCGGGGACCCCAUCAUAUUAUAUUUAAGUAAGGAGUGCAUUCACGUGGUUUGUAAACAGGACGAAGCAGAAGAUGUUAACACUCUGAAUGUGUAGUGCGGUACAGUGCUACAGCUGUACAUCACUGACCUGUUGCUCAAAUGCUGUUCUGGUUUCGUUUGUCUCUGGUGACUGACGACUAUCCAUGUUAGAUGUGAUCCAGUUCAUGUUUGGGUGCAAUUUUGAUUGCGGGAGAGUUCUUUUUCAUUGUUUUCACCCUUCAUAAAUAAGUAUAAACAAACAGUAAAAUGUUUGUUAUUUAAUGGGCUAUAGAGCAAUAAAUGCUUGCUAGUGUUAACGCAGCCAAAUCUAUGCCAUCUGUAUAUCUGGUUUUAGUUUAUCUAACAUAACAUUUUGUUCCUAGCCAGCUAACAUUGCCUUAAAGGAAGAUAAAAGGGUGAUAGUUUAGUUCUAUGAUACUACAUACAUAAAAUGAUUGAAUGUUCAUGAAUGAUGACCUCUGAUUGCUUAUGGCAUGGCCGUUCUCUUGUUAGUUCUGUUAUUUCUCUGUUGUACUACUUUCGAUUUUGCCAGUGGCCCAGUACAAUUCAUUUGUUGUAUUUGCUUAUUCAUAAUUGAAUGUUACUGUUAUCAGGUUACAGUAUUCCAGCAGCCUCAUUACCUCGCGAAUUUCGUUCAAUCAACAUUUAAUGCCCUUCCAGCUGACCAAGUAAAAGGUUAGUUGCUUAUGCUGCUUGUUAGAAAAUAAUCCUGUACUGCUAGGCACGAAGAAGUACCAAUAAAUAUAAUUGAAGUCACUUCCAUUUCCUGGUAUCAACUUUAACUAUCAGAUAACGAAAAAUAACCAGAUCUAUACAACUUUCAAAAUGUCAGAAGGGUUUAAUUAAUUAUGAUUGAGCAUUUUUACACAUAUUUCUUUGUCAUUUACCUUGUAAAUGAUGUUACCAGUGUUUCUUGUCUUGUCUCUGCAGUCCUUCCUCAUAACCACUAUCAUUUCUUUCCUUGUAGGUGCCACCAUUGUUGUCUCCGGCGAUGGGCGCUAUUUCUCAAAGGAUGCUGUUCAGGUGCUUUGCGAUAAACCGCCCUCUCCUUCCUCAAAAUGACUGAAGUUCUAGGAUUGUCCUAAGUCAAACUUCAUUAAGUUUAACCAAGUCUAUAUAAAAAUAUGUCAACAUCUACAAAAUCAAAUUUACUUUGUUAGAUCCAUAAUGAAAUGUAUUUUCAUAUCAUCUAUAUUUUGAUAUCCUAGAUCCUUGCGGAUUUUUCUAUAAUGUUUGACUUAGAAAAAUCCUAGAACUUCAACUGUUUUGGAACGGAGGGAGUAACCCGUAUGCUUCGCGUACCUUUUGCUAACCCCAUUUUGUAGAAUAUGUAUAGUUUUAUGGUAGCUGCUGCAGUUUUCCACUUGCGUAUUGUAGUUGUGCCGUGCUUGUUCUUAAAAAUAUGCUGGCCAAAAUUUAGCCUAUUGGCUGCUAAAAACUUAAAUAGCAAAUCACCUGUUCUAUGCAACUCCUUUAUAUGUCUGACUUCUAUUACUAUUAAGACAUUUUCAUUUUCAUUGAAUGACUAUCACAACUUGAUAUUAUUUUCCUUGUUAUAGAUCAUUGCAAAAAUGGCUGCUGCUAAUGGAGUAAGACGUGUCUGGGUUGGACAAGACAGUCUCUUGUCAACUCCAGCUGUAUCUGCUAUCAUCCGUGAAAGAAUUUCUGCAGAUGUAAGUCUUGUUUCUUCCAGUUUGGCAAGUGUGCAUGCAUUGCAGCAUAUCCCAUAUAAACCAUUGUUGUAGCUGAACCAUGGAAGUAGUUUUAUAUAAGUGGAUCAUGUAUAUAAAAACAUGACAUAUAGUAGUUUGGUUGUGACACUAUACAGUGCCUACCAGCAAAGGAUGUCUGAGUUCAAACCUCUUUAACCCGCACAUUGUAUUAAACUGUUCAUGAGUUACCAACUAAUCCUAUUGAUCCCAGCUGUCAGGUAAUGGUGGCAGAUGGCAAAUGAAGCAUUAUCACUAAAUGAAAUGUUUAAAUGAACAAAUAUGACAUAAUUGUUUUAUUGUUUGCCUCUUUUUUCUGUCUCGACAAAGUAUCUAUAUAUUGAUUUAUUGACACAAUGAACAACAGGGCGCAAAGGCUACUGGUGCCUUCAUUUUGACAGCCAGCCACAACCCAGGUGGUCCAACCGAGGUAACAUGCUUAGGAAGUUAGGAUGUUCACUGUUACCAUCUCUGGCAAAUCAAGGCUGUUGGUGUUCUGUGUAAAUCAACACCUUUUAUUGGACUUUCCAGGACUUUGGAAUCAAAUACAACAUGGGGAAUGGUGGACCCGCCCCUGAGUCUGUUACCGAUAAGAUCUUCUCUAAUACAAAGACAGUUACUGAAUACCUCAUUGCGGAGGACCUUCCAAAUGUACGAUUUGGUGCCUGCUUGUAUUUUUGUUCUCUUUCUGUUCCCUUUGAUCCCAAGGUAGUGGAAUCCCCAUUUACUCUUCUGUGUUCCCACAUUGUAGGUUGAUAUUUCUGUGAUAGGUGUCACUUCCUUCACUGGACCUGAAGGCCCUUUUGAUGUCGAUGUCUUUGACUCUGCUACAGAUUACAUCAAGCUAAUGAAGUAUGUAGCUUCUGUUUCAAUACAUCAAAUAUUAUGUUUCAAGUAUCAUUUGCUGGUUUCUUUGACUGAAAGUGAUUUUUUGUUGCAUUUAUGAAGGGGAAACACUAGAACCUCAUAAAACAAAGAAUAAAAACAUGAUGAUUAGUCAUUUCAUUAACAGUGUGCAUUCAAUUCCAGGACAAUCUUUGACUUCGAGUCUAUUAAAAAGCUUCUGGCAUCUCCAAAGUUCUCGUUCUGGUACUUAUCUUUAGCCUAAAUUUUGUUGUCAUCCUCCUAUUAACAGCAAAUAGCAUAUCUGAACCCUCGGUUUGCAAUUUUAGUUUUGAUGGUCUUCACGGUGUUGCUGGAGCUUAUGCAAAGCGCAUGUUUGUGGAUGAGCUCGGCGCCAGUGAAAGCUCACUGUUGAACUGUGUUCCAAAGGUAACACUCUUCUAUCAUCACAAGUUGAACAUGGAGUUUGGGUUGGUGUUAAUUUGUCAUUUGUGUUCUUACAGGAAGACUUUGGAGGUGGUCAUCCAGACCCUAACCUCACCUACGCAAAAGAACUGGUUGAUCGGAUGGGUCUUGGGAAAACCUCAAAUGUUGAACCCCCUGAAUUUGGUGCCGCAGCUGAUGGGGAUGCUGACCGCAACAUGGUUCUUGGUAAAAGGUAAUGUUUUGACUACAUUUGUCAAAUCUACAAAAGCACUUGAGGGAGUUCAUAAUGAAUCUUCUGUCCUAUUCUAGAUUCUUCGUGACACCAUCAGAUUCGGUUGCCAUUAUUGCGGCCAAUGCUGUUCAGUCAAUUCCUUACUUUGCUUCUGGCCUGAAGGGAGUUGCCAGGUAAAAUGGUCUCCUGCAUAUUGAGCUUCUACCAUAUGCUCUUUUCUUUCUGAUUAAUACUUCCGCUAGUCGAAUCAAGGCUUUAAGUGGCAAAUAGCACUGCUGUCUGCAGUAAACACGCAUGAUUUCCUAUACGGUUGUGCAUCCAAAUAAGCAUUUCAGGGACUAGGCAGGAUACCGCGGUAACUCUCCAUUAACGAUGGUAACUGGUCGGUUACGAUCAGUUAACAGAAAUGCUUUGCCCAUGGAUACUCCAUAUCUACAAUGGGCAAGUCUGGAGGCUGGAGCCAUGCUGUUUUGCCAGGCUUGCUACCAUUUAAAAAAACAUCGGAUACAUAAGAUUGAAGAAAUUACUAGCUAGAGAAAUACAGAUGUAAAGUAAAAUAAAUUAUACUUGACUGAAGAGCUGGCUUACUAGCUUAAACUGCUAGCUAUGUUUGUCUGACUGGUACAGUUAAGAAAUUUUGUGUACUGGGGUAUUUAGUUAAGUUGAGUACCAUCUUAUGAUUUGCAUCCAUGUUUAUGUUGAAUAAUGUACUGUGUGCCCAAGAUUACAAUCGCCAUCCUACCCAUGUUUUAAAAUUUUGUUGUGCUUCAGUGCUUCACUUUUUCCUGAUCCAUUGGUGAACUUGCAGGAGCAUGCCCACAUCAGCUGCACUUGAUGUAGUUGCAAAGAAUCUAAAUCUCAAGUUCUUUGAGGUAAAGUGUUAUGAUCAUCAAUCGCUAUAUUUCAAAUAUAGGACAGAUAUAUGACGAAGACCAUGCUUUUCAGGUGCCUACUGGGUGGAAGUUUUUUGGAAACCUGAUGGAUGCUGGAAUGUGCUCAGUUUGUGGUGAAGAAAGCUUUGGCACGGGUAAUGCUUGGGGACUCAUCUUGAUCACAAUAACAUGCAUCUGAAUUAAUUGAACAAAUUGGUCUUGCCUUAUGGUAAAAUGCCAUGUAUUCUGGCAUGUAACACCUCUCUUGGGAUAUCCAGCAAACUUGUUUUUCCUUUUGUAAAAAGGAACAGAACAGGUGACAUGAUGUUCUGAAAAAAAAGAACUUAUUAUUUGGAUUUCCAUGAAUGGAUCGACAUGAAGCUGAAAGACGUGUUGAUAUUCAUAGCGCUAACUGGACACGAUAUGGUCGUGGGGUUGCUGAUAUCCUCUACCUAUUUUAGGUUCUGACCACAUCCGUGAAAAGGAUGGUAUUUGGGCUGUUCUAGCUUGGCUAUCUAUUCUAGCUUACAAGAACAAGGACAACCUUGGAGGAGAUAAGCUUGUUACGGUUGAGGACAUUGUUCUUCAGCACUGGGCUACUUAUGGUCGCCAUUAUUAUACACGAUAUGACUAUGAGGUACUUCAUUCAACUGAGGUGUGUGUAUAUACUGCACAUUUGAUAACAUGCUAACAAAACCAUUUGUUAUCGAAGAAUGUUGAUGCAGAAGCUGCCAAGGAACUUAUGGCUAACCUAGUCAAGAUGCAGUCGUCCCUGUCUGACGUUAACAAGUACGUAUGUUACUGUCGCACUUAAUGCACAAAUGGACUUCAUGCACAUAUUUAAGCCUCUUCGAUUUGCUGUGAAACUAAAGCGUACUAUCAUAAGCACUGAAGUAUUUGGAGCUUUUUAUUUCAUGUCACUGACAAAGUGUAUGCAUUGGAAACUACAUCUAAAUUGUAUCUUUUCCUCAGGUCGAUCAAGGAGAUCCAGCCUACUGUUGCAGAUGUGGUCUCGGCUGAUGAGUUUGAGUACAAGGACCCUGUUGAUGGUUCUGUCUCCAAGCAUCAGGGUAUCCGGUAUCUCUUCGGAGAUGGUUCCCGACUGGUAUGGAAUCUCGUGCUGUUAUUUAUUGGUGAACACGUUUGUUUAACCAAACCAACACAAGUAGCAUAAAACCUAGUCUUCAUACUCAAAUUUGACCUUGCAAAUUUGCAAUAUAACAUUGGCAGAGUUGAUCCUUUUGGGGGAAACAAAUGCUGGUGAAGGUGAACUAACACUAAAUCUUGCUAUUGUAGGUGUUCCGCCUUUCUGGAACUGGUUCAGUUGGUGCUACUAUCCGUAUUUACAUUGAGCAGUAUGAGAAGGAUUCUUCCAAAACCGGGAGGGCGUCGAGUGAUGCUCUUUCCCCGCUGGUAAGAUCCAACUCCUCAUGCUUCUAACAAAUAACCAAAACAUUUUGGCGAGGAUGCAGAUCUGACACUUCUUUUUAUCCAGGUUGAUGUGGCCCUGAAGUUUUCAAAGAUCAAGGAGUACACCGGCCGAUCCGCCCCCACCGUGAUCACAUAAAUUUUGACCUAGAUAUGCGCCGAGGCCGCGUAUGAAGUUCAUUUCUGGCCUCAUGUUCGAUAGCCUUUUCUUACAUCUCCCUUCACACCUGAAUAAAUGUAUGUGCCAGACCGUCUCCGUUUCGUUGCCUGUACUUACUCUGCUGCCGGUACAGUAUAUGGCCGUGAUCUUGUCCCAGUGAUUGUAAUCAAGAGUGUUUCUUCGUGCAAUGCAAUAUAUUGACGUGUUACUUUUUUCGUUGAGUACUCGUGUACCAAUCUUAUCUUGAACAUCCAAAGGAAAACAUAGGAAUUUCUGAAGGAUAUUGUUCGCAUAGGAAAUAUUCCUUUGGUACCGUUAGGAAGAACGGAAUCACCGUCUUACUUUCCUUUGAAUUCCCUAUGGAAUGGGCUAUUCUAUCGAAAAUUUGGAGUAAGCCAAAUGAGCCCUUGAUGUUUUCUUCUCUGUCUACAACUUUUUCUUACCAAUGUGAGAUUGAAACGAUUUUGAGUUUUUUGUUGUUGUUGUUGAUUACCCUAUGCAUUGCAACGAUUGAUGCAGACCACAAAUAAGUGCCAUGAACUUGGGUGCCAUGAACGCUUAACACGAGAUGUUUGCAGGCCACAGGCAAGUUCAGGACGAGGAACAUACAUCCAGCCACACAAGCACAUUACAUUACAUGUUAUUGCUUUAUCAUCAUUAUUCAAACCCUGCCAGUCUCAUCACUGCACACACACACACACACACACACACACAACCACGGGCACUCACACAGAAGACAGAACCCAUCAAAGAUGACAUCUACUUGCCAUUGGAGAGGCCGGCCUUGCAGAGGAUGGUGGUCUCGGCGAUCAGGGAGGUGACGACGUAGGGAUCCAUGUUGGACCCCGGCCUCCGGUCCUCGAAGUAGCCCUUGCCUUCCUUCUCGGUGUCGCGGCCCACCCGCACCGACGCGCCGCGGUUCGCCACGCCCUGCAAAAAACAAACAAACAAUGCAGCCGGAAAGCAGUCAGAGAAGAGCAGCAAUGGUGGUGACUCUGAACUCUGAACUCCCCGUGGGGCUUUCCUACUUACCCAUACGAAGGUGUUGAUGUCGGCGGUCUCAUGGCGGCCGGUGAGCCGGCGCUCGUUGCCCUCACCGUAGGCGGCGAUGUGCUCCAUGUGCCGCGCCUCGAGCUUCUUGAUCGCCUUCUUGAUCACCUCGUACCCGCCCUCGCUCCUCAUCGACUUGGUGCUGCAUUCAGACAUCAGCAGGAUCAUGUCAUAACCCAUAACACAAGACUAGAGUAUAGCAGACGGCGAUGCAUCCCUUGGCUUGCUCUCUUUAUCUUACCUGUAGUUUGUGUGGGCACCAGCACCAUUCCAUUCUCCCUACAGUCACACACAUAUGCAAAGUUACAUAUGGCUGGCUGGCCAGUGGAACGGCAGAUCAAGGUGACACUUGUGGCACAAGAAGAAGAAGAAGAAAUGCUCACCGGGAUCGGCUUGGGGUCGAAGGAGACGACGACGCCAGCAAUCUCAGUGAUCCUCUAUUGGGUUACACAAAGGAAAAAUUUCUUAUCAGCACAAGUUGCAUUUUAUUCAUUCAUUCAACCAGAUGAGGCGGUUUCAUUUACCUCCAGGAUGUAGCGAGCCGCCCAGAGCUCGUCGCCGGCCGAGAUGCCGACGGAAGGGCCGACUUGGAACUCCCACUGUCCUGGCAUGACUUCUGCAUUGAUGCCGCCGAUGUUGAUGCCGGCGUAGAGGCAGGCCUUGUAGUGUGCAUCGACGAUGUCGCGCCCGUAAGAUUUCUCCGCACCCGCGGCGCAGUAGUAAGGUCCCUGUCACACACAUUUUGCUCUGCCAGUGUCACUAUCGGUCCAACAUUUCUGAACUGUUGUCAGCAAGUGCUAAGCUAACAUCAUUUACAGCCAAGUUUCCUCCCUUACUUAGUGGAGUGAUCUUGGCUAAGACUUGCUCUUAAUAAGAGUGCUGCAAUAUGCAGCAUGUCUAGUUAAGUUACCUGAGGGCCAGGGUAACCCCCUAGUGGCCAGCCAAUGGGCCAGUUGGUGUCCUUCUGAAGAAGGGUGUACUCUUGCUCAAUCCCAUACCUUACAUUUCAGGCAACAUAAGGGGGUGUCACAAGAUUAAUUGCCACAUGAAUUAAAUUAUGUGCAAAAAUUAAAGUAGUGGACUAAUUUCUAUAGAACAGAGCAACUGAGUACCGACCAUGGUUCUUCAGCCUUGACCUCGGGAUGGCCGAAUAUCCUCGCCGCGUUGUACCGCUUGUUGCUCGGAAUCGGCUCUCCGUUAGGCGCAUAGCAGUCACAGAUGACCUAAACGCGCGAGGUUAAAAAAAAAUACUAGAGGUGAAAAAGCACUCAUGAACAACUUUUCAAAAUUCAUUAACACAAAUAAACAAUAACACGAAAUCCAUGAAUGAAAAAACAAGGAGGAUCUUGAUCAUUCUUAUAUACCAGGAUGUUGUUCCCCUUCCUGAAUGGGUCCCUGAAGAUGGCUUGAGGGCUUGGCAGGAGCAAGACAUGAAAUUCAGAUUAGCUCAGCCUCAAGGCACGCAAGCCAAGGCAUGAUGGUUAUGUGAAGAGUGCAGUCAAGGGCUUACCAGAGGAUGACCUCGCUGUCGUCGCCCGUGGCCUGGCCGGUGCUGGAGCCGUCGAAAUUCCAUUUUGGGAGCUUGCUGGGGUCAUCAACGGGCCCGGGCAGCGUCUGAUUGUGAAUAUCCAAGGCAUCAAAAGGGUCACAGGAAGUGUUAGGAACAUAUCAUGCUUGCAGUGCCGUCACAGCUUAGACAAAAAGGAGCCGGCCGGCAAAGUAAUGAGUCGUCGUGGGUUAGGCUUACCCUGGCUUUGCUCCUGACGUCCAUGCCCGUGCCGCCGACCCUGGAUUAGGCAAGGUGUAUAUGGAAGUAGGUUAGUAAUAAGGCAUAAAAGUACGAUGCCGAUUUCCCCAAUUUAUUAACUUAUAAUGUACUCCCUCCCUCCCCCCUACAAAAAUAUAAAAGCGUUUAGAUCAAAGAUCAUUUAGACCAAAACACUCUUAUAUUUCUUUACAGAGGAAGUACUAGUAUCAUGCAGAUACAAAUCAUGACCAGCAACACCUAGCCAAGGCAUAGCCAAGAUGCACAUAGCCAAACAAAGAAAAAAAGAGAAAAAAAAAACAUAUUGGCAACAGAUCAAGGCCUAAAAACAAGAGAAGGGUUUUUACUGGGCUCAAAAUUUGAGAAACGCACUAGUAUAGUAAACUAAACUAGAAAGAAACGUGAGAUGGGAUUUGUGGGGAGGAAAAAAAUAUGUGGCCUGCCUGACUUGGAAGGAAGGUGAGAUGGGAGGUUGGGACAGUGCUGAGGAAGAUGGAGGAAGAGGGAUGUUACCAUAUGUACUCGGCGAUGAUCUUGCCGGUGCAGCCGGACAGGUCGAGGCUGAGAAGGUCGGCGAGCGGAGACAUGGCGGAUGCCGGCGUGCUGUUCUUCUUCUUCCCCCGGAGCCUACCGGAGAUGGAGAGGGAGAGGGAGAGGGAGAGGUGUUGUAGUGGCAAAUGGUAGCUCUCUGGGAAAUGCGGGACAGGGGAGCGAGCCGAGUGGUGCCGCCGUAGCUGGCUCUGCCCCUCUAUAAGUAGCGUGGCGACGGGGGAGGAGGCCCUGAAAGGUUGGUGGGCGUUGCGGGCGGGGGGAAACGGAAACCGAUGGUACGUACGGCUGUCCUUGCGUGCGUACGUUUCCGCGGCCUGCGCGCACGGAACACCUUUUCUACUGUACCAGUACACGGGACGCCAUGCGUACGGACAACCGCGCUUCGCUGAUCCGCACACCACAUCAGGAGCACUUCAUUAAUUAAAAUUAAGAAAGCCCUGCUGAAAGUGCCAUUCACUCGGUCGGGGAAGGAGAAAUUGGCUAUGGCUAUGGCUGACUUCCCCUUUGCUUAUGCAUGAAGCAGCUGGCUAGCCAGUGCUACUACUCCAGUGGUGAAGGGCAAAUUCACGUUCUCUUGUCCCGGCGUCCGUGCGGAUCCCUGUGGACUGACUGACUGACCCGAUGGGUCAAAGCUAGACGGUGACAUGAGUGAGACGUGAGCCACACCUGCAAGAUACUCUAUGUAGGAAAGCGACCACUGCUACUCCGUGACCAUCGCAGUAGCAAAUUUAACCAUGACUUCGGGACAUGUGUGAGCAGCUAAGUUGUUGUGCCUGUCGUGUCAUCCCCCUCGUGACAUCGUUAGAGCAACUCCAACGGGGCGACCCAAACCAGCACGCGUUUUGUCCGUUUUUGUCAGGCGGACGUGCGCGUCCGUAUUGUAAAAUGGGUCGGCUUGACCAUCCAACGGGGAGGCAGACCCAAAUGUGCCGGCAUGGCAUGCAAAAAAAUAUGCUUGCACGAAAUAAACUUAAAAUAAACAUAAUAAAACAUAAGUGGCCGGUCGCCGGCCAAAGUCCACUUAAACAUAAUUAAAACAUUAAGAAAAAAGACUGCGCCGCCUUCUGCCGCCCCGCACGCUGCCCUUGGCGGCGCCGCUGCCGUCGCCAUCGCCGGUGAGGUCGAUGAAGACGGGAGCAGGGCCUACCCACCCGAACGCCGCCUGGGUAUGCUGCCAGGACAACCUCCUCCGGCGUCUGCUGGGGCGGCGGCAUUGCGGCUAGCCGCGCGCGCUCCUCCUCCUCCUCCUUGAGCCGGAGCGCCUCCGCAUCGCGCUGGAGCAUGGCCUCGUAGCGCAUCUGCUGCUCGCCGUCGGCCUGCUCCUGGCGAGCCAGUGUGCCUUCCAGCGCUCGAGGUGGGCGGCCUCCCGCUCCGGCGUUGCGGCGAAGUGGACGGGGGGCGCGCUCACACACUCGCGGUACUGGCCGAGUAGGCCUCCUCCGGCCAAGUGGGUGGAGACGGGGAGCGCUUCCGCGUCGGCUUCGGCUACGACUUGGGCUGGAUGGGCGGCGACGGUGGCGGUGGCGGCUGGAACAACGGGGUGUGGACGGAGUCCCCCGCCGCCAACAGGGCGAGGGCUUGCUCCAGCCCAUCCCAGCGCGCGUCCUCCUUGAGGCGGCUAGCCUCCAGCGCCUGCUGCAGGGCCUCCUCGAGGGCGGCAGCGGGAACGACGUGGGGACGGCGUCGACGCCCGAGCGCCGUUGCUCCUCGUGCUCGAGGGCGAACCAAGCCUCCCAGUUGGGAGAGUCGGCGACGUACUCAAGGCAGCCGACACUGCUCCGGCGUGAGCUGCGCGCGGCGCUGGUGCACCUCGUCGUCGUGUGCCUGCUGGCUCCGCAGAACCGCUGACACCGGGAUCCGCUGGGGAUCUAAGUGCCAAUGGUGCGGCAGCGUCACGUCAGGGUAGGGGAGGGGCUGCCUGUACUCCCAAUGCCACCGUGCUUGGUGCACCGGGAUGUGCAGGUGCCGAUGUUCAGGGCGUAAAUGGGCCGCCGGCAGAGGAGGAGGGGGAGGGGAGCACGGGAGGACGACAUGCCGGGGGUGCACUUGCCCUUGCCCUUGUCAUUGUUGCCGAAGAAGCCCAUGGCGGGCUAGGGUUUCCUGUCACCGGUGAUGAAGCAAGGGAGUGGUGGGGGGCUAGAUGUGGACAGGAGAACUGGAUGAGGCCGCCCACCCGUCGCACGCGUGCUUAAAAAAGGAAGCUUCCAGAGGCUGACAAGUGGGCCCGCUGUCGGUGGUCGUCAUAAAUAUGACGACCGGUGGCGAUUGGGUGGCCUACAGGUGGGGACGCGGCAGACGCCGAUGAGACGCGCGGCGCGUAUGCUUCGCAUCCGUGCCGACGCAUUCUAGACGCAAUUUUGGGCUGAAAAUGGGUCGGCGCGGACGCGAUUUGCGUUUGGGUCGCCGCGUUGGGCCUGCACUUUUGUCCGCGCCGACCCAAACGGACGCAUGCGGAUGAAAUGGGUUGCCCCAUUGGAGUUGCUCUUACCUCGUGGACGACAAAAUACAUUCACCUAACGAGUUCGUUAGGAAAUGGACAACCAACUCUAGUAGACUGCAGACCCUUAGGGCAUCUCCAACGCGCCCUUCAUCAUCAAAAUGCUGACAAACGUCUAGGGUCUGGAUUCUUUGUGUCAUCCAAUGUCAUACAUCAAAGGGUCUGUGAAUCAGCUUGACCGUCUGCAGAAUUAUCGUAGUACCCCCUGUACGACAGUCUAGUUCGCAGGAGGGCCGGACUUUCUUGUAAACUUGGUUGUGGCUGAGAGGCCUCCUUGAGCAAUGGAAUUCCCUCCCCCCCGCAAAAAUAAUAAUCAGUUUGACCGUUUGAAUUCUCAUAAACCGAAGCAUAGCUGGAGAAGGUUUGCGAACCUUCGGACAGCCACCACGUAGGCAUCUGACACACUCGUCCCACACAAAAACCCAUCUAGAGCCCCGCUUUUCUCUCUCCGACCCCUCACCCUUGCUCUGAAUCCACAUAAUUUGACCUCCACCGCCACCGUUGUUGUAACACCUACUCCGCCGCCCAAGCCUUGCCAAGCCUUCGCCGCUCCGCCUGGGUGCCAGCCACGACUUGCCUAUGCCCUCCCACUAGUUUUGCCACUGUCAGGUAACGUCCACCUCUGCACAUUAUUUUCCAUGGGGCACCACGACCGACAAGUGUUUGGCUAAAUGUCAUGACUAAUUCUUUUGACAUUUUUGUUGCUUAGUUUGAAGCAAACACGAUGGAUUUGGCUGCAAAGUACUUCGACCUUGAGUUCAUGGAUUCGUCCCCGUCAGAUGAGGACGAAUUUGAGGAUAAAACAACAACGAUGCAAGCAGUAAGUGAAGAUGUGGAACGUGCGGUGGAGCAUGACCCCAAUUUCAAGGGAUCGAUCAAGGGACAUCGAGUGUUGAAUCGACAUAGGGCACGAGGGAAUAUGAUGCUGAUGGACGACUAUUUUGUCCCCCAUGAGCUAUUCGAGUCCUUUUUUCAUCAUCGAUUUCCGAUGAGUUGAACUAUGUUUGACUGCCUCUACAAUGAUGUACAUGCCUAUGAUGACUACUUCAUAUUGAAGAAGGAUGUCGUUGUGAAUAAUGGAUCCUCUGGUUACUAGAAGUGCACAUAUGCAUUGAGGAUGCUUGCCGGUGGCAUCGCAGAUUUGUGGGACGAGUACCUAUGAAUGUCCGAACCACAUGUCCCGAAGUCGUGGUCAGGUUUGCUACUGCAUUGGUCAAGGUAUUUGGACUGGAGUACUUUAGGGAACCAACUACCAAAGACACUACAUGACCUAUGGGACUUUCAUAAGAAAGAGGAUAGUCAAGUAUGCUCGGAUCCCUAGAUUGCAUGCACCGACCAUGGAAGAAUCACCCAUAUGCUCUACAAGAGCAAUACCAGGGCCAUUGCAAGAAAUACACAUCAUUCUUAAAGUAGAUGCAUCACAAGACAUCUGGAUUUGACACUCUUUAUUUGGAAUGCCCGGGUCUCACAAUGACAUCAAUGUGUUGCAGUGGUCUCCAUUGUUUGCAAGGUUGUGUGUGUGAGAGAAGCCCCUCUGUGCAACUAUACCAUCAAUGGUCAUGACUACAACAUGGGCUAUUAUCUUUGUGAUGAUAUUUAUCCUUCGCGUGCAACCUUCAUUAAGACCAUCUUCGAUCCAAGGGGUGAGAACAGAUUUAACUUUUCGCAAAGAUAAUAAAGAGCUAGAAACAAUGUCGAGAGGGCAUUUGGAGUGCCCAAGAUUGUUUUGCAGUUGUCCGUGGACUUGCAAAAAUAUUGGAUCCAGGAACAUUAUGGGACAUGAUGACAAAUUGUGUGAUCAUGCACAACAUGGUUUUGGAGGUUGAGGGUGACAAAGUUCGCCGCGGUCUGGAAUUUGAGCCCAUGGGUGAUCCUAUCCUACUUCCAGAGCAAAAUCUGAAUUCGAUGACGUUUGAGAAUUUUAUCCAUAUGCAUCAACAGAUUUGCCAUUGAGCAACUCAUGAGCAGCUUCAGAAUUAUUUGAUUGAGCAUUUGUGGGCGCUUCGAGGGGAGAACUAAAAAUGUGUCCGAAUAAAUUGAAUUCAAAUUCGAACCAUUCUAUGGAAAGUUCACGUCUGGACUGUAAUAUUUAUGUUUGAAUUAUUGUAGCAUUGGAAUAUUUUUACAACAUGAUUAUGGAUGAAGGAUGAAGUGGUCCAAAUAUAGGAAAAAAGUGGCAGACAUUGGGUACAUAGAGUUGGACGGGCCGCCCCCUAUCCCCUGUCCAAGGACAUCAAAUAUACAUAGUAUGAAAAAUAUAUCUAAUGAUGAAUCUAAUGAAGCUAAUUUGGUAUUGUAGAUAAUUGUAUAUUUUCCUAUAAAUUUGGUCAAACUUAAUGAAGUUUGACUUAGGACAAACCUAGAACUUCAAACAUUUUUAAACAUAGGGAGUAGGAUGCACUGACCGCUCUAAUCAUUAGGAGUUUUCUACAAAUAAUCACCUAAUACUUAGAAUCCUAACUAAUCAUGUCAAGAUGGACACAAUCCUAAGGAAGCUAUCAUCUACACAAAUACAUAGAAACAAAUAUCUUGUUGGUGAAAGCUCCAUUGGAAUACUUAAAAAAACCCUAACUGAAUGAGUAGUUUUAGAUGGUCUUUUAUCUCACUUUUUUGGCUUUUGCAGAGUCAUAUAAUCCAAAGUCUCACCCUUUACAAUUUAUGUUUAUCUUUGCAAACAUGAACCCCAUUUAAACACUAAUUUUAUAUCAUAACAAUUCAAUUUCUAUGUUUCGACCACAUAUUAUUCGACAACAUUUCAAAUUCAUAAUUUUAAAUGUUCAAAUUAAAAAUCACAUAAAACUUAUGUUAUAAAUGAACCAAAAUACACACCACAUUAUCCCAAAUAGUUUGUCAUCACCCCACACAAUAUAUCCUAUGAUCAAACAUCAUCCGAAUGCAAAGCUCAUGAAAAAGCAAAGAUCAUUCACAUUGCACAAACACAAUGAGCAUCACACACCACGACCACCAUUACUACUCACUGAAGUGUGCACUCCUCCAAAGUUUUUGAAUAUACCACCUAUACACACUUAUCAUUUUUAGGUUCAACAUAUUAAGGUUAUGCCAACUACCAAUUUCUACCUAACUCUCUAAAAAAAUAUAAGUGAAGCAUAAAGAGUUUAAAGUGUUUCUAUUUAGACUAAUUAUCAUGACACUACAUAAGCUCUCCCAGAUAAUGUUGCUUAGGUGUGAUGAUUAUAAUGAUCAAUAAUCAAAAUAAGUAGAUGCUCAAAGAACAACACAUAAUAUAUGAAAGAAUAAAACCAUAGGUCCAACCGAGACAAAACGAUAGUUGUUGAAGAAGGGGGUUACCUUGGGCAUCCCCAAGCUUAGAAGCUUGGGAUAUCUUACAAUAAUUCUUGUGGGUGCCCUCGGCACCCCCAAGAUUGAGCGCUUGCAUCUCCUGAUUUCUCUCAUAUUACUCUCUCACCCGACUCAUAAAUAUUCCAACCACACAAAAUUUACUCAUAACUCAUGGGAUAGGUUAGUAUAAAGAACACUUCAAUCUAACUGCGCCUCACUGUAGACUAAUUAUAAAGUUGUAACCCAUCAUUAGCUACUGUAUGAUAACACAAUUUUAAAGUUCCCACACCCCUAUGGGAACAAUAAAAUGCAAACAUAAGUAACUAAAGACAAUCAUAACAACAAUAUGUCUAAGCAGAGCGAACAAGAGCAGUAUGUGAUGAAGUCAUGUACCUGGGGUAGGGUCAUGGACCUGUCCAAGGUACCCUCCCCCAGCGCAUCUUUAGAAGAAGCCGUCUUCCAGUCGAUCUAGAGGGACUCCACUCGACGGACUAGAAGACGCUCGAGGAACAUGAAGACACUCGACCAUGAAGACUCACUCGACCACCAGGAGUUCAAGAUCUACUCUGUAUCCAAACAGUCCGUAAUUAAGUAGUCUUUAUGGUCAUGAUGACACUUUAUGUAAGGCGUUACCAGUAACGCCUGGCCUUAAUGUACUUUAAACCCUCCGCUACGUGGGCUGGCUGGGGUCUUGGCAUCUUCUAUAUAAGCCACCCCCUCCACUGGCAGAAGGGUUCGCACCCCUGUAACUCUCACACAUAUAAUCUAGUCGACCGCCUCCGGGCACCGAGACGUAGGGCUGUUACUUCCUCCGAGAAGGGCCUGAACUCGUAAAACUCUUGUGUGCACAACUGCUCCAUAGCUAGGAUCUUGCCUCUCUUUAGUACCCCCCUACACUACUGUUAGACUUAGAACCACGACAGUUGGCGCCCACCGUGGGGCAGGUGUCUUAGCGACUUAUUGGAGAAGUUGCAAUUUUUCCGAUUCCCAUCAUCAUGGUUUCAGGUGGAGUUUUGCUUGAGGGCCGCGAGAUCCGUCUCGGCGCGCUCACAUUCGUCGCCGAUGACUCUGCCUGGUUGUAGGAGGCUCCGCUCGACAUUGACGCGCUCCCAGUCCGUGGAGCUACGCACUUUCGAGCGUGCACCCAUGGUGUCCUUCUGCGGCAACCGUCGACCCAGUAUCGACCGGUUUUUGUGUCAUCCUCCCUCCCAAUUUCCCACCGGCGUAAGCGCUCUGGUCGGUCGAGGCUUCAGCGGUGGGUGAGGCACGCGGUGUCUCACCAGUCGACCGCCGCCCAAGUCGCGGCAAUCGAGCCCGACGAAUCUCUCUACGGCCUAUUCGACCUGUCGACUGGCUCCGCGGAGACUGCAUCCGAGUGCGACAGCAGUGUUCCAGCGGCGGAGAUCCUGAUGGUCAACGGACCGCAUGUUCCCCCAGGCUUUCCCGGUGCCGAGGGAGGCAACGGCGGAGGCGAUCCAUCGCAGUCCACGAGGAAUACCUCCCCGAGCCCCUCAAUUCGCAGCAGAGGGAAGAGCUUCGCCGCCGGAACGUGGAUGCGCUUCACACUCCGAUUGUUGGAGAAACCCCUGAGGCUCGCGCCUUGGAGGACGCGCGCUUGGCCAACCUGGCCGAACGCACCCGACUGGAGAACCUUCAGCGGGCACUCGACGAGCACGCGCGGCAACGGAUUCUAGACUCCAGUCAACGCCAGCUCUUUCCACCUCCGACUCAGGUAUAUCGAACUCCGAUUCAGAAUCUAGCAGCUGCAGCCCGUAUAGCAGAAUCAAUUCAGCCUUCCCACUCAGAGGCUGGCAGAGGCUUGAUGCAGAUCAGAGAUUUGCUCCGGGCAGCAGGAGAUCAGAAUUCAGCUGUAUCGCAGUCGUGGAACAGGAUUCACAGCAGAUCCGUGGCAGCAAAUACGGUCCAGUCGGCUCAUAGCCCCAGAUCACCCCCGAGGCGUGAAGGGCGUGGUGACCGUCAUGAUCAGUACAGGAACCAUGAGCAGUAUGAUCACCGAUUCGAUCACAACGAUCGACGUCGAGUGCCUACUCCUCCCCCAAGGGGUGGAUCUUAUGUGCCUCGACAACAGGAUGAUAGACGCCAGCACAAUGGCGGGCGAAGAAUCCCAGUCGACUCCAGAGAACCAGGCUUUGAUGCGUGAUCCAUCAUCGUUCAAGGUCUGGUCGACCGGAACAGAGCUCACAGAGAGGGCAACGACAGAGAUGUACCCACCAGCAGCCGAGUGCAUGUCUCCAGACCAGAGUGUUUCAGCAGAGCCAUCCGAGCCACAGUGAUUCCUCCCAACUUCAGGUUGGCGACUGGAGUCAGUAAGUUCAACGGUGAGUCUAAGCGUGAUACUUGGCUUGAGGACUACCGAGUGGCUGUCCAGAUCGACGGCGGGAAUGACGAGGUGGCCAUGAAGCAUCUGCCUCUUAUGUUGGAAGGGUCAGCCAGAGCAUGGCUAAAUCAGUUGACACCCAACAGCAUUUACACAUGGGAGGACCUCUCCCGAGUGUUUGUCAGAACGUUCGAAGGAAUGUGCAAGCGACCAACAGGACUGACAGAGUUGCAAUCCUGUUUGCAGAAGUCGAAUGAGACUCUGAGAGAUUACAUCCAGAGAUGGAUCAUAUUGCAUCACACAGUGGAGAAUGUAUCUGAUCACCAGGCAGUCUGCGCCUUCAAGGAAGGCGUAAAGUACAGGGAGCUAAGCCUGAAAUUCGGUCGAACCGGAGACAUGUCUCUGAGUCGAAUGAUGGAAAUAGCCACCAAAUAUGCCAAUGGUGAGGAAGAGGAUCGGCUCCGGAGCAGCAAGCAUAAGUCAGUCGCCCAAGAAACCGGAGGAGGGAACUCCAGUCGGAAGCAAAAGCGGAAAGCCGAGCCAGCUGCUCCUGGAGAAGCCCUGGCCGUGACUCAAGGAAAGUUCAAAGGAAAGCCCAAGGGGCCUUGGAAUCCCAAAAAAGUAAAGGAUAAAGAAGGAAAUGACGUGAUGGAUUUGCCAUGUCACAUCCACACAAAGAAAGAUGAAGAGGGUAAUUUCAUUUACCCGAAGCAUACCACUCGACAGUGUCGACUUCUGAUACAACAGUUCCAGGGGAAACAGCCCAAGGACAAGGAAAAGGAGUCGAACAAAGCUAAGGACAAGGGAGAUAGUGACGAGGAAUACCCUCAGGUCAAUUCUACUCUGGUGAUUUUUGCUGACGUUGAAAGCAAAAGUCGACUGAAAGUUAUAAACCGAGAAGUGAAUAUGGUUGCUCCAGCAACACCAAAUUAUCUAAAGUGGUCUCAGACAACCAUCACAUUCGACCAGUCCGAUCACCCGACGCACAUAGCCACCCCUGGGAGGCAAGCUCUGGUGGUCGACCCAGUCGUUGAGGGCACUCGACUGACUAAAGUAUUGAUGGAUGGUGGCAGUAGUUUGAAUAUACUGUACGCUGAGACGCUGAAAGGGAUGGGCAUUCCGAUGUCCAGACUUAGUACAAGCAACAUGAGUUUCUAUGGAGUCAUUCCUGGCAAGAAGGCCGCGUCACUCGGCCAGAUUGCUCUUGAUGUGGUUUUUGGUGAUUCCAAGAACUUCCGCAAAGAGAAGCUGACAUUUGAGGUUGUAGAUUUCCAGAGUGCCUAACACGCUAUUUUGGGCAGGCUAGCUUAUGCAUGUUUCAUGGCUCGACCAUGUUACGUGUACCUCAAAUUAAAGAUGCCUGGCCCUAAAGGCGUGAUCACUAUUACUUGUAAUCGCAAGAAGGUAGAAGAGUGCUUCCAGAAAGGCUCAAAGAUCGUCGAUGCUCAGAUGGUGGCAGAAGAGUGGCAGGAACACCAGAGGAACGCAGAUCCGAGUGAUUUGUUGCGAGCCAAAAAGCCUGUCACGGAGUCAGCAUUCAAGUCAUUCGGUGAGACAAAACCAGUUCACAUCCACCCGACCGACCCCAACGCUGCUCCGACUCAUAUCUCCACAACACUCGACCCCAAAUAGGAAGAAGCGCUCAUCCAGUUCCUCUGUGAGAACUGAGACAUCUUUGCAUGGAAACCUUCUGACAUGCCGGGUGUACCCAGGGGGCUGGCUGAGCAUCGUCUAUGAGUCGAUUCAAAGGCAAAACCUGUCAAGGAACAUCUGCGACGGUCCGCCGUCCAGAAAAGGAAGGCUAUUGGCGAAGAGGUGGCUCGACUCUUAGCAACAGAGUUUAUCCGAGAGAUUUACCACUCUGAGUGGCUCGCCAAUGUUGUCAUGGUCCCCAAAAAGGACAACUCACUUCACAUGUGCAUUGAUUUUAAACAUAUCAAUCGGGCCUGCCCGAAAGAUCAUUUUCCUCUUCCCUGCAUCGACCAAAUAGUUGACUCGACUGCGGGAUGUGAGCGACUGUCUUUCUUAGACGCUUAUUCCGGGUACCAUCAGAUCCGUCUGUUUGGACCCGAUGAGAUCAAAACAGCUUUCAUCACCCCAUUUGGGUGCUUCUGUUAUGUCACCAUGCCAUUCGGCCUCAAGAAUGCCGGAGCCACGUUCAUGAGGAUGAUUCAGAAGUGUUUGCUCACUCAAAUCAGUCGGAAUGUGGAAGCAUACAUGGAUGACAUUGUGGUCAAGUCACGGAAAGGUUAUGACCUGCUGACUGACCUCGCUGAAACAUUUGCCAACCUCAGGAGGUAUGAUAUCAAGCUUAACCCAUCCAAGUGCACAUUCGGAGUUCCUGGUGGAAAGUUACUCGGUUUUCUCAUUUUCGAACGAGGAAUCGAUGCAAACCCAGAGAAAGUGAGCACUAUACUCCGAAUGAAAUGACCUGUGCGUGUGCACGAUGUUCAAAAGCUUACUGGUUGCUUGGCCACUUUAAGUCGAUUCAUCUCUCGUCUCGGUGAGAAGGCAUUGCCUCUUUACCGACUGAUGAAGAAGUCACACAAGUUCGAGUGGACUCCUGAAGCUGACUCAGCGUUUGCAGAGUUAAAAACCCUGCUUUCCACCCAGCCGGUGCUUGCUGCCCCGAUCAGCAAAGCGCCUUUGCUGAUUUACAUUGCAGCCACAGGACAAGUCGUCAGUACUGUACUUAUGGUCGAGCGGGAAGAAGAAGGGAAAGCCUUCAAAGUUCAACGCACAGUAUAUUACAUUUCUGAAGUCCUAACCCCAUCAAAGCAAAGAUGCCCUCAUUAUCAGAAGCUUGUAUAUGGGAUCUAUAUGACCAUGAAGAAAGUUGCUCACUACUUCUCUGACCAUACCAUCACAGUCGUCAGCGACGCCCCCUUAUCAGAGAUUCUGCACAACAUAGAUGCAACUGGCCGAGUGGCAAAAUGGGCGAUUGAACUUCUUCCCCCGGAUAUCAGAUUUGAGGCAAAGAAAGCUAUCAAGUCCCAAGCAAUAGCAGAUUUCCUCGCCGAGUGGACUGAACAGCAGUUACCGACCCAAGUUCACUUGGAACAUUGGACUAUGUUCUUCGAUGGCUCUAAAAUGUUGAAUGGUUCCGGUGCCGGGGUAGUGUUGGUUUCCCCCCGAGGAGAUAAGCUCAGAUAUGUACUCCAGAUUCACUUUGAUUCCUCCAAUAAUGAAGCAGAAUAUGAAGCACUCUUGUAUGGGUUGCGUAUGGCCAUUUCACUCGGCGUCCGUCGCCCCAUGGUCUACGGUGACUCGGAUUUAGUGGUUAACCAAGUGAUGAAGGAGUGGGACGUCAGAAGCCCAGCCAUGACUGGUUACUGCAAUGCAGUCAGAAAGCUGGAAAAGAAAUUUGAGGGAUUAGAGCUCCAUCACGUCCCCCGACUGAAAAAUCAAGCAGCCGACGACUUGGCGAAGAUAGGUUACAAAAGAGAAGCCAUCCCGAGUGGCGUGUUUUUUUCACACGCCGUCAGUACAAGAAGAUCCUUUCACUGAAGAAGCCUCGCAGCCAAAAAGCGCCAUAGAUCCGACUGAAGUCGAGGUCCCAGCUGUGGUCGACUUAAUCAUGGAAGUUCUGGUUAUUACUCCCGACUGGACAGUGCCCUAUAUCGCGUAUAUUCUAAAGAAAGAGCUCCCAGAGAAUGAAGAAGAGGCUCGAGAGGUCGUUCGUCGAUCCAAGGCCUUUACCGUCAUGAUGGGACAGUUGUACAGAGAAAGCACAACUGGAGUCAGCCAGAAAUGCAUAACACCGGAAGAGGGUCGAAUGAUUCUCAACGAUAUCCACUCGGGGACCUGUGGCCAUCAUGCGUCCUCUCGGACCAUUGUGGCUAAAGCAUACCGAGCGGGUUUUACUGGCCCAGAGCAAAUGAAAUGGCGAAAGAGAUUGUCGACAGGUGUGAAGGAUGUCAGUUCUACUCCAACAUGUCACAUAAACCCUCCUCAGCCUUGAAGACCAUCCCGAUCGUCUGGCCUUUCGUUGUUUGGGGUUUAGAUAUGGUCGGACCCUUGAGAACUGGCAGGAGCGGCUUCACCCAUGUACUGGUGGCAGUCGACAAGUUCACCAAGUGGAUCGAGGCCAAGCCCAUUAAAAAUCUUGAUGCUGGCACUGCCAUCAGCUUCAUCAGAGAAUUAAUAUUCAGAUAUGGAGUUCUGCAUAGCAUCAUCACUGAUAAUGGGUCAAACUUCGACUCCGAUCAAUUCAAAGCUUUCUGCGCUUCCCAAGGCACACGAGUCGACUAUGCUUCAGUCGCCCACCCCCAGUCGAAUGGACAAGCAGAAAGAGCAAAUAGCCUAAUUCUCAAAGGACUGAAACCCCAGUUGAUGCGCGACCUCAAGCACGCAGCAGGCGCGUGGGUCGAUGAACUCCCAUAAGUUCUUUGGGGAUUGAGGACUACCCCAAAUCGGUCGACUGGGAGGACUCCAUUCUUCCUGGUCUACGGGGCUGAGGCGGUCCUGCCAAGUGACCUGCUUCACAAUGCGCCGCGAGUCGAGCUCUACUCUAAAGCUGAAGCAGAACAAGCCCGGCAGGAUGCAGUCGACCUCCUAGAAGAAAGAGAGUUGGCCAUGAUCCGAUCAACCAUCUAUCAACAAGACUUGCAUCGAUUCUACGCCAGAAAUGUGAAGAGCCGAGCCUUCCAAGAAGGAGACUUGGUCCUCCGAGUGGACCAACAGAAGCCACACAAACUCGCCCCUACUUGGGAAGGCCCCUUCAUUGUUACCAAAGUUCUCCACAAUGGAGCAUACCAUUUGUACAACGUCGAUCGCCAGAUUGACGAGCCACGAGCUUGGAAUGCGGAUCUGCUCCGCCCCUUUUAUACUUAAGUAUUCACUCGAAUGAGUUGUAAUAAAAGUACUUCUGUAAUUUAUUUAUCAAAGACAAGAGUUUUAUAAUUUUCCCAGUGAUUGUUGUUAUCUUCUUCCACAUAAAACAGUCCCCCCAGCGGGUGGCUUAGCUGCGAAUCCGUUUCGCCUAAGUUUGUAAAAGAAAAUCCUACCGAGUGGUAAGCCAGCCUUCCACUCGGAGGCUUAGCUGCGAAUCCGUUUCGCCUAAGUUUAAACAAAAUCCUACCGAGUGGAGAGCAAACCUCCCACUCGGGGGCUUAGCUGCAGCCUAGUGCUCGCCUAAGUUUUUGAAAAUCCUACCGAGUGGUAAGCCAGCCUUCCACUCGGAGGCUUAGCUGCAACCCAGUGCUCGCCUAAGUUUUUGAAAAUCCUACCGAGUGGUAAGCCAGCCUCCCACUCAGGGGCUUAGCUGCAGCCCAGUGCUCGCCUAAGUUUUUGAAAAUCCUACCGAGUGGUAAGCCAGCCUUCCACUCGUAGGCUUAGCUGCAGCCCAGUGCUCGCCUAAGUUUUUGAAAAUCCUACCGAGUGGUAAGCUAGCCUUCCACUAAGGGGCUUAGCUGCAGCCCAGUGUUCGCCUAAGUUUUUGAAAAUCCUACCGAGUGGUAAGCCAGCCUUCCACUCGGAGGCUUAGCUACAACCUAGUGUUCGCCUAAGUAUAAAAUACAACGUGCGCUCCGCAAGGAGGACGAGGCGCAGGACGACUCCUGCCUUCUCCUUCCGAGCUACGCCACAAAUACAACGUGCGCUCUGCAAGGAGGACGAGGCGCAGGUCGACUCCUGCCUUCUCCUUCCGAGCUACGCCACAAAUACAAUGUGCGCUCCGCAAGGAGGAUGAAGCGCAGGUCGACUGCUAUCUUCUCCUUCGGUGGUACACCAUAGAAAUCCUACCGAGUGGUGAGCAAACCUCCCACUCGGGGGCUUAGCUGCAGCCCAGUGCUCGCCUAAGUUUCUGAAAUCCUACCGAUUGGAGAGCAAACCUCCCACUCGGGGGCUCAGCUGCAGCCCAGUGCUCGCCAAAGUUUCUGAAAUCCUACCGAGUGGAGAGCAAACCUCCCACUCGGAGGCUUAGCUGCAGCCCAGUGCUCACCUAAGUUUCUUAAAAUCCUACCGAGUGGUGAGCAAACCUCCCACUCGGGGGCUUAGCUGCAACCCAGUGCUCGCCUAAGUUUCUUAAAAUCCUACCGAGUGGUGAGCAAACCUCCCACUCGGGGGCUUAGCUGCAGCCCAGUGCUCGCCUAAGUUUCUUGAAAUCCUACCGAGUGGAGAGAAAACCUCCCACUCGGGGGCUUAGCUGCAGCCCAGUGCUCGCCUAAGUUUCUUAAAAUCCUACCGAGUGGCGAGGAAGCCUCCCACUCGGAGACUUAGAUGCAGCCUAGUGCUCGCCUAAGCGUGACGAGUACAAGUCGAUUGUGCUUCGUACCGACCUGCAAAAGAGCAUCACAAGCACUAGUAUAUAUUCCAAGCAAAAGAUGAUGAUCGUUCGAAGGCAGAAGCAAACAUAUUCGACGGCAAACCUAAAUUCAGAUAAUGUCUUACAGAUCCAGAAGUGCUCAGGCACCAAGCUUGUUAAAGUUUGUCGGUUACAAAAACUACUCGGCAUUCCGAGGCAAAUUUAAAGUAUCAAGCAUAGAAGUUUUUUACCCCUCCCGAGGAGGGCUGGAAGGCGCAACAAACUCGCCCAGGUCGAUUCCAUCUGCGAUCCGAGUGGCAGCAGUGAUGAAGGUCUCCAUGAAGGAUCGGAAGUCAUGCUUCUUGGUAUUGGCCACCUUGAGAGCUGCCAGCUUGUCUUCUCGCGCAUCCUUGCAGUGGACACGGACAAGAGAUAGAGCAACGUCGGCACCGCACCUGGCAUAAGACUUCUUCCAUUCUUGCACUCGACUUGGAACUUCGUUCAGUCGAGUCAUCAGGGACUCAAGGUCAUUCUGAAGUGCUUCUCCUGGCCAGAGCACCGUGUCGAUGUGUGACGUCGCAACCUUCAGCCUUGCAAGAUAGUCAACAACGGCAGCAACGCGAGACUCGAGUCGGAGCAUGCUCAUGGCAGUUUCAUCCUUCACAGGAGAGUUGAUGGGAUCCAGGCUCGUCUCCAGUCGACCAGUCUCCUCCUUAAAGUUCUGGCAGAACUCUGUAGACACAACCUCAAAGUUAAGGCAACAGUUUUGUGGCGAGGUCAAAAUUAAAAAGCCUGUCAGAUACAAAGGGUUACCUUCAAGCAUGAGGAAUAGCUUCUUGGCGAGUCCUCCCAGAUAAGCCUCCAGAUCAUUCUUCUUUCCCACCAGUUCGCUAGUUUGUCACUCAGGACCAUCUUGUCAUUCUUCAGUUGAGUGACCUCCUAGUUGGCCACGUCGAGAGCAGCUUUCAGAUUAGUGUUUUCCUCUUCAAGUUUUCCGAUCGAAGCCAACUUUUCUUCUGCGAGCCUGGUCUUCUCGGAAGCUGCUUUCUGCGCCUCAGCGAGGUCAAGAUCCUUCUUCUUCAGAGAAUCCCUCAGUUUAUCUGUAAAAUCACAGUAAGAUCAGACUCGGGGAUAGACAAGAAGCAAAGGCAGUCGUCAAGAUUCUCACCAAACAUACCUUUUGCCUCCUCCUUCGCCUUCGUGGAGUUCUCUUGGACGAGCUUCAUAUCAAGUUUGAGUUGGAUAUGCUUGUUCUCCAAUUCAGUAUAACGAGCUGAAAGCUCGCAAGAUUUCUGCAAAAAACCAAUCAACAGACGUCAAAGAUAGGUCACUUCCGAGUGACUAAGAGAAAAAUUGUAGUAUUUCUAAGACUACAGCUGAAUCUAAACAUUCAACUGUAGUCUCGGGGACUACACCCAGUGGGUGCACUCAGCGUGCCCCCACUAGUUUCAUCAGCUAGACUCAGAGUUGAUCAGUCGACCAAAAAAAAAGAGUGUGUGUGUUCUUCAGACUAUAGUCGACUGCCAGUAGUCGACCACAGUCUCGGGGACUACACCCAGUGGGUGCACUCCGCGUGCCCCCACCGGUUUUUGAUUCCAUUCGACCAGAUCAAGUGAAGACAGUAAAAAAACUCAAGACAUAAAGACUAUGGCCCACUGCCAGCAGUCGACCAUAGCCUUGGGGACUACACCCAGUGGGUGCACUCAGCGUGCCCCCACCAACCCAGAAUCUCAAUCGACACACCUAGUGGAACACCCAGUGGGCGUACGACAGAUACUAAAAUUUUCAGAAAGAAAAGUUUUCAGAUACCAUAUCCUAACAGAACAGGCAGUGGCCGACCAACCCGAACAUUGCUCUGAAGGGCUGAACUGGCGUCAUAAGCUGCUUGACUGGCGUCUCGGAUCGCCUUCACUUGCUCCAUCAUAACCCCCGCCUGGCGUAUGGCUUCUUUUGCAGCGCUUGCUUGGUCUUCAGGGACGUGGUGGGCAGAGAAAAGUGAAGGCUGACCGGCACUCGAUGACGAAGGGCGACCACUCGUCAGCGGCACCGCAAAGGAUACGGUAGGCCGAGUGACACUGUCACCCUCCGCAACCAACGUCUCAGGUGCCGAUACGACCUGAGCUGCCUUGCCAGUGGACGCUCUCCUAUUCCUUCUCUGCCUCAGUGGUUCCUCGUCUUCAUCAUCAUCAGGAAGAUCAAUGAUGAUAUUAGAUGGAGCUGCAGAAAAGAGUCAAAGUUAAAAAUGAAGAUCCCACCGACUGAAAACGAAACUUCAAAGGUCAUACCAGGGUUGGAAGUGACGGCAUCCUCCAUUUCUUGAUCUUCAGGUCUGGCCGAGGUAUCAGAAGUAGCAGCACUGCAGUUUCAGAAAUCAGUCGGUCAGCUAACGAGUCGACCAAGAAUAAAUCCAUGAGAAACAAGAGGACACAAGUUAUGUCAUUACCCAGAAAUAGUGGGAAUCACCAUCUUCAUCUUCGGUAAAGCCUUCGUCGGCUUCGACGGCACCACUCGAGAUUGCUUCGGCGCUUUCUCAGUCGGCGCCGGAGAGGUCGUCCGAGGACGCUUGGUCGAUUGCACAACAGGCGCGGCCCCCUUGCCGCGCUCGACUGCAGGGUCAUGGGCAAGCUUGGACCUUCUUUCAGAACGAGAAGGCGCUACUUCCUCCUCCUCCUCCUCAUCGGAGCCAGCAUUUUCAUCACCCUCGUCACCAUCCAAUUCCCACUCCUCUUGACUUUCACCUCCACUUCCCUUCUCCUCCUUGGUCUGUGCUUGCGCCCCGUUGGGCAUCGAAUACAACUCAGUGGUAGCCUGAAAGACAACAAACAAGACAAAAGUUGAUCGACCGAGCCACUGCAAAGCAGAAUGGACGAAACAUGAUUACAGCUGGAGAUAAGUAGUCAUACCUUGUAUGGUUCAUAAGAUUGGUCGAGUGGCGGGAUCCUCCUGGCCCCAUGAGGGUUGUCCUUAUUUCCUGUGAUGGCCGUCAUCCACCUCUCCAGUGUGACGUCGUCAACCUCCUCUGGGUGGACCCGAGUAGUGUCUUCCGUACCAGAGUACAACCACAUCGGGUGGCCUUGGUAUUGGAGUGGCUGGAUGCGCCGUCGAAGGAAAACCUCCAGAAGAUCCAUGUGCUAGUCACACCGUCGCGAAUGAGUUGGACUACACGCUCCAUCAACAUUUUAACCUGAGCCUUCUCCUCCGGAAUUACUUUCAGAGAAGACGGCUUGUUCACUCGACUCAUGGUGAAGGGAGGGAGCCCAGUCGACUGCCCGGGCGUCGACCGGUCUUGGCAAUAGAACCAGGUCGACUGCCACCCUCUAACUGACUCGGGAAGGGUCAUAGCUGGAAAGGCACUCUUACUCCUCAUCUGGACCCCAAGACCCUCGCACAUCUGGAUUACUUGGGUUCUCUCGUCAUUCGGAUUAGCCUUUUUGACCGUCUGAGAGCGACAAGUGAAUAUGUGUUUGAAAAGGCCCCAGUGCGGCCGACAAGCCAAGAAGUUUUCGCACAAAGACAUGAAAGUGGCGAGAUAGGAAAUGGAAUUAGGUGUGAAGUGGUGGAGCUGAGCCCCGAAGAAGUUCAGGAACCCCCGAAAGAAAAGAUGCAGCGGCAGAGAAAACCCAUGAUCGACAUGAGUCCCUAGGAGGACACACUCACCCUCCUGGGGCUACGGCUGCUACUCCAUCCCCGGAAGCCUCGUUGCCCCGUGCUCGAUCAACCCUUCAUUGGCCAGGUCAUCGAGAUCCUUCUGGGUGAUGGUCGAGCGGAUCCAAUCCCCCUGGAUCCAACCUUGCGGCAGGCGGGACCGCGACGAGGAUCCGCCCCGACUGGUCGCUCUCCCGUUCGCCUUCGCCGUCGCCUUCUUCACCCGCUCCAAAGCCGUCGUCUUCUCUUUCACCAUUGUCACCGACGAGGCUGGAACGGAGCAGCGACGCUGAACAGAUGGCAAGCGCAGCGGAUAAAUCUGAAGACAGGGGAGGGGAAAAUGAGGGAGCACUGUUCAAAAACCUCCGCCCAGUUCCUUAUGUAGAGUCGCUUCCGAGCGGCUGACUGGUAGGCCCAGGCAAUCUUGUCAAAUCCCGGAACAGUCGCGGGAGCGAUAUGUGGCGAAAAAGGCGGCAUGGGAAUCGAGGCAUCUCUGCCUUAUCCCAUCCGAGUACCGUGGCUUUCUCCGCUUCGCGCACUUCCCGAAAUCCGAAUCCCACUGAAUCCGCUAACCACAGGGCAACUUGUCAGACGGAAGAUCUCCUGCGAUCCGUCGCUCGGAAUCUCCAAGUUUAUAAAGUUCACUCGACAAAUAUAAAGAAUGGAUCAAGGCGAUUGAAAGAAAAGUUGACACCAUCACUUAAGAGCCAUUGGUCCAGAGUAAGACACAUUCAUAACUCCAGAAAACAGGUCGGAAAGAUUAUCAACUCCUUCCUCACUCAAACCUCGAUCCAUUCAGGGGCUAAUGAUGAAGUCAUGUACCUGGGGUAGGGUCAUGGACCUGUCCAAGGUACCCUCCCCCAGGGCAUCUUUAGAAGAAGCCGUCUUCCAGUUGACCUAGAGGGACUCCACUCGACAGACUAGAAGACGCUCGACGAACAUGAAGACACUCGACCAUGAAGACUCACUCGACCACCAGGAGUUCAAGAUCUACUCUAUAUCCAAACGGUCUGUAAUUAAGUAGUCUUUAUGGUCAUGAUGACACUUUAUGUAAGGCGUUACCAGUAACGCCUGGCCUUAAUGUACUUUAAACCCUCCGCUAUGUGGGCUGGCUGGGGUCUUGGCAUCUUCUAUAUAAGCCACCCGCCCUCCACUGGCAGAAGGGUUCGCACCCCUGUAACUCUCACACAUAUAAUCCAGUCGACCGCCUCCGGGCACCGAGACGUAGGGCUGUUACUUCCUCCGAGAAGGGCCUGAACUCGUAAAACUCUUGUGUGCACAACUGCUCCAUAGCUAGGAUCUUGCCUCUCCUUAGUACCCCCCUACACUACUGUCAGACUUAGAACCACGACAGUAUGUAAAGAUGAAUAGUUCAAUCCACUCUUUUGUAAAUAAUUACAUUCUGAAAUAAAACGCAUAGAAUAUAAUUCAUAUAGGUGUAUUGUUUGUUUUUGUGUGCCUUUAUCACGAGCCUUUAUUCAAGCAAAACCUAAAAAAUGUUGUUACAAAAGGUAAAAACUUUAUUUACAAUUACUAUAGGUUACCUCAUGUAAGUGCUUUCUUUAUAGCCGUGUUAGCUAGGAUUGCAAUUUUAAUGAUGCUCAACGUAAACAUGAAUUAAAGUCUAAAAGAGAGUAUAAGAUAACCUAUAUCAAAUUCAUUUAAACCUGGCCCACUUCCUAUGCAUAGGUAUCUUAUAAGUAAACAAUUCAUCAGGACAAAAGAUCUCUAACAUAGGCAAGACAGAAGAAUGCAACUUCAAAACUUUUAACAUAAAGAGAGGUGAUUUAGUAACAUGAAGAUUUCUAUAACCAUAUUUUCCUCUCUCAUAAUAAUUAUAUGUGUGAUCAUGAUCAAAAUCAAUGAUAUAUCUAUCACCUAGGAAAGUUUCCUCGUGAUACACAUGCACAUAUAUUUAUCGCUCUCCAAAAUAGUGGAAUCAUUAGUGACUAAAGUCAUGACCUCUCAACACACUUCUAUUAGUAUCACAAUCAGAUUGAACAUUCUCCAAAAUAAUUGGAACAUUACUACCUAAAGGCAUGACCUCUCCAAACUCACAUUCAAUAACAUAGCAAUCAUUGUAAUCAAAUAUAUAUUCAUUAUUAGUCCGAAAUAAAUCUUUAACGCCACAAUAAGUAUCAUAUUUAUCUUCCUAACCCUGAUCAUCGUUAUAGAUAUACCACACUCAUCAUCAAUAGUGACAAUAGAUAUAGUUUCAUCAUUAGUGGCAAUAUUUUCAUCAAGCGUGUCAUUAAUGUGAGUAGCGUCCUAAUGUAAUAUCAUUGAAUUGUAUGCAAAGAAAAUUUUAGUUUCAGUUAUUGUGGUGUCAAAAUAGGUGUAAUAUGUAUAUGUGCAAAUAGAAGGAAAUAUGAAAUGAUGGCUAGUGUUGGAGUAGAUUUCAAANNNNNNNNNNNNNNNNNNNNNNNNNNNNNNNNNNNNNNNNNNNNNNNNNNNNNNNNNNNNNNNNNNNNNNNNNNNNNNNNNNNNNNNNNNNNNNNNNNNNNNNNNNNNNNNNNNNNNNNNNNNNNNNNNNNNNNNNNNNNNNNNNNNNNNNNNNNNNNNNNNNNNNNNNNNNNUGGCCCUUUGAGAGUUUGAUUUGAGUGUCCUUGUUGGAGAUAAUCUAGAGGAGUUGGACUGAAUCUUAUCCAAAAUUUCUCAUUUCUUGUUGAAAAAAGACAGGAAAUCUACUUGCUUGAAUUAAUAAUGCAAGAAGUAAAUGUAGGUUUCAUGGUUGAAGAAGUGUAACAACGACGUCAUUCUCUAGCAAGUUCAUUUACCCCAUAAAUUACCGUGGUUGAAGAGGUUUCAUGGUUAAGUAGUGUCAUGCUGACAUUAUUCUCUAGCGAGUUCAUUGAAUCAUGGCUAGCACGCCUUACCCGUAGUGCUCCCUUGAUCUACCCCCCACACUCUCUUUGCCUUGUAUGUAAUACCUAGUGGGACAACAUUGCCUCUUGACCUAACCUUUAUGAAAUUUAGGUGGGGGGCUCCCUCCUCCCCCGUGACUAUUCAAAAGAGAAUAUACAUGCCUUGGUGGCAAGGAAAGUAAGUAGUAAUGAUCACUUCUAGAAAGUUGUUACUUCGUGCACGAAUAAUCAAGUUACUUUUUUUGUUUUUAAUGACCUCGUCUAAUAAACUCCUGGUUAAUAUAAUCGAUUUGUUUACUACAAGAUCUUCAAAUAAUAGUCCAUACUUUUCAGCCUCUAACUACCCUGCUUUCUUUACCUUAUUUAUCUCUUGCCUACAUUGUCUCUUCCGCCACCCACCCCUUGUCACUUGUUUAUUUUGGUGGCUACCACAACCAUGAAUGGAUCAAGUCUUCUCUAGAGACUAUCCCCAGACUUUGGUGCAUCCCUCCAUCCUAAUACCUAACAUUUCACAUCACCCUUGUCUCUACGACACCGCUUCCCUUGUCGGCAUUGAGUUUGACUCUCGCUCCGAGCACAACCAGACAACAAAAAUAAAGGAUGAUGAAGAAGAUAUUAUCUUGAGAAAAAUAUAUUUGUAAGCAUGCAAAACCACCCACCGAUCAUUCUCAAAUACAUAUAUUUUUGUUUUCUGCUAGGAAUCUUAAGUCUGAAGUUUGUAGAACACCCCAAGGUAGGAUCUAGUAGCGUAGCUCAGAUGUUUAGGUUCCUUGUGGUGGAACCAACCCACGAAGGUUCAAGUCAUAGACUUGGUACUGUUUCUCGCAUUUUCCUGGGUUUGUUUCAGGCUUUCCGGCGAUGUCUGUUUAGUGGGUGGAGACGUUCCCAUCGACUAUGACGCACGUGUAGUGACUUCAUCAAUCUCAAGAUGUUCUGUCGGCUCGGUAUCCCGGAGGUGUUCAUGGGAGUAGGGUGUGUGUGUGCAUUCAUAGGGUGAGUGCAUGUGCGUGUAUGUGAGCAUCUACGAUUGCACUGUGUUAAGAAAAAUAUGUAUAUCUUGAUGCAAAACAUGCAUACACUAUGCCAAUACUCACUAUGUCUGGAAAUAUAAGACAUAUUGAAUGUUCCAUGUUCUCCAAUGCACAAAAUUGACUAUAUCUUUGCUCGUAUGCCCACAAAAUAGGAAAAUAAUAUGUAACAUAUAGUAGUUUCACAAGACAAAUAUAGUGAUUAAUUCUCGCAUCCUCAAACCAUAUGUGAUGAUGUUUGGAAAUUUGUUCCAGACUCACAGGGUUAGCGACACAAUGAACCUAUAUCCCUCAUUGUAGUUAAUACUAUGGUGGAUAUGUUGUUAUUUUUAUUGAGAGGGAUAAAGAGGAUGGGAAAACUCAUGGUGUUAUUCCUCACUUAGUCGACACGUGUGUAUCAUUUUGCACAAUUUAUAAAUUAUGUCAUGCUCAUUUUGGCUACAUGGAAUGUGCCAGAAAUUUGAAAUUGAUACUCUAUGCUUAUGAUCCGAAUCGAAAAUAAACUUCCACAAAAGUAAGAUGUAAUGUGUUGGCAAGACUAAGGAAAUUAAAGUUCGACAUGUACAACUUUUCGCUCACUAUUAGUGAGUUCCCUUGGCGUGUCUUUCCAUCCCAUUCAGUAUAGGAAGUCACGAAACAACAACUAGAAAGUCACGAAAUAUAGAAAAGAUAAGAUAAUUGAGGUGUUGGAAAGGUAUGAACUUAUCCCAAUGAGGGAGGCUUGUGCCUAUCAAGUUAGUUAUCACAAUUAUGCUGAUGUUCACACUUUCCCUUUUUGACGUGUUAGUAGAGUCCAUAAGCACCUGGACUUUUUGUGCUCUAGUUCUUCAAUAGACAUGUAAAAUCGGGUAUCAUGUCCAUCUCCAAAGAAUAAUGGGGUCUCAAUAUUCUAAAUUUAUAGGAGAAUAAGGGUGAACUGAGAAAAUGACUCUUUAAGCACAAGGAUGGGUGUGACGGGACUUUCUAAAACAAAUGUUUAGGAGGUAAACCUUCAUUGGGGAAGGCUAAUGUUUGCUAUUUUGGAGAUGGGUUCGUGAAAGUAAAAUAAUUGUUGCUACAAUUUGGUUCAUUUCGGGCUAACUGUCUCUAUGAGAUGCCCGGGGUCUCACAAUGACAUCAAUGUUGCUCGUAAUGAUGUUGAACAUAAGUUGAUGGCUCGUAGGCAUUCCACCUUGCUACCUCUUGAGCUUGCGUUGGUUUUCCCUUGAAGAGGAAAGGGUGAUGCAGCAAAGUAGCGUAAGUAUUUCCUUCAGUUUUGAGAACCAAGGUAUCAAUCCAGUAGGAGACAGCGCACAAGUCACCGAAUACCUGUAGAAACAAUCAACAACUUGCACCCAACACGAUAAAGGGGUUGGCAGUCCCUUCACGGUCACUUGCAAAAGUGAGAUCUGAUAAAGAUAGAUAAACGAUAAAGUAAAUAUUUUUGGUUUAUAGAUCGGAAAGUAAAAGAUUGCAAAAUAGUAGAUCGGAAACUAGUAAGAUGUAAACGAGAACUUAUAUGAUGGAAAAGAGACCCCGGGGCCAUAGGUUUCACUAGUGGCUUCUCUCAAGAUAGCAAAUAUUACGGUGGGUGAACAAAUUACUGCCGAGCAAUUGAUAGAAGAGCGCAUAAUUAUGAUGACAUCUAAGGCAAUGAUCAUGAACAUAGGCAUAAUGUCCGUGUCAAGUAGACCGAAGAGAUUCCGCAUCUACUACUAUUACUCCACACAUCAACCGCUAUCCAGCAUGCAUCUAGAGUAUUAAGUUCAUAAAGAACGGAGUAACGCAUUAAGUAAGAUGACAUGAUGUAGAGGAAUUAACUCAAGCAAUAUGAUGAAAAGCCCAUCUUUUUAUCCUCGAUGGCAACAAUACAAUACGUGCCUUGCUGCCCCUACUGUCACUGCGAAAGGACACUAGAAGAUUGAACCCAAAGCUAAGCACUUUUCCCAUUGCAAGAAAGAUCAAUCUAGUAGGCCAAACUAAACCAAUAAUUCGAAGAGACUUGAAAAGAUAUCAAAUCAUGCAUAUAAGAAUUCAGAGAAGAACCAAAUAAUAUUCAUAAAUAAUUUGAUCAUAAAUCCACAAUUCAUCAGAUCUGGGCAAACACACCGCAAAAGAAUAUUACAUCGAAUAGAUCUCCAAGAACAUCAAGGAGAACAUGGUAUUGAGGAUGAAAAAGAUAGAAGAAGCCAUCUAGCUAAUAACUGUGGACCCGUAGGUCUGUGGUAAACUAUUGACUCAUCAUCGGAGAGGCAAUGGUGUUGAUGAAGAAGCCCUCCGUGAUCAAAUCCCCCUCGGCAGGACGCCAGAAAAGGUCCCUAGAUGGGAUCUCACGGGUACAGAAGGCUGCGGUUGUGGAAAAGUGGUUUCGUGGCUCUCCUGGAUGUUUUUAGCGUAUAAGAGUAUAUAUAGGCGAAGGAACUAGGUCAGGGGAGCUACGAGGGGCCCACGAGGUAGGGGCGCACCCUACCUCCCUGGGCACGCCCUCCUGCCUCGUGGCCACCUUGUUGCGUCUCCGACUUCAUCUCCAAGUCUUAUGGUUUCCUUUCAGUCCAAGAAAGAUCAUCGCAAAGGUUUCAUUCCAUUUGGACUCCGUUUGGUAUUCCUUUUCUACGAAACUCUAAAAUUGCAAAAAAAUUAAACUGGUACUGGCCCCUCGGUUGAUAGGUUAGUCCCAAAAAUAAUAUAAAAUAGCAUAUAAAUGCCUAUUAAACAUCCAAAACAGAUAAUAUAAUAGCAUGGAACAAUAAAAAAUUAUAGAUACAUUGGAGACGUAUCAAGCAUCCCCAAGCUUAAUUCCUGCUCGUCCUCGAGUAGGUAAAUGAUAAAAACAAAAUUUUUGAUGUGGAAUGCUACCUAACAUAUUUAUCAAUAUAAUUUUCUUUAUUGUGGCAUGAAUGUUUAGAUCCGAAAGAUUCAAAUCAAAAGUUUAAUAUUGACAUAAAAACAAUAAUACUUCAAGCAUACUAACAAAACAAUCAUGUCUUCUCAAAAUAACAUGGCCAAAGAAAGCUAUCCCUACAAAAUCAUAUAGUAUGGCUAUGCUCUAUCUUCAUCACACUAAAUAUUUAAAUCAUGCACAACCCCGAUGACAAGCCAAGCAAUUGUUUCAUAGUUUUGAUGUUCUCAAAUUUUUUCAAUCUUCACGCAAUACAUGAGUGUGAUCCAUGGAUAUAGCACUAAGGUGGAAUAGAAUAUGGUGGUUGUCGAGAAGACGAAAAGGGAGAAGAUAAUCUCACAUCAACUAGGCAUAUCAACGGGCUAUGGAGAUGCCCAUCAAUAGAUAUCAAUGUGAGUGAGUAGGGAUUGCCAUACAACGGAUGCACUAGAUCUAUAAGUGUAUGAAAGCUCAAAAAGAAACUAAGUGAGUGUGCAUCCAACUCGCUUGCUCACGAAUACCUAGGGCAUUUUGAGGAAGCCCAUCAUUGGAAUAUACAAGCCAAGUUCUAUAAUGAAAAUUCCCACUAGUAUAUGAAAGUGACAAAAUAGGAGACUCUCUAUCAUGAAGAUCAUGGUGCUACUUUGAAGCACAAGUGUGGAAAAAUGAUAGUUACAUUGCCCCUUCUCUCUUUUUCUCUCAUUUUUUUAUUUGGGCCUUCUCCUUUUUCCCCCUUUUUUCGUCCGGAGUCUCAUCCUGACUUGUGGGGGAAUCAUAGUCUCCAUCAUCCUUUCCUCACAUGGGACAAUGCUCUAAUAAUGAAGAUCAUCACACUUUUAUUUACUUACAACUCAAGAAUUACAACUCAAUACCUAGAACAAAAUAUGACUCUAUGUGAAUGCCUCCAGCAGUGUACCGGGAUGUGCAAUGAAUCAAGAGUCACAUGUAUGAAAAAUGUAUGAACGAUGGCUUUGCCACAAAUACGAUGUCAACUACAUGAUCAUGCAAAGCAAUAUGACAAUGAUGGAGCGUGUCAUAAUAAAUGAAACAGUGGAAAGUUGCAUGGCAAUAUAUCUCGGAAUGGCUAUGGAAAUGCCAUAAUAGUGUAGGGACCCGAUCUUAAAUGGUCUAGUCUCUGUGCAUCAGUGUCAUCCCUGGAUCGGUAAUACUGACACACAUAGUACUCGAGGAAUUAUAACAAAGUUUCAAUCACACACUUAUUACAUCGAGUCCUCAUAAAGAGUAUGAUUAUAAAAAUAUAGUGGCUAAAGGCCAUCUAAACUAAAUAACUGCGGAAGCUUCAAAGGUAAAUGAGUCCAUCAACUCCAAUGGCAUAGCUGAGUGCAAAACAAUGAGCUACCGCACCUUAUUCAUCGUCUGAGUAGUCUGCAACAUAAGAUGUUGCAACCCGAAAUGGGUCUGCACAUGGAAUAUGCUGGCAUAGUUACACUGUAAAGCAAUGAUAAUGCAAGAACUAUAUCUAUAUGCAAUAUUUGGCUGGUGGAGGCUGUAAGUUUCAUAGUUUUGCAUGAAGCUAGUUUUUCCCUACAACAAAGGAAUAAAUUUAUUUAACUAAUCCCAUGUUGCCCAUUAUUUGAGAAGGUAACCCAAACUCAAAUCCCAAUUAAAAGUAUCAUCAAUAACCCAACGUCAUGAUUAAUUAAAGUAACAUGAUGAGAUCACAUCAAUAGAUUCAAGUACUAGAUACUCAAGAUGUCCAUAACCAGGGACACGUCUAACCAUGAUUAGUUUAUACACUCUGUAGAGGUUUGCGCACUUUUCCCCACAAGACUCGACCGCAAGCAUGAUUGGAUGAUCGAGACAUAGUCUUUCUGAAGCAUUAACUCUCUACUCCGGGUAGACAGUACCACCUACAUCCCUCUACAUCUGCUAGUCUACCUUUUCAAGAGCUCACACAACUUACUCAACUAUGCCAGAGCCCAUAAUGGCUUGUGGCUGCACACAGAAGUUUCUAGCAUGAAUAAUCUUAUGAUCCCUUAGAGCCUGGGUGGCAUUCCAUAGGAUAAUCACACGGUAACCCCGGGAUUUCCAAAAAUAGGCAACACUGGGUUCCCCAGGUGCCUCAACCAAUCGAACACGUGAAACAAGCAAACGGCUUAAACUAACAAGAGUCAAAACCUAACAGCAACCUUAACAUGUGAAUUAGAUCUUAACAGUAGGUACAAGUGAUUAGCUACAAUUCACAAAAAGAUUCAACUCAAACAGAGCAACGAAACUCAAAAUACGAACGAAACAAGAUCGUUUACUAAUCUGGACUAAAGUCAAAAUUUACAGUACCAAAAUCAUGUUCAAGUUGGUUAACUGGAAAGAGGGGUUCAAGACGAAGAUUUUGGCGCUGGUUUCAUCUAAUUUGGAUAAACGAGUAAAAUGUUAUACUAUUUUAAAUAUUAUGGGCUAAAUCACGAUAAAAAUAAUCGCGGAUAAGUCCCUGGCCGAAAAUAAACUAAAAAGAAAAAGACUAACGAACGAACGUUCGCUGACAAAGACUAACGAACGAAUUCGUUCGUUAACAGAGGAUAACGGGUGAACGUUCGCUAAUUAGCGAACCCUAAAAAAAUAAAACCGAUCUAAACGAAAAUAAACCAGAAAAAAAGGUCGGGUUUCUACGGUUUUUAUCGGUUUGGCGGGAUGAACCGGCGGCGGCGGCGGCAUUCUCCGGCGAGCGAGGCGAACGACGAGGUGGUCGGCAGCAGGGUGGCGAUGUGGGGCUCCAUGGGGGGACCCUAGCACGACUUUUAAGGGGAGGGGGGCGAGGCGGCAGCGCGUGGCUUGGGCGAGGGGCUCCCGGACUCGGGAGGCGUGCCCGAGCCGACCAUGGCGGGGAAGGCGGCGACGCAAGGCGGGCCGGCUCGGCUGGGCCUUUGGCCCAGUCGGGCGAAGAACUUUUCUUUAAAUAUCACCCGAAGAGAAAAUCCUAAUAAAAUAUAAAAAAAAUUCUAAAAAUGCCAAAACAACUUUCACCGUCUAAAUAAAAUAUUUAGAACAAAGUGAACAUUUUUCUGGCCUAAGAAUGCAAUUUUCAAAAAUGCAUAUUUUUCUAAUUCAAGUAAAAUAGCAAAUAAAAUACCAGAAAAAUCAUAAUUUGAUUUUAAAAUUCUUUCUCCAAUAUUUCUCUUAAUUUGGAGAAGUCAUAUUAUCUUCUCUCAUUUAUUUUUAAUAUUGGAAAUAAAUGGAGAGAAAAAUAAUAAAACCAAAUUGAUCCUUUUCUUCAAAUUUGAAUUAAAUUCAACUAUGAUUUUUGUGAAACCUCCAACUCUCUCCUUGGGUCCUUGAGUUGCUUAAGAUUUCCAGGAUCACAACUAAAUGCAAGAAUAAAUAUGACAUGCAUAUGAUGAUCUAUGUAUAGCAUCCAAAUUGAAAAAUUGGGAUGUUACAAAUAGGUAGGUAUUGUUGCUGUUUUGAGGAAGGUAUAUGGUGGGUGUAUGGUAUCGGCGAAAGUUGCACGACACAAGAGAGGCUAGCAAUGGUGGAAGGGUGAGAGUGCGUAUAAUCAAUGGACUCAACAUUAGUCAUAAAGAACUCACAUACUUAUUACAAAAAUCUAUUACUUAUCGAAACUAAGUACUACGCGCAUGCUCCUAGCUAGGGGGAUAGAUUGGUAGGAAAAGACCAUCGCUCGUCCCCGACCGCCACUCAUAAGAAAGACAAUCAAUAAAUAAAUCAUGCUCCAACUUCAUCACAUAAGGUUCACCAUACGUGCAUGCUACGAGAAUUACAAACUUUAACACAAGUAUCUCUCAAUUUCACAACUACCCUACUAGCAUGACUCUAAUAUCACCAUCUUCAUAUCUCAAAACAAUCAUAAAGAAUCAAAUUUCUCAUAGUAUUCAAUGCACUUUAUAUGAAAGUUUUUAUUAUAUCUAUCUUGGAUGCCCAUCAUAUUAGGACUAGUUUUAUAACCAAAACAAAUUACCAUGCUGUUCUAAAAGACUCUCAAAAUAAUACAAGUGAAGCAUGAAAGAUCAACAAUUUCUAUAAAAUAAAGCCACUGUCGUGCUCUAAAAGAUAUAAGUGAAGCACUAGAGCAAUAUUGCCUAGCUCAAAAGAUAUAAGUGAAGCACAUAGAGUAUUAUAAUAAAUCACGAUUCAUGCGCGUCUCUCCCGAAAGGUGUGUAAAGCAAGGAUGAUUGUGGUAACUAAAAAGAAAAGACCCAAAUCAUACAAGACGCUCCAAGCAAAACACAUAUCAUGUGGUGAAUAAAAAUAUAGCCUCAAGUAAAGUUACCGAUAGACGAAGACGAAAGAGGGGAUGCCUUCCGGGGCAUCCCCAAGCUUAGGCUUUUGGUUAUCCUUGAGUAUCUUGGGGUGCCAUGGGCAUCCCCAAGCUUAGGCUCUUGCCACUCCUUAUUCCAUAAUCCAUCAAAUCUUUACCCAAAACUUGAAAACGUCACAACACAAAACUCAACAGGAAAUCUCAUAAGCUCCAUUAGUAUAAGAAAAUAAAUCACCACUUUAAGGUACAAUUGCAAACUCAUUAUUUAUUUAUAUUGGUGUAAUAUCUACUGUAUUCCAAGUUCUCCAUGGUUCAUACCCCCCGAUACUACCCAUAGAUUCAUCAAAAUAAGCAAACAACACGCGAAAAACAGAAUCUAUCAAAAACAGAACAGUCUAUAGUAAUCUGUAAAUCUCGAAUACUUAUGUAACCCUAACAAUCCUACCAAAUUAGGAAAACCUGAGAAAUUUGUGUAUCAAUCGAGAUAAAAAAUAAUAAGAUCAAAAUCACGUUUAUGUGAAUUUUCAAAACUAAUUUACUAAGCGCAAAAGUUUCUGAGUUUCAGCAGGAUCAACACAACUAUCAUCGUAAGCUAUCCUAAAGGUUUAACUUGGCACAAACACUAAUUAAAACAUAAAACUACAUAUAACCAAAGGCUAGAUGAAUUAUUUAUUACUAAACAAGAACAAAAAUCAAAUAACAAAAAUAAAAUUGGGUUGCCUCCCAACAAGCGCUAUUGUUUAACGCCUUUAGCUAGGCAUAAAAGCGCGAAUAGAUCUAGGUAUUGCCAUCUUUGGCAUGCGAUCCAUAAGUGCCUCUCAUAAUAGAUUCAUAUGGCAAUUUAAUUUUCUUCCUAGGAAAGUGUUCCAUACCUUUCCUUAACAGAAAUUGGAAUCUAAUGUUUCCUUCUUUCGUAUCAAUAAUUGCACCAAUUGUUCUAAGGAAAGUUCUACCAAGAAUAAUAGGACAUGUAGGAUUGCAAUCUAUAACAAGAACAAUGAAAUCUACAGGCACAUAAUUCCUAUUUGCGACAAUAAUAACAUCAUUAAUCCUUCCUAUAGGUUUCUUAAUAGUGGAAUACGCAAGAUGCAAAUCUAAAGAACAAUCAUCAAAUUCACGGAAACCUAACACAUCACACAAAGUUUUCGGAAUCGUGGAAACACUAGCAUCCAAAUCACACAAAGCAUAGCAUUCAUAAUCUUUAAUAUUAAUCUUAAUAGUCGGUUCCCACUCAUCAUAAAUUUUUCUAGGGAUAUAAACUUCUAGUUCAAGCUUUUCUUCAAAAGAUUGCACCAUAGCAUCAACGAUAUGUUUAGUAAAAGCUUUGUUUUGAUUAUAAGCAUGAGGAGAAUUUAACACAGAUUGCAACAAGGAAAUACAAUCUAUUAAAGAGCAAUUAUCAUAAUUAAAUUCCUUGAAAUCCAAAAGAGUGGGUUCAUUUCUACUUAAAGAAUUGACCUCUCCAAUCCCACUUUUAUCAAAUUUUGCAUCUAGAUCUAAAAACUCCGGAUCAUUGGGACGCCUUUUAACUAAAGUUGACUCAUCUCCAGUCCCAUGUUUAUCAAGAUUCAUAUUGGAAAACAAAGAUUUAAUAGGAGUCACAUCAAUCACUUUUAGAUCUUCAUCAUUAUUGUUUAGGGCCUCAGGUUUAGCGGCCAUCUUAUUAACUAAGGUGGCUUGUUUAUCAGAAAUUUGGCCUACUAAAUUUUCAAGAUGAGCAAACUGGGAUUUCAAACCAUAAAAUUCUUUAGACAUAUCAUCGAGCUCUUUAUUCAUAUACUGCAUAAAACUUUUUUGUUCUUUAUGCUAGUUUCUAAAUAAAUUAUUAUGCUCAAAUUGUAAAUACAUAAAGCUUCUAACAUUAUUCUCGAUCUCUUCCAACCUCCUAACGUCAGGAUCAACGCUUUUUGGCUGAGCCAUCAAAGCAAAUAGGCACACCAACACGCAAGCACACAAGAAGCAAGCGAAAAGAGACGAAUGGAAGAGAGGUGAAGAAAAGGCAAAGGUUUUCAAAAAUCAUUUUAGAAGUGGGGGAGAGGAAAACGAGGCGAAUGGCGAAUAAUGUAAUGCAAGGGAGAAGAGUUUAUGAUGGGUACUUGGUAUGGCUUGACUUGACGUAGAUCUCCCUGGCAACGGCGCCAGAAAUCCUUCUUGCUACCUCUUGAGCUUGCGUUGGUUUUCCCUUGAAGAGGAAAGGGUGAUGCAGCAAAGUAGCAUAAGUAUUUCCCUCAGUUUUGAGAACCAAGGUAUCAAUCCAAUAGGAGACAAUGCACAAGUCACUGAAUACCUGCACAAACAAUCAACAAACUUGCACCCAACGCGAUAAAGGGUUGUCAAUCCCUUCACAGUCACUUGAAAAAGUGAGAUCUGAUAGAGAUAGAUAAACGGUAAAGUAAAUAUUUUUGGUUUAUAGAUCAGAAAGUAAAAGACUACAAAAUAGUAGAUCGGAAACUAGUAAGUGAUAACCCACAAGUAUAGGGGAUCACAAUAGUUUUCGAGGGUAGAGUAUUCAACCCAAAUUUAUUGAUUCGACACAAGGGGAGCCAAAGAAUAUUCUCAAGUAUUAGCAGUUGAGUUGUCAAUUCAACCACACCUGAAAGACUUAAUAUCUGCAACAAAGUAUUUAGUAGCAAAGUAAUAUGGAAAUAACAGUAACGAUGGCAAAAGUAACAAUAGCAGUUUUGUAGUAAUCGUAACAAUGGCAACGGAGAAGUAACUAAACAAAGAUCAAUAUGUGAAAAACUCGUAGGCAAUGGAUCAGUGAUGGAUAAUUAUGUCGGAUGCGAUUCCUCAUGUAACAGUUAUAACAUAGGGUGACAUAGAACUAGUUCAAGUUCAUCAAUGUAAUGUAGGCAUGUAUUCCGAAUAUAGUCAUACGUGCUUAUGGAAAAGAACUUGUAAGACAUCUUUUGUCCUACCCUCCCGUGUUCACUAACAUUGGCCCCACUGCGGGAGUUUACAAGUAGUAUUAAAAUCUUCUAGGUCCAUGGUAUAUGAUUUAUCAUAAAGAUCAAAUAAAACAAUGUGAGAAUUGCGUGAGGAUGAAAAUUUAAACCUCCUCACAAAGGAAUAAGUGAGGUAGUGGUACUAUCGGCACUUAUCUGACACGAAGUACUCAAGGUCAGCAUUACGCACAUACACGUCAAAUUCAUCCUUGAUGCCUGCUUGGACCAUAAACUCCUCUGACGGCCAUUCACAAGGUCGCACUUGAGCUUCCCUCAGUGGUUCAUCGUCCGGCUCACGUAUCGCGAGUAUUGGUCCUUGCUUCCUUGAGGAACCACCUUGGUACAUUAUCCUAUGCAUUUUUCUUUCUCUGAAAAAUUUCUGAAAUUUUUAGUGACUCAAAAUAAAAGUGAGUCAAACUCAACAAAAUUGAUAGCAACUACUCCCACAAGUGCCUAGAGGCUAUAUCAUGCAUAAAAACUACUUUGAACCCUAAAAAUUUGACAUGCAAGCUCAAGAACAGGGUCACCUUAGCAGCAAAAAAUUGCAAUAAAUAAAGCACUAGAACAAAAACUAAUUAGACCAUUGGAGGAGUCACAUACCGAAGAACAACCCCCCAAAGCAGUUUUGUGAAUGGAGCUUUGAGCAAGGAGAUCGAAAAUGGCAGCAAAACGAGCUAGAACACGGGUUUGAGCUAUGUGCGGAUUUUUUUGGAGGAAGACGAAGUGUGUGGGUGCUGGAAUAAGUGGAGGGGGUCCACGUGGGGCCCACGAGGCAGGAGGGCGCGCCCUGUGCCCUCGUGUCCAUAUGGUGGGUCCCCCUGGUGUGUUCUGAGUGCCAGAAAUUUUUAAAUAUUCUACAAAAAAUCAUACUUCAUUUUUAGGGCAUUUGGAGAACUUUUAUUUUCGGGGUAUUUUUUAUUGCAUGGAUAACUCAGAAACAGACAGAAAAUACUAUUUUUUUUGCUUUAUUUAAUCUAAAUAACAAAAACUAAAAGGAGGGUACACAUGUUGUGCUUUCUAACUUCAUCCAUCUCAUGCUCAUCAAAAGGAAUCCACUAACAAUGUUGAUCAAGUCUUGUUAACAAACUUCUUCCAAAUAACAUAAAACCGGAGGAAUUUUCGAAUAACACUAGGUUACCUCAAUGGGGAUAUGCAUGUCCCCAACAAUAAAAAUAUCAUAUUUCCUUUUUAUGGUAGGAAGAGGGAAUUCAAAACCUCCAAUAGUAAUCAUUGAAUUUUUUUCAAUAGAAUUGAUACUAUGAACUUGAGGUUGUUUCCUCGGAAAGUGUACCGUAUGCUCAUUACCGUUAACAUGAAAAGUGACAUUACCUUUGUUGCAAUCAAUAACAACCCCUGCAGUAUUUAGAAAAGAUCUACCAAGGAUGAUCGACAUACUGUCGUCCUCGGGAAUAUUAAGAAUAACAAAGUCCGUUAAGAUAGUAACGUUUGCAACCACAACAGGCACAUCCUCACAAAUACCGAUAGGUAUAGCUGUUGAUUUAUCGCCCAUUUGCAAAGAGAUUUCAGUAGGUGUCAACUUAUUCGAAUGAAGUCUACGAUAUAAAGAGAGAGGCAUAACACUGACACUAGAUCGAGGAUCACAUAAAGCAGUUUUAACAUAGUUUCUUUUAAUGGAGCAUGGUAUAGUUGGUACUCCUAGAUCUUCUAGUUUCUUUGGUAUUCCACCUUUAAAAGUAUAAUUAGCAAGCAUGGUGGAAAUUUUAGCUUCCGGUAUCUUUAUUUUAUUUGUAACAAUAUCUUUCAUAUACUUAGCAUAAGGAUUCAUUUUAAGCAUACCAGUCAAACGCAUACGCAAAAAGAUAGGUCUAAUCAUUUCAGAAAAAUGCUCAAAAUCCUCAUCAUCCUUUUUCUUGGAUGGCUUAGGAGGAAAAGGCAUGGGUUUCUGAACCCAUGGUUCUCUUUCUUUACCGUGCUUCCUAGCAAAGAAUUCCCUCUUAUCAUCAUGUUGAUUCUUUGAUUGUGGGUUAUCAAGAUCAAUAGCAGGUUCAAUUUCUACAUCAUUGUUAUUACUGGGUUGAGCAUCAACACGAACAUCAUUAUUAACAUUAUGAUAGAUUCAUGUUCAUUACCAGAUUGCGUUUCAGCAUCAGAAAUAGAAACAUCAUUGGGAUUCUCAGGUGUGUCUAUAGCAGGUUCACUAGAAGCAUGCAAAGUCCUAUCAUUUUUCUUUUUCUUCUUAGAAGGACUAGGUGCAUCAACACUAGUUCUCUGAGAAUCUUGCUCAACUCUCUUAGGAUGGCCCUCAGGAUACAAAGGUUCCUAAGUCAUUCUACCACCUCUAGUCAUAACUCUAACAACAUUAUCAAUUUUCUUAUUAUUUAAUUCAUUGAGCAAAUCAUCUUGUGCUUUAAGUACUCGUUCUACUUGAGUGGUAACCAUAGAUGCAUGUUUACUAAUAAGCUUAAGAUCACCUUUAACUCUAGACAUAUAAUCACUCAAGUGUUCAAUCAUAUAAGCAUUACGUUUCAAUUGUCUACCAACAUAAGCAUUGAAGUUUUCUUGUUUAACAAUAAAAUUAUCAAACUCAUCCAAGCAUUGACUAACAGACUUAUUACGAGGAAUAUCACCUUCAUCAAAUCUAUAGAGAGAAUUUACCUUUACUAACUGUGUCGGGUUAUCAAGACCAUGUAUUUGUUCAAUAGGUGGUAAAUUCUUAACAUCUUCAGCUUUAAUACCUUUUUCUUUCAUAUAUUUCUUUGCCUCUUGCAUAUCUUCAUGAUUGAUAAAUAGAAUACCCUUUUUCUUUGGAGUUGGCUUAGGAGUUGGUUCAGGAAGUUUCCAAUCAUUAUCAUUACUCAAUAUAGUAUUCAAUAGCAAUUCAGGUUGCUCGACAGUUCUUUCCCUGAAAACACAACCAGCACAACUAUCUAGGUGGUCUCUGGAAGCAUCGUUUAGUCCAUUAUAAAAGAUAUCAAGUAUUUCAUUUUUCUUGAGAGGAUGAUCAGGCAAAGCAUUAAGUAAUUGGAGAAGCCUCCCCCAAGCUUGUGGGAGACUCUCUUCUUCAAUUUGCACAAAAUUAUAUAUUUCCCUUAGGGCAGCUUGUUUCUUAUGAGCGGAAAAUAUUUUGUAGAGAAGUAAUAAAUCAUAUCCUGGGGACUACACACACAACCAGGAGCAAGAGAAUUAAACCAUAUCUUAGCACCACCCUUUAAUGAGAACGGAAAUAACUUAAGGAUAUAGUAAUAAUGAAUUUUUUCCUCAUGAGUGAAUAGGGUGGCUAUAUCAUUCAAUUUACUGAGAUGUGCCACAACAGUUUCAGAUUCAUAGCCAUAAAAAGGAUCAGAUUCAACUAAAGUAAUUAACUCAGGAUCGACAGGGAAAUCAUAAUCCUUAUCAGAAAUACAGAUAGGUGAAGUAGCAAAAACAGGGUCAUAUUUCAUUCUAGCAUUCAGAGACUUUUCUUUCAGCUUAGCUAACAGUUUGAUCAUAUCUAUCUUUGCAAGCAAAAAGGUCUCUAGCUGUUUCUUCAUCCAUAACAUAACCCUCAGGUACAUCAGGCAAUUCAUAUCUAGGGGGAGAAUCUUCAUCAUCACUUUCAUCAAUAUUAUCAGUUUCAAUAAUUGCAUUCUCUCUAACCCUAGCAAGUUGUUCAUCAAGAAAUUCACCUAAUGGCACAAUGUUAACAAGCAGAGAAGUAGUUUCAUCAUAAGCAUCAUGCAUAGCAGAAGUGGCAUCAUCAAUAACGUGUGACAUAUAAGAAUCAAUAGCAGGUGUAGGUGCCGCAAGUUUACUCAAAACAGAAGGUGAAUCAAGUGCAGAGCUAGAUGGCAGUUCCUUACCUCCCCUCGUAGUUGAGGGGAAAAUCUUGGUUCUUUCAUCUUUCAAGUUCCUCAUAGUGAUCAACAGAUAUAAAUUCCAAGUGACUCAAAGAAUAGAGCUAUGCUCCUCGACAACGGCGCCAGAAAAUAGUCUUGAUAACCCACAAGUAUGGGGGAUCGCAACAGUUUUCGAGGAUAGAGUAUUCAACCCAAAUUUAUUGAUUCAACACAAGGGAGCCAAAGAAUAUUCUCAAGUAUUAGCAGUUGAGUUGUCAAUUCAAUCACACCUGAAAGACUUAAUAUUUGCAGUAAAGUAUUUAGUACCAAAGUAAUAUAGAAAUAACGGUAACGGUGGCAAAAGUAACAGUAGCAGUUUUUUAGUAAUCAUAACAGUGUCAACGGAGAAGUAACUAAACAAAGAUCAAUAUGUGAAAAACUCGUAGGCAAUGGAUCCGUGAUGGAUAAUUAUGUCGGAUGCGAUUCCUCAUGUAACAAUUAUAACAUAGGGUGACAUAGAACUAGUUCCAUUUCAUCAAUGUAAUGUAGGCAUGUAUUCCGAAUAUAGUCAUACGUGCUUAUGAAAAAGAACUUGCAUGACAUCUUUUGUCCUACCCUCUCAUGGUAGCGGGUCCUAUUGGAAACUAAGGGAUAUUAAGGCCUCCUUUUAAUAGAGUACCGGAUCAAAGCAUUAACACUUAGUGAAUACAUGAACUCCUCAAACUACGGUCAUCACCGGGAGUGGUCCUGAUUAUUGUCACUUCGGGGUUGCCGGAUCAUAACACAUAGUAGGUGACUAUUGACUUGCAAGAUAAGAUCAAAAACUCACAUAUAUUCAUGAAAACAUAAUAGGUUCAGAUCUGAAAUCAUGGCACUCGGGCCCUAGUGACAAGCAUUAAGCAUGGCAAAGUCAUAGCAACAUCAAUCUUAGAGCAUAAUGGGUACUAGGGAUCAAACCCUAACAAAACUAACUCGAUUACAUGGUAAAUCUCAUCCAACCCAUCACCGUCCAACAAGCCUACGAUGGGAUUACUCACACACGGCGGUGAGCAUCAUGAAAUUGGUGAUGGAGGAUGGUUGAUGAUGACGAUGGUGAUGGGUUCCCCUCCCCGGAGCCCCGACGGACUCCAGAUCAGCCCUCCCGAGGAAGAUUAGGGCUUGGCGGCGGCUCCGUAUCGUAAAACGCGAUGAAUCCUUCUCUUUCAUUUUUCUCUCUCCGAAAGUGAAUAUAUGGAGUUGGGGUUGAGGUCGGUGGAGUCCCAGGGGGGCCAUGAGGAAGGGGGGGCGCGCCCUGCACCCUUGCUGACAGGGUGUGGGCCCCCUGAUGCUGAUUCUUUCACCAAUAUUUUUUAUUAAUUCCAAAACGUGUCUCUGUGGAUUCUCAGGUCAUUCCGAGAACUUUUAUUUCUGCACAAAAAUAACACCAUGGCAAUUCUGCUAAAAACAGCGUCAGUCCGGGUUAGUUCCAUUCAAAUCAUGCAAGUUAGAGUCCAAAACAAGGGCAAACAUAUUUGGAAAAGUAGAUACGUUGGAGACGUAUCAGUAAGAUGUAAACAAGAACUUAUAUAAUGGACAAGAGACCCGGGGGCCAUAGGUUUCACUAGUGGCUUCUCUCAAGAUAGCAAAUAUUACGGUGGGUGAACAAAUUACUGCCGAGCAAUUGAUAGAAGAGCGCAUAAUUAUGACGACAUCUAAGGCAAUGAUCAUGAAUAUAGGCAUAACGUCCGUGUCAAGUAGACCGAAACGAUUCUGCAUCUACUACUAUUACUCCACACAUCGACCGCUAUCUAGCAUGCAUCUAGAGUAUUAAGUUCAUAAAGAACGGAGUAACGCAUUAAGUAAGAUGACACGAGGUAGAGGAAUUAACUCAAGCAAUAUGAUGAAAAACCCAUCUUUUUAUCCUCGAUGGCAACAAUACAAUACAUGCCUGGCUGCCCCUACUGUCACUAGGAAAGGACACCGCAAGAUUGAACCCAAAGCUAAGCACUUCUCCUAUUGCAAGAAAGAUCAAUCCAGUAGGCCAAACUAAACCGAUAAUUUGAAAAGACUUGCAAAGAUAUCAAAUCAUUCAUAUAAGAAUUCAGAGAAGAACCAAAUAAUAUUCAUAGAUAAUCCGAUCAUAAAUCCACAAUUCAUCGGAUCUCGGCAAAUACACCACAAAAGAAUAUUACAUCUAAUAGAUCUCCAAGAACAUCGAGGAGAACAUGGUAUUGAGAAUAAAAUAGAGAGAAGAAGCCAUCUAGCUAAUAAAUAUGGACCCGUAGGUCUAUAGUAAACUACUCACGCAUCAUCGGAGAGGCAAUGGUGUUGAUGAAGAAGCCCUCUGUUAUCGAAUCCCCCUCCAGCAGGACACCGGAAAAGGACCUAGAUGGGAUCUCACGGGUACAGAAGGUUGCCACGGUGGAAAAGUGGUUUCGUGGCUCUCCUGGAUGUUUUCAGGGUAUAAGAGUAUAUAUAGGCGAAGGAACUAGGUCAGGGGAGCUAUGAGGGUCCCACAAGGUAGGGGGCGCGCCCUAUCCCCCUGGGCGCGCCCUAUCCCCCUGGGCGCGCCCUCCUGCCUCGUGGCCGCCUCGUUGCGUCUCCGACUUCAUCUCCAAGUCUUCUGGUUUCCUUUCGGUCCAAGAAAUAUCAUUGCGAAGGUUUCAUUGCGUUUGGACUCCAUUUGGUAUUCCUUUUCUACGAAACUCUAUAGGCAAAAAACAGAAACUGGCACUGGGCCCUCAGUUAAUAGGUUAGUCCCAAAAAUAAUAUAAAAUAGCAUAUAAAUGCCUAUUAAACAUCCAAAACAAAUAAUAUAAUAGCAUGGAACAAUAAAAAAUUAUAGAUACAUUGGAGAUGUAUCACACCUCCACGCGACAUUAAUCCGAAAGGCUUCCCACCAUCAUGUAAAAUCCCCCACUUAUGGCUCGUGUAGGAAUUUGGGACAUGUCUUACUCCUAGUGUGUCUGAUCAUCCCGUCGUACUAGCUACUAUUCAUCGUCUUGGUAAACUAUUUUCUCACCAACUAGCUAGUUUUUGGAAUGGUCACUCCGGUUCUGGGCCAACUGGUCUUUGAGAUGGAGAUUAGGGAAUCAAGAUUCCUUGCUACUUUGAUAGCUCUUGAAGGUUAUAUAGAUGCAUUAGCAAUUUUGUCAUGUAGAUAUUAGUAAUGGACUUUCAUACUAGUCUUGGUCCAAUAUUGUCAAGUUACCCACCAACAUUUUUGGCUAUAUACAAAUUUUGACUAAAAAAGAUUUCAACAUCUAUGUUCUUGUCUAGCUAUCAGCUGGUUGUGUUCUUGGUGUACAUUGUGCUGAAACAUCAGGAACAAAAUGAUAGCUGGUAACCUAAACUAGAGCAAGUUACCACAAUUAUUGUUUAGCAUUUGACCAUAUAAUACUUGAUUUCUUAGUAUGUUGAUGGCUUGUUGCAUGACCUUUUUUGCAGGACAUGUCUUUUUUUAAUUUUAAGACUUAAUGAACUUUUUAAUAAUUGACUUUGUGUAUCCGGAUACAUUGGUAAAAAAGUUCUUAUCCAUGUAAAACUCUCCUGUGGUGUAAUGGUGGGCACACGUGGAUGUGAAUCUACCUAUCCAGGUAUGAGGACUCAACAAUUUUUGAAGAGUUUCUUUUUAAUCAUAAAAAAUAUAAAAUAUGCUAUUCACGCAUUGGUGUUCACUUGUGAAAUUUUUAAGAUGGUUCCAACUAUUGUGUCGCCCAUGAGAGGUAAUAGGUUACCCAACGCUCAACAUAUGCUGCUGCCAAAGUCACACGAACUCUCUUGAGAGGAGAUUGAUUUGGCGAUCUAUGUUUGGACCGCCGCAGACCUGGUUGCCUCUUUGUGAAGCUAGCUUGAUUUCAUGAUGUUGGCACCUCCUUGCCAGAUUUGUUAUCCCCAAGCGAUAAAAGCUAGGCUUUGCAGUCCAUCGACGUCUCCCCCGACCGAUAGUUUUUUCCUUCACCAGUCCUCACCUUCCCUACCCCUGGGACAAACCUCCUAAUCAUGUUGACUAAGGGGGUAUCCUUGCACACCUUCCCGACCGAGGUAGAGGGCGAGAUCUUGGGUUUAGGUAUUGGGAAGGGUUCUGGGAUCUAGACUACAAUGAAGAUUCUCAACUGAAAUAUGCAGUCUGCAAUAUGGUGCGCCAUCGAGGGUGCUUCUGAAUGUUCAGAAGCAUGGGAAUCCUGACGUCAUGUCAUUGGAAACUCACUUGGAUGGAUAUCCUCCUUAAUGCUUACGUCAAAGAAGGAUGGAUCAAAAGAUAGUUGUCCAGAGCAGUUGUUUGAUUUUUUUGAAAAAGGAGGUGGCGUCUCUCAUUGACAGAAGACGAACAAUUAUAUUGAUGUUUCUGCUAGAACUAGCCAAGAUAAGUUUUGCAGGCUCAUCGGAUUUGAUGGGGACCCCAAGUGGGCGGAUAAACAUCUCACUUGGAGAAGGCUCACGUAUCUAAAAAGUUUUUGCAACAUGUCCUGGAAGUUUAUUGGUGAUCUUAAUGAAAUCUUAUAUCCUUUGAAAAAGAGGGUGGGAAUGAUCGACCGACUCAUUUUAUGCAAGCUUUUAGAGAUGCUCUAGAGGACUGUAACCUAUCGGGCCAUGGAUUUGUUGGCGCUGAAUUCAUGUGGUAUGGGAGUUUGAUUAGAGAAAGGCUUCAUAGGGGCAUUAACAAAUGAAGGUUGUGAAUUGAUGUUCCCUAGUGCAAUACUAUAACAUCUACAUUAUUACUAUUCUUAUUAUAGACUGUUGCUAAUGAUUUUGGAGGAAGAAUUAGCCCAUGACAUAGGAGGGCCGACAAUUUUUCAUUUUGAGGCUUGGUGGCUAUGAGAGGCCCGGUUCUGAUACAUAAUUGAGGAAGCAUGACAUGCCUCGGAACCUUUGGUUCAAAAUACACAUUUGAAAGGAUUGUUAGCCCUCAUUCAUAAACACCCACAUAAUUGGGAUAAAACAAAACUUAAGAAAUCAUUAAAGAAACUGAAGAAGGUCGAGAGAGAUCUUCAAAGGGUUAUGCGAUAUGUUAUAUCACAUGAAAAUAUUAAGCACUAGAAGAAAUUAGCAUAAGACUGUUAGAGUUUGAUGAAAUUCAUUGGGCCCAAAGAAGCUAGAUAAAUUGCCUCAAUUUUUGUGACAAAAAUACCUCACACUUUCAUAAUUUUGGUUCAACAUGUAGGCAAAGGAACUAGAUUAAGCGGUUAGUGGACGACCAGGGAGUUUGUCAUGAAAGUAUGACAUAUUUAAAUCCAUUAAUUUUUUAUUAUUUUGAUGGGAUAUUCACCUCACAAAUUGAUGAACCAUAUCACUCGUUCAUUGAGAAAGCCGUCCCUCGGGUAACACAAGAGAUCAACGAGAGUGUUUUAAAGUCCUAGACUGCUGAGGAGGUGAAUAAGGGGUUAUUUACUAUUGGUGAUUUGAAAGCUUGAGAUAAGUUCAUGUAAUGUGUUAUAUAAGGUGAUCUCUAAAUGAUAUAUUUUCGGUUGAAAGUUUGUCUUGACAAAGUUAUUUCUACGGUCCACAGUGCCUUUGUUCUCGGUCGCCACAUCACUCACAAUAUUUUAUUGGCCUAUGAAUGCAUACACACAAUAAAAAAUAAGAAAUGAAAGGUUGGAUAUUGUGCAAUGAAGUUGGAUAUGCAUAAAGCUUACGAUCAUGUUGAAUGUAGGUUCUUGGAAACAAUGAUGAUUAAAUUGGGUUCCCAUAGGAUGUUGUGAUGGCUUGUAUUUCUUCCAUAAAUACAAGGUGGGAUAUAAUCAACAAGAAGGCUUUGUCCUGACUAGGGGGUUCUGUCAGGGAGACUCCUUGUCACCAUAGUUAUUUCUUAUGUGUGCAGAGGAGUCCGUAAAGAGAGAUCCGAUCAUAUUUGUUGCAUGUGCUACGAAUCCGCGACCAUCCCAUAGGCAAGCAUUAUCAUAGCAACCAUGCACUUUUGGUAACCAGAGAACCAAAUGUUUCCAACGGCUCCCUUAUUCAUUUUAGGUAAUUAUCAUCACUAGUAGAAAAGGGGGCAAUGGUCUAGGCCGGUCCAACCCAUUAGUCCCGGUUCAAUCCAGAACCGGGACCAAUGGGGGCAUUGGACCCGGUUCUUGAGCCCCGGGGCCCGGUCGGGCCACGUGGGCCAUUGGUCCCGGUUCGGCUGGACCUAUUGGUCCCGGUUGGUGGGACGAACCGGGACCAAUGGGCCUCGCUCUUGGCCCAACACCAUUGGUCCCGGUUGGUGGGACGAACCGGGACCAAAGGGUUGGUCCUCGUUGCGGCCAGAGUUUAGUCCCACCUCGCCAACCGAAGGGGAAUCGGACCGGUUUAUAAGCCCCUCCCUCUCUGCCAUAUUGAGCUCCUCUAAAAAUGAAAAUAGAUGCCCUUAUAUAGGGAAAUUAGCCUAAAUUCAUACGGAUUUCGAUUGAAAUUUGUUAUGAAUUUAAGUUGAUUUUCCUCUAUAAGCGCAUCUAUGCUCAUUUCGGAGUAGUUUUUUAUAUUUUUUUCUUUUCUGCUAUAUUUAUUUUUUUCUUUUUAUUUCUGAGUUGUAAUAAGCCAUUAAAAAUAAGGAUAUAUGCUCCUUUUUUAGUACAGUUAAUCACAACUAUUUUUUGCAUCUAUUCAUUUCUGAGUAGUUUUCUAUAUAGUUUCUUUUUUCUUUUCUGUUAUAUUUAUUCUUUUGUUUUUAUUUCUGAGUUGUAAUAAGUCAUUAGAAAUAAGCAUCUAUGCUAUUUUUUUUAGUAAAGUUAAUCAAAAUUAUUUUUUCUUCUAUUUAUUUCUGAGUGGUUUUUUAUAUAGUUUUUUUCUUUUCUGCUACAUUUAUUUUUUUCUUUUUAUUUCUGAGUUGUAAUAAGUCAUUAAAAAUAAAAAAGAGGCGCAAUGCUCGUUAAGACGAAGCCGCUCCCCCGGAGCAAUACGAGUGGGUCAACGGUAGUCACACGACGAUGCCUUCAUCAUGGUAACGACAUGGAACGCCGCCAUCGCCCGCCGUCAGCUCGGUUUUCACCGGCAACUACGUCUCCCCGACUCGCAGCUGGUGCCAGAUGACGGAUCCCGAGAUCCGAACACCCAGCCUCAGGCCGACCACCUCUGACUGAAGAGAUGACCACCAUCGCCGACUGCAAUGGUCAGAAUUAUUUUUUAGUAAAGUUAAUCAAAAUUAUUUUUUCUUCUAUUUAUUUCUGAAUUGUAAUAAGUCAUUAAAAAUAAAAGAGGCGCAAUGCUCGUUAAUUUGCUUCAAGCCUUUCGGAAUAGUGUCAACUGCACUGCACAUAGCUCUGUGCAGUCUACCGUAUUCCUCAAGGCUUGAAGCUAACCAACGUGCAGGAGCAUUGAGCCUCUUCGUCGUCGUCUCUGCACUCAGGGCUUAUAAACAACUGCGACUGCCUCUCGCUUGGCGAGGUGGGACUAAAAAAAUAGCUGCAGGAAGAAUCAACAAAAAAAUAGCUGCAGAAAAUAAAAAAGUAGUUACACGGGUCCAUUGGUACCGGUUCAUGGAACCAACCGGUACCAAUACCGCUCUUUGGUCCCGGUUCGUUGGACCAACCGGGACGAAUGCUCAUCUUUAGUCCCGGUUGGAGCCACCAACCGGGACCAAAGGUCUUCAUUUCCCGCCCUUUGGGUUGCUGAAAAGAGGCCUUUGGUCCCGGUUGGUGGCUCCAACNNNNNNNNNNNNNNNNNNNNNNNNNNNNNNNNNNNNNNNNNNNNNNNNNNNNNNNNNNNNNNNNNNNNNNNNNNNNNNNNNNNNNNNNNNNNNNNNNNNNNNNNNNNNNNNNNNNNNNNNNNNNNNNNNNNNNNNNNNNNNNNNNNNNNNNNNNNNNNNNNNNNNNNNNNNNNNNNNNNNNNNNNNNNNNNNNNNNNNNNNNNNNNNNNNNNNNNNNNNNNNNNNNNNNNNNNNNNNNNNNNNNNNNNNNNNNNNNNNNNNNNNNNNNNNNNNNNNNNNNNNNNNNNNNNNNNNNNNNNNNNNNNNNNNNNNNNNNNNNNNNNNNNNNNNNNNNNNNNNNNNNNNNNNNNNNNNNNNNNNNNNNNNNNNNNNNNNNNNNNNNNNNNNNNNNNNNNNNNNNNNNNNNNNNNNNNNNNNNNNNNNNNNNNNNNNNNNNNNNNNNNNNNNNNNNNNNNNNNNNNNNNNNNNNNNNNNNNNNNNNNNNNNNNNNNNNNNNNNNNNNNNNNNNNNNNNNNNNNNNNNNNNNNNNNNNNNNNNNNNNNNNNNNNNNNNNNNNNNNNNNNNNNNNNNNNNNNNNNNNNNNNNNNNNNNNNNNNNNNNNNNNNNNNNNNNNNNNNNNNNNNNNNNNNNNNNNNNNNNNNNNNNNNNNNNNNNNNNNNNNNNNNNNNNNNNNNNNNNNNNNNNNNNNNNNNNNNNNNNNNNNNNNNNNNNNNNNNNNNNNNNNNNNNNNNNNNNNNNNNNNNNNNNNNNNNNNNNNNNNNNNNNNNNNNNNNNNNNNNNNNNNNNNNNNNNNNNNNNNNNNNNNNNNNNNNNNNNNNNNNNNNNNNNNNNNNNNNNNNNNNNNNNNNNNNNNNNNNNNNNNNNNNNNNNNNNNNNNNNNNNNNNNNNNNNNNNNNNNNNNNNNNNNNNNNNNNNNNNNNNNNNNNNNNNNNNNNNNNNNNNNNNNNNNNNNNUAAGAAGUAGUUUAUAUAUAGUUGAACUAGCUAGUUGAUUUAAUAAACUAAUUUAUUUUACUAUAUAUAUAAGUAGUUUGUUUUUAGUAAGUACUACUUAUUUAUUUAUAGUAAGUGCUUAGUAGUUGAACUACAUAGUUGAUUUAAUUAAUAAAACUAUUUUUAUUUAACUAUAUAUAGAAGUAGUUCCCGUGUCGACGUCGGCGAUGCCUAUCCCGCAUCCUCGUCGUUGUCGACUCGGCGGUGGAGGCCUGCUUGAUCAGGGCCAUGUUCGGGACUGGGCUCCGCCGGGUUGGUAUUGGGAGGUGCUACCUUCCAGGGAACGUAGGUUGGUGAGGAGGCAGCCCGUUGUUGACCCGAUCCUUGUUUGGUGGCGGUCGCAUGGGCCAGUGACGGUGGUGAGGCAUCCGGACACCGCGGAGGUGGUACGUCACCGUGUCAGCGAGGAGGACGAGCACGUCCGUCGCUACAUAGUUGCAUUGGAGGGGAGGUUUGACAAUACCUGGCAGGUUCUUCAGGGAUCUCACUGGAGCUAUGAUCCUGUGAUGGUUCCUUAUCUUUGGGUGUCCACCGCCCGAGUCGAUACCCGUCGGGAGCUACGGUUCUAGUUGUAUUAGUGAUAAUAUUCGACGAUGUACGGACACAAAGAGAUGAUGUACUUUUGCUUAUAAUUAUUGAAUGCAUGCUAAUUUGAAUACUAUACUUUAUUUUAUGAUUUGGUUUUGCUUAUUGAAUGCUCAUAUUGGAUAAUUUCUCCUUCAUUCCCGUGUGCUUGAAAAUUUGAUAUAAUUAAUAAUGCAUUCGGGAAUGAAAGGAGGAGCUACGUACAUCGAUCAUCGAUACUCAACCCGUGAUUAAUAAUAAUGAUCUAGUUUAAUAUUUGAAUUAUGAACGUAUAGGCCGGAAAUGUCGUACUCAUCGGACGAUGAAAACCGCCCGGGGGAGUGCGACUGGUGCCACGACGACCGAGGUAUCUGCGACAGGUUCAUUGUGUUGGACGAAGAUCGGCACUUCAGCAUUAAGCUCGAGGAGACCUUCGAUGUUCAUACGGUACGCAACCGACGAUAAUAGUUUUUUUCGUAAUUACUCAUGACUUCAACUAUUUUAAUCAUGACAAUAUUUUUUAUCUUUUCCAAUUCGACUAGCUUAUCCCAUGCUUUGCAAGACGCUAUGUCUUGGAGAGGAUGGGUUUUGAAGACCAUGAAAGUUUCGAAACCAAAAAAAUUAUCCUAAGUACCCAUCAUGGUGUGGAUUUUCAAGUAAAGCUAUACAAUGCUCAGAGUGUAACCCAUUUUGGUUUCAAAAAUUGGGUUGCAAGAUGCAUGGUUUUGAUGAGGGUAUGCUUGUUACCAUGGAUCUUGGUGAUCCUACAAUCGAGCAAGAGAGACCUACGAUUUUCGUCCUUGUGGAUACACCUCCAAUUCUUCCCCAUGUGAGCUUAACAUAGUUAUUAAGUAAUUUAUAUUGUUUAUUUGAAAAUAGUUGACAACUUAUUCUCCAUUGACAGCUUAUUUUCAUUCUUCAAAGAAUGUGCGGAAGAUGGUAGACAGAACCUACUACACCGAAGGCUCCGAACUAACUUAUCAGGAGAAAAAUCAUCUGGUCAAAUUUUGUACUGAUCUUGAGAAUUACAAUGUCUACAAUCGAACUCCUCAACAUUAUGGUCAAUACGUGCCACUAGUGCACGUGUUGAACUACGGUAACUACCAUGGAGAUACCCUGAUAUGAUUUUUUACUAUUACAACAUUCGUGCAUCUUUUUGCACACUUCUAAAACUAGUACAUCAUAUCAUUGCUAACUACGAAGUUAUUACUAUGUUUUUCAACAGAUAAUCCCAAAUGAUUGUGUGCCUCAUCUGAUGUAUACACGGGGUAGCCUUCAUGUUUUGAACAUACACCCAGGUCGUCCUACGAAUCUCAACUAUCCAUACCGGGUUUCUAAAAGAAGUGGAGACAUGAUAAUCAAAGAAUGGAAAAAAUAUAUGGACAGUCGUAAGGAGCUUCUUGGAAGAAACAUUCAGCGAAGGGCAAAAAUUGGAGACAGGAUGAUCGCCAUUCUUCAUAAUGGAGAGUCAGGGUCUAUAUUGUUUUAUGCUAUUUUACCUUAAGGGUGUUUAGGUCCUACCUGAUACUGAUGAUCAUGUGCUAAGAACAAUUAUGUAGGGUUGGGUUCGAUGACUAUGAGGAUGAUGAUCGUAUGACUUAUUAUUAAUAACGAGUAGAAGUUGUAUAUGAUGAUGCAUGAUUAGUAGGACUUGUUAUUAUAUAUAUAUGAUGAUGUAUGAUGCAAGCAUGCAUGAGCAUUUUAUAUCUGCGGGUGCAAUGAACAUAGCAGCAGUGUUGAUAAACCAAGGACGAAGAUAUAAGAGAGGACACUUCUCUCUAUUAGCUAGCUAUAAUAACAACCUAAAAAUAACCCCUAAAGCAGCCACUUUUUUAAAAAAAUUGACUUUUGGUCCCGGUUGGAGCCACCAACCGGGACCAAAGGCCCCCUGACUGGGGUGGGCGCACAGGGCCACGUGGAGGCACAUUGGUCCCGGUUCUGGUUUGAACCGGGACUAAUGGGUGGAGGUAUUAGUAACGACCCAUUAGUCCCGGUUCAUGAACCGGAACUAAAGGCCCUUACGAACCGGGACUAAUGGGUGGUUUUCUACUAGUGCAUAGGCCCUUGCACUAUGGUAGAUGCGAACACAUGUCGCCACAUCCAAAAUCGGUAGCAGGAAUAGGGUUCUAAUAGGCAUCGGGGGCAAAGUAGUCGUCUUACAACAUCAUAGGUCCCCGUGGCCUCUGCAAUACAACACUCAAUGUCCCUUUGUUGAACCCUUAUAGUUGAGAACAUGCUCCUCUGCAAGCUCCACGUCUUCAAGAGUCUCCUUCGUCAUCAUCUUCAUCCUCACCCAAUAAAUACGAAUCCAUGAACUCGGCAUAGUUGUAAUCCUCAUAUGAAUCAAUCAUGAUUGCUUCAAAGUAUACAAUGAGAACACCAAAAGUUUUGACAAUGGAAUUUGGCCAAACACUUGUCGAGUGUGGUGUCUGCCAAGGCGACGUCGGUAGGGGCAGAGGAUACGCGACCGGUUUUGGGGUGAGAUGGAGGCAUAAGCGAAGUCGGGUAGGCGCUUGCGUGGAGUGGUAGAGGUCCGGUAAGGCUUGGGUUGCAUUCGGGGUGGUACAAUGGUGGCGUCAGAGUCCGGGAGCAUGGAUCAGAGCACAAGAUGAUGGAUGGACUAGUGAAAAAUGCAACCUCCAGGUGGUUUUUUGUGUGGGCUAGAGUGGCGGUCGUUCAGACUCCUACCACCACCCCUUAGUUUGGUGCCAGUUUUUGGGUAUCCGAACGUCUCGUCUGGGCCGAAGAAAUUAGGUCACCUCCCUUGGAUGAUCAAAAGUAUCCGGACCAUUCAGUUCGAAUAUUUGUUGUUGUUUUGGUGAUCCACUUUGGAGUUACCCUUAUGUCGCAAAGGACCAUGUUAAAACUGCUCGUCAAAGUUAUACAAUGUCGACUGUGUAUGCAUCGUACUAGAGGCUAACGUGUGAUUUGCCCCACUGUACUUCACUCGUGGGAUUAACAUUUUUCUCUCUCUAGCAGGUUGUUGCGGUUGUUUGUUUCGAUUUAGCUUAUCUGUGUUGGCUUGGGUUUCAAUUGUGUUUUGGUGGUGGAUUUUCUAAUGGUAUAUCGUGUUGGACUACUUUUGAAGUUGGUAUUUUAUCUAAGAGGUGAGUGGAGUUGCUCGGUGCGUGGUUGUGAUGUUCUUACAUGUUUCGGCCUUGGUGUCAGCCGAUGGUGGUUGUGUGAGCCCCUUGGAGCUCCUAUUUCAUACUGAAACCAUGGAAUUGUUGCUAUAAUGCUCAUAUGGGCAUUGUUGUUAUAACGCUCAUAUGGGCGGGCCAUUGAAGCUCUCGCUCCCUCAACCCGCCUCCCUUCCAGCUCGCUCAUUUUGCUUUUCUUUGUUCGCUCCAGUGCUAGCUCAAGAAAAAACUUUGAUAGUUUUUAUUUUGAAAAGUCUGUUAAAUCAAAAGUUGUUCAGGGAUUUCUAAAGCAUAUUGGAUUAAAAAAAUGUUUUAAAUUGAAAAAAACAUGAUUUUUAAAAAUGUUCAUGAAUAAUUUUCAUGUGUAUUUUAGAUUAUGUUCAUGAAUUUGAUAAAAGCUUUGCAAAUUUUAAAUUCACAGGCUUUAAAAUAUUCAUGAACUUUAAAUAUUCAAGAAUUAAAAAAGAUUUAAGCAUUUUUUAAAAAGUUUGUGAAUUAUUUGAAAAUGUUCAUAAAUUUUCUAACAAUGGUGAUGAAAUAAAUGUAAAAAAAGUGAUAAGAAAUGGGGAAAUGUAAUGAAAGAAGAAAAAAAACUAUUAAAACCAAUAGAGAAAACACAAAAAAGGAAAAAUAAACCGAGCAAACCAUUCUGCAACCUUUUCAAAACCAGAAAAAUCACCCGGCCCGUUAAGGCUAUAGGUGUGUGUUACUUUCAACCAGCAACACCCACCUCUACCGGUGGGGCCCAUAGCGAUCCAGAUCCCCUGACGAGGCUGCAAAUUUAUAAAGCUUUGUGUCUUACUAUAUCUGUCCUCGUUUACUAGUCCCUCUGGUAUUUUUGAUUAUGACAUUAACUAAUAAAAUAUAAUGUAGCAAACCUAAUAUCACUGAAAAUUACAUUCAAAUACGAAUCAAACAAUAUAAUUUUUAAUGAGGUGCAUUAACAUUUUGCUAGUUAAAUAUGUGGUCAAAUUUUGAUCCAAAAUAAAAUAAGGACUAAUAAACUCAGAUGGUGGUAGUAAUAGAUACUCCAUCCGUUCACACAUAUAAAUUGUUCUAACCUUUUUUUUU
rnacentral:lncRNA from 1 species